UUAGAAGCAAGAACAACUAAUUAGUUCCAAGGAGAUCCUAUAAAUAAAACUCUUUGCUUCCUCAUUUCAUUUCCAUCAUCUUAUAAUACAAAGUCAUAACUUCAAGGUCCUUAAAACUAGGGAAAAACAUAAGAAGAAAAUAAUAAUUAUUGAGUGCAUGAACAAAAACUAAAUGACAACAAAUGGAAUAUUCUAGCAUAAGGUAUAUUGUACAAUUCUCUUGUUAGAGAAAGAACUCAUUUAUCUCAUUAGAAUGUUUUAGAUCGGUACACAAUAGCUUUUACGACACCUAACAUUAGCUCUUCGAAGUUUUGGGCAAUCUUUAUUUGUUUUACAAUCACUAAGAAUAAGGCUAAAGUGCACUUUUUGCCCCCUAUGUUUCAUAAUAUUGCGAUUUUGGCCCCUUAUUUAAAAAAAAUAGCAAUUUUUGCCCCUUUCAUCCCAUAAUUGCUCAAAAAGGUGCCACGUGUUCUAGAAAAGGGGUCAUAAUCGCAACUUUUUGUAAAGAUAAGGGGUCAAAAAACAUAUUUCCCUUAUGUUAUGGGUCAAAAGAGCAUAUUUCCCUAAACAUAGGGGGUCACUUUUGUCAUUUUUUUAAUAGGGGACCAAAAUCGCAACAUUUUGAAAUUUAGGGGGCGAAAAGUGGUGUUUAGCCUAAGAAUAAUCAUCUGUCUAAAAAAAAAAUAUAGAAAGAAAAAAAUUAUGACAUAAUCUAACUUCGGAGUUUCAACCAUAUUUUUUCCUAUUUGCAUCCAAAGAAUAGUAAAUAACUUGAUUUCUUUAUAGUGUAUAGUAAAGUUCAUGGUCUUAUAGAAAUAAUUAAAUAGUUUAAGCAAAAUAAAAUUUUAAAAGCUCUUUAGAAUUUUAUAAUUAUUACUAAAUGUCUCUUAAAUAUGUCUUCAUGAGCUUAACUUAGUUGAUAUGGACAAUGCAUAAUAUAUGCCAGGUCCAGGGUUUGAACCUCAGCCACCACCGAAAAAAAUGUGUCUUAAAUAUAUCAAUGUGUUAUUUUUGUUCAUUUAGCACACAUAGAAGGACUUCAUGUGAUAAAAAUAAAAAUCAAUAUAAUUGAGUGCAAUUUUACAAACUUUAUAUUACUUUUUCCCCUAAAUAAUUGUAUUAUUUUUUUAUCCUCUAGUGAUGGUAAAGGGGAAAACAAUUAUACCAUCGUAAAGUUAUGUACGAAUAUAAAGCACAAUUAAAUAUUUAUAAACAAGUAGAACAUAUGUUAUGUUAAUUACUAAUGAAGUUAACUACGUCUAACAUAAUACGACCAUGCAUAGAAUAAGAAAGCAACCUAUUGAAGGAAUAUUGCCUCAACGCAUGAACAAAAAGAUGUUAUAAAAUGUUUUUCAUAUACUCUUAUUAAUUGGGAAAUGAACUAUGAAUAAGUUUUUUAGCAAUCACAAACAUACUCCACCUUGUUAUAUGCAAAUUGAUAACCAGUAAAUAAAUUGAUUAUCACGUUGCACUUAACUGUUAUAUUGGACAAGUAAUUGAGUGAUUGCAUUGCCUUUAACAUCUAAUCUGUGUUUAUUUAGGAUUUUAUAGUUUUAAGUGUUUUUAGUACUUUGGAACUAGUAAUGCUUGUUUAUCAUGUUUAAUGAUGUAGGUUAAGGAACGGCUCUGAAGUGUGGAUUGAAGAUGUAUCGCUGAAGAUGUGUAAAGCUGCAGCAUGUAACACCUUAAACCCUUAAAGCAAUAAAUUACACAAAUAGUAUAAAACAUACAAAGGAUUUAGAUGCUACUUCUUCUAUAAGUUUUGAAACAUGCAUAAUUAAUUUUUCAGAACAUCACAACGGAAUAAUAAUAUCAUCAUAACUCAUCACAUCACCAAAGUAGCAAUGACGCAUAAUCAUAUAAUACAUCUCCAGAAUAAAUCUAACAUCUCAACAUACUGAGUGAAUAAAAUCUCGACAAGUCAUAGAAUGUAAAUAACAGACAGACACCCAAAUUAGAGCUGACACACUAAGACUCUGAAAGUAAAAGACGAGGUAGCUAUAAAGCUAGCCUCCAGCAACUCAACAAGUAAAACAAAACUACUCUUGCACACCGUCUACGCAUCCAUACGAAUAAGGUAGGUAGUCAACCAAACGACCAUUGGGGGUUAGUUCACAUUUCACAAUUAAAGUAUAAUCAAAUGAAAAUGAACGCCAUAAUUAAAUUCAAAUGAUUAAACAACGUAACACUUAAGCAGCUCAACAUCAUCAAUCAUAUAAGUAUAACAAUACACAAGUACAUUUUCAACAUCAUCAUAUAUUCACCAAAUUUCACCAAGCAUGUAAUUCACCAAGUUCACCAAUGCACAUAAAUCACCAAGCACAUAAACAAAUAAGACACAUUUAAUCAAUUAUCAAAUGUAUGUAAUGCGCCUAAAAACGACUCUAUAUGCAUGUGCUACUAGUCGUCACCUCAAGAUACAAAUGUAUCAUAGUCGUUAUCAUUUGAAUACAAAGUAUUAUGGUCGUCUUCGUUGGAUAUAACAUCCCAGUCGUCUUUAUUGGGUAUAAAUAUCCUACUUAUAAAUGCAUGACAUACGACUCGACAAUGUAUACGUUCAACACCAAAUUAUCAUCAUUUUUCAUACAUGCAUUCAUCAGCAAUUAUGUCUUCAUUUUGCAUGUUCUGAUUCAUCAACAUAAAUCAUCAUCAUCAUCAUCAUAAUCAUUAUCAACAACAAUCAACUGAAGAACCAACAAAGUUCCAAAAUCACAUUUUGCACAAAAGACGAAAAAUUAUCCACAUCAUGACAUUCAUCAAAUUAAACACCCACUCAUUGUGGAUUCAUUCUUAUUAUAUCAUAUCAUCAUGAAUAUAAAGCCAAUUGCAAGUUAUCCGAUCAUAAAACCUCAUUUCAACAAAGUUCAUCUAUUUUCAUAAAAUUGACCAUUUUCAAUUUUACCAACCAAAUUAGGGUUCAAAGUUCUUUCAUGCAUACUAUUAAGACUUCCCUACAUAUAAUCUAACAUCUUAGUUAAUCAAUCAUAACAAGUUCACUUCACAGAGUUCAACUAGUUCUCAAAAAUUGCAAAGUUCAUCUCUUUUUUCUUCAUGUUUCAAACUCAAUUCAUUUCCAAGUAAAAUUAAGUUAAAACACUUCUAAACAACACUAAUUCAUGAUUAAAAACUCAUUUAUUCACUAUAAAUAUUUCCAUAAACUCAAUGUUAAUUUUGAAUAUGUUUCAUGGUUUAGUGAAAAAGUUAUAAUAAAGUUUCAUGAAAAAGUGACACAUGACAUACGUGUAUUAAUUUGACCAUAAAUCAAGUUGUAGAAAUCAUUUUGAAGUAAGACCAAAUCCAUUAGAAAUAUAACAUCCAUAUAUAAAACUUUCAUGUUUACAACUAAGGCUGAAUCUAUUUACAUCAUAUUCAAUCGAUUCAAAACAAGUCAGAGAGAAACCAUGAUACGAUUCAAAAUUGUCUGAGUCGAUUUAAAGCGGCCCAGAUGCAGAAUGAUGUGAUUCAAAAUUUCUUGAAUCAAUUAAAUGACCUAGAAAACACAAUUUUAGCUUCUGGUUCAUCCCCAAAAUUCUUAUUUUGAUCCCCAACAUACCCAAAACGAUAAAAAAUCAUUUUCGAAGGUUCAAAUACACUAUUUAGACUCUUUUUACGACAAUACAAAACAAUUUAUACUUCAAUUCACUUAAUUCAUCAAGGUUCCAACAACAACAACUUACACACAACAACACAUAUAUCACACUUAAUUCCUGAAUCAUCAUCACCAACAUAUACCCGUCAACAAUCAUAGCAUAUAAUUCAUUCAUGAACUUGUCAAUUUUCAACAACAACAUCUUCAUUUCAUCAAUUUAAGUUAAAACUUCAAAGCUAUCAUUUCAACAUAGUUAUACCAUGAAAUUUAAGUACCCACGACAAGAAUUAAAAAUAUUUCAUAUACUCAAAUUUAUCGCAUAAUCGUGAGCACGAAAUUCAACAUUUAAAAUCAUAAAAAGUCAUAAUUCACCAUAACCACCUAUUCUCAUAAUUGAAAAGAUGAAGAUUAUAACUUAAUUAUAAAAAGGAGCUAUCCUCCUUACCUCUAGGUCUUGAACUCACUAGCUUAGGCUUCAAUUUAGCUCCUAGCUCUUCAAACCUCAAACUCUCCCUCUAGCUUCCUGUUCUUUCCUCUUGUGAUCUACUUUCUCUCUCUACCUCUUAUGUUUUUAUGAAAUAAAAUAAUGAAUGGCCUAACCUAAUUUUCUCAUCUUUCUUACUAAAGCUUGUCUGGUCAAGCAAUAUCAUACCCUAAUUUUAACCUAAUAUUUUCCAUAUAUGAUCCAAGCAUUGAACUCACUGGCUUAGGCUUCAAUUUAGCUCCUAGCUCUUCAAACCUCAAGCUCUCCCUCUAGCUUCCUGUUCUUUCCUCUUGUGAUCUACUUUCUCUCUCUACCUCUUAUGUUUUUAUGAAAUAAAAUAAUGAAUGGCCUAACCAAAUUUUCUCAUCUUUCUUACUAAAGCUUGUCUGGUCAAGCAAUAUCAUAUCCCACUAUUAACCUAAUAUUUUCCCUCCAUCAUCCAAGCAUUAAAUUCUCCUUAGUUCUUUUCCUAAUCAUCACUACUAGAUCGUCUACCCGUGCUGCCGCACGGGUCAUAUACAGUUAAAAACAAAUUGAAUAGAUGUAAAAUACCCACAAAUUCUUUGACAAAACAAUAUAAUUGAGUUAAUAUGAAUUUGGAAAAUUACGCGGACUUCGCCACGGGAUUGGAUACACAAUUUUUUAAUAGGGUGGCUUAGGAAAAUACAUUAACUCAAUACGGCACUUAGUAUUACUAAACAUAAGCAGAUUCAAGCUUAAAAACAAAACAUACUUAACUAAAGCCAAUCCAAAAAAGUUGCAAUACAAAUUUGGAUCCAAAAAAGUGACUGAUAUGUCAACACUUAAUAAUUUAGACAAAAUAUGAAAUAUCAUAACAGGAAAAUACCUCUUCUCUAUCAUAACUUCAUGUUCGUUUUCGUUUGGAUCACUCAAUGUUACAUAUGUAGAAAUUUGAUACCCAAACUCCCUUGUAAACAUAGAAGGUAUCUUUGCUUUACAUGUUUAUACUUUAAACAUCAAAUCAAAUGUUCAAAAUGAUAUACAGUAGCAUGAGUUUUUAUAAAACAAAAUCCAUAUAUUACUUAAAAAAUAGGGGUUAACACCAACUACUUACAUGUAAAUCCCUUUAGAAACCAAUGAACAUUGCAUCCACACCCACAUAAACGAUUGAAUAGUCUCCUUUUGUCACCGUCUUCUCUCCCUCUAAUUCUGCAUUUGAGAAAUCUGGUCAACAGUCACUCAAUCUUUUAUGCUACCGCUUGAUUAUGUUGUCACUGUCGCACCAAAGUUUCCCACGGCUUCCUGCCGGCACUAAGCUUUCAACGAUGUCAUAAGUGAGUCUCUAAAUCAAUAUACGGAUCCUCCACCAGUUUCCAAAAAUCGCAACACAAAUCACAUUUCUCCCAUUAAACCAUUAAAAAACAAUAUCUAACUUAAUUAUUCAUUACCAUAAUCAUCAGCAUUUCUUUGGUACGAUGAAUGAAAAACAAACAUUAAGUUGAAGCUCUCAUUUGCAAUUGAAAGUACUAUUCAAGAAAAGCUUCAAACUAUUUGAUAAGCAGGUAGAAAGAAUAAGUUUGAUAUUAAACUAAAACUAUGCUACUCAAAAUGAUAAAAGCAAAAUCAAGGACCAUAAACAAAGCAAAAUAAAAAAACAGGCGUACCAAAAAAAGUCGAUAGAUAGAAUCAAGGUUGAGAUGACAAAGUGGAGACCGGAAAUGAUGAUUCGGCGUGACGCAAUAAAACUAAGCAAGCGAAUGAUCCAAUGGGGUGACAUGCAUGAGGAUUUUGGGAAGAUGAACGAAGCGUGAAAGGACGUUGAGAAGGACGAACAAUCGACGAUGGGUGUUACGUUUGACGGUUGCAGGGGAGGAGAAGUGGAAGAUGCCGGUGGAGGUGUCGAGAGGGUAAGAGGUGAAAUGGGUCUCAAAGUUUGAAGGCAAAUGUUGAUUUUUUAUUUAAUUAUUUAUUAGAAAAUGAACAAAUUAAUUUUAACCUAAUAUUUUCCCACCAUCAUCCAAGCAUUAAAUUCUCCUUAGUUCUUUUCCUAAUCAUCACUACUAGAUCGUCUACCCGUGCUGCCGCACGGGUCAUAUACAGUUAAAAACAAAUUGAAUAGAUGUAAAAUACCCACAAAUUUUUUGACAAAACAAUAUAAUUGAGUUAAUAUGAAUUUGGAAAAUUACGCGGACUUCGCCACGGGAUUGGAUACACAAUUUUUUAAUAGGGUGGCUUAGGAAAAUACAUUAACUCAAUACGGCACUUAGGGUCCGUUUGGAUUAGCUUAUUUUAGAGUUUAUAUAAAAUAACUUAUGCAAAUAAAUAAGUUUUUAUGUAUUAUUUAUAAGUUUUCAAGCUAUUUUAUGGAAAAACAGGUUAUGAAGAUGUGAUUUUCGUUAGCGAGAGCUUAUAAAUUAAAAUAAAAACUUAUUUAUUUACAUAAGUUAUUUUUCAUAAGCCUAAAAUAAGCUCAAACCAAACGGGGCCUUAGUAUUACUGAACAUAAGCAGAUUCAAGCUUAAAAACAAAACCUACUUAACUAAAGCCAAUCCAAAAAAUUGCAAUACAAAUUUGGAUCCAAAAAAGUGACUGAUAUGUCAACCCUUAAUAAUUUAGACAAAAUAUGAAAUAUCAUAACAGGAAAAUACCUCUUCUCUAUCAUAACUUCAUGUUCGUUUCCGUUUGGAUCACUCAAUGUUACAUAUGUAGAAAUUUAAUACCCAAACUCCCUUGUAAACAUUUAUGAACAAUUAAAUUUGUUACAUAUGUACGAAUAUAAAGCACAAUUAAAUAUUUAUGAACAUGUAGGACGUAUAUUAUGUUAAUUACUAAUGAAGUUAACUACGCCUAACAUAAUACGAUCAAGCAUAGAUUAAAAAGCAACUUAUUGAAGUAAUAUUGCCUCUGCACAUGAAAAAAAAAACAUGUAAUAAAAAUAUUUUCUUAUACAUCUUAUGAAUGGCCAAAUGAACUAUAAAUACGUUUUUUAGCAAUCACAAACAUACUCCACCUUGUUGUAGAAAUAAUUAAAUAGUUUAAGCAUUAUAAAUUUUUAAAGGCUCUUCAUAAUUUUAGAAUUAUUAGUAAAUAUCUCUUAAAUAUAUCAAUGUGCUAUUUUUGUUCAUUUAGCACACAUUAAAGGACUUCAUGUAAUAAAAAUAAUAAUUAAUAUAAUUGAAUACAAUUUUACAAACUUUAGUUUACUUUUUCCUGUAAAUAAUUGUAUUUUUUUUAACCUUUCGUAAGGGUAAAGGGGAAAACAAUUAUACCAUCGUAAAAUUAUGUACGAAUAGAAAGCACAAUUAAAUAUUUAUGAACAAGUAGGACAUAUGUUAUCUUAAUUACUAAUGAAGUUAACUACGCCUUACAUAAUACGACCAAGCAUAGAUUAAAAAGCAACAUAUUGAAGGAACAUUGCCUCAACACAUGAACAAAAACAUGUUAUAAAAAGUUUUUCCUAUAAUCUUAUGAAUGACCAAAUGAACAAUAAAUAAGUUUUUUAACAAUCACAAACAUACUCAACCUUGUUGUAGAAAUAAUUAAAUAGUUUAAGCAUUAUAAAUUUUUAAAUGCUCUUCAUAAUUUUAGAAUUAUUAGUAAAUAUCUCUUAAAUAUAUCAAUGUGUUAUUAUUUUUCAUUUAGCACACAUUAAAGGACUUCAUGUGAUAAAAAUAAUAAUCAAUAAAAUUGAAUGCAAUUUUACAAACUUUAGAUUACUUUUUCCUGUAAAUAAUUGUAUUAUUAUUUUAUUUUAUCCUUUCGUAAGGGAAAAUGGGAUAACAAUUCUACCAUCGUAAAAUUAUGUACGAAUAUAAAGCAAAAUUAAAUAUUUACGAUCAAGUAGGACAUAUGUUAUGUUAAUUACUAAUGAAGUUAACUACGCCUCACAUAAUUAAUAUGACAAAGCAUAGAUUAAAAAGCAAUCUAUUGAAGGAACAUUGCCUCAACACAUGAACAAAAACAUGUUAUAAAAAGUUUUUCCUAUGAUCUUAUGAACGGCCAAAUGAACUAUAAAUAAGUAUUUUAGUAAUCACAAACAUACUCCACCUUCCUACGUUUUGGUACCUUAACUCUUCCUACGUCAACCACUUUGGUCCUUUAUUUUAGGAUGAAUGUAUUUGAGUUAAGGGACCAAAAUAAAACCAAAAAAUAAGUUAAGGGACCAAAACGAAAUUAAAAAAUAAGUUAUGGGACCGAAACGAAACUGUUAAUAGUUAAGGGACCAAAGCGAAACCAAAAAAUAAGUUAGGGGACCAAAAGAGUAAUUAAGCCUAAACUAUCGUAUGUGUUAACUCAUUCGUGGGAAAGGCUUUGAAUAAUCUGUUUUUAUAUCUAUGCUUACCAUUUUAAUUUGAAGAUCCUUCGAUUAUUUUAUUUUAUUUAGAUUCUAAAAGAGUUUCUUUCCAAUUUUUACAUGCAUAACCGUGUGUGUUAACUCAUUUAGAACACGGGAUAGCCUUAGGUAGCAUACAAUGCAAACUUAACUGAUAGUAUGGAUUAUGGAAUGCUUUGUCUUGAUAUUGGAACAACUCUGAACUCAGCUGUAUUAUUUUUUUGAAAAGAUUCUACAUAUAAACUUUAGGCAUGAACCAAAACUAUAUGAUGCAUUUGAAUCUUAUAGCAACCUACAACUCACAAAGUUGUUUAGCAUUGUGUUUGAUGGAAGAAUGUUCUCAUGAUGAAGAUGUUUAUUACACUCGAAAUUAUUCUUGUUAUUUCAUCAAAUUGAUUAGGAUCAAUUUUGAAGUGAAACCAAUUCAUGAAUAUUGAAUUAUUCAUAAAGUUAUUCAUUAAUGAUAUUGAUUGGAGAAUUAUCAAAGAUGAAACUUCAAUAUUAUAUGCAUGGAGAUUCUAUAGUAAAAUACUUAGGACGAUUCAAGAGUUUCCCAUCACUAUUCAAGAUAAGAAUAGAAAUAAAGCAAAGCAAUUUCGACAUUGAGAAAAGUUUUUCAUGUCUCUUAUAGAACAUUCUCGUCACAGAAUAAUCCUUGCGGAGACGAUUAUCUUACUACUAAAUUACUUAAGCAGUUGGUGCAUUUACCAGAUUUAUCAUCAUCUUUCAAAAUUUUGUUUAAACAUAGUAUUGUUUUCGAUUUUAGACAAGAUGGUUUUGACUUAAAACUAGUAAACACACUUAAAAACUAACCUUUUUUUAUAGAUUUUUUCUACCUACAUUAUACCUAAAAGUGAACAAAGUCUUCAAUUUCAAUUUUGGCGAUGUUGAACUUGUGAUAUUUUCAAUGCACUUCACCAAUUUCAACAUAACUAUUAAACUUAUUAUUAUAGGUGUGAUGUGUCCGGAUUGCAAACCAUGGUGAUAUCUCAAAAUUUACGAGACAAGGAGAUCCUAUAAAAAUAAAUUUAAGCCAAAAAAGCUGGAUGCAUAGAUGCAAACCAACCUAAAAUUCAUUAAAAAGAGAACAGAAAUACAAAGGGAAGGGGACUAGGCCGAAACUUCCAAACUAAUAAGAAAAUCUGAAAUUGGACCAGCCAUCUUUAUUCCUAAAGUAACUGGCCCUAGUGUACUCUGGUACAUCAUUCCAAAAGUGAAUAGAAUCAAGAGAUAAACCAUGAUUAGCCAAUGUGUCAGCUACUUGGUUUCCUUCUCUAUAUAUAUGUGAGAUAAUACAUUUGAGGCCCUGGAGAAUUACCUUGACAUUGUUCCAACGAUUUCAUAAGUUCCAAGGAAUCUGAUUAGUACUCUUAGAAGGAAGAACAACUAAUUAGUUCCAAGGAGAUCCUAUAAAUAAAACUCUUUGCUUCCUCGUUUCAUUUUCAUCAUCUUAUAAUACAAAGUCAUAACUUCAAGGUUCUUAAAACUAGGAAAAACAUAAGAAGAAAAUAAUAAUUAUUGAAUGCAUGAACAAAAACUAAAUGACAACAAGUGGAAUAUUCUAGCAUAAGGUAUAUUGAACAGUUCUCUUACUAGAGAAACAUAAUCUUUAACUGUCUAUCGGUGUACAAAAGCCACUACGACACCUAAUAUUAACUCCUCGAAAUUGUGGACAAUCUUUAUCUCUUUUACAACCCCUAAAAUUAAUCAUCUGACUAAAAGAAGAAUUAGUGCAAAGAAAUAUAGAAAGAAAUAAAAUUAUAACAUAAACUAACUUCGGAGUUUCACCCAUUUUUUUUCUUCCUAUUUGCAUCCAAAGAAUAGUAAAUGACUUGAUCUAUUUAUAGUGUAUAGUAAAGUUCAUGCUCUUGUAGAAAUAAUUAAAUAGUUUAAGAAUUAUAAAAUUUUAAAAGCUCUUCAGAAUUUUAGAAUUAUUACUAAAUGUCUCUUAAAUAUAUCAAUGUUUUACUUUUGUUCAUUUAACACACAUAGAAGGACAUCAUGUGAUAAAAAUAAUAAUCAAUAAAAUUGAAUGCAAUUUUACAAACUUUAGGUUACUUUAAUUUUUUUUGUAAAUAAUUGUAUUAUUUUUUUCACCUUUUGUAUGCGUAAAGGGGAAAACAAUUAUACCAUCGUAAAGUUAUGUACGAAUACAAAGCACAAUUAAAUAUUUAUGAACAUGUAGGACGUAUAUUAUGUUAAUUACUAAUAAAUUUAACUACGCCUAACAUAAUACGACCAAGCAUAGAUUAAAAAGCAACCUAUUGAAAGAACAUUGCCUCUACACAUGAAAAAAAAACAUGUAAUAAUAAUAUUUCCUUAUAAUCUUAUGAAUGGCCAAAUGAACUAUAAAUACGUUUUUUAGAAAUCACAAACAUACUCCACCUUGUUGUAGAAAUAAUUAAAUAGUUUAAGCAUUAUAAAUUUUUAAAGGCUCUUCAUAAUUUUAGAAUUAUUAAUAAAUAUCACUUAAAUAUAUCAAUGUGUUAUUUUUGUUCAUUUAGCACACAUUAAGGGACUUCAUGUGAUAAAAAUAAUAAUUAAUAUAAUUGAAUACAAUUUUACAAACUUUAGUUUACUUUUCCUGUAAAUAAUUCUAUUUUUUUUUUAACCUUUCGUAAGGGUAAAGGGGAAAACAAUUAUACCAUUAUAAAAUUAUGCACGAAUAGAAAGCACAAUUAAAUAUUUAUGAACAAGUAGGACGUAUGUUAUCUUAAUUACUAAUGAAGUUAACUACGCCUUACAUAAUACGACCAAGCAUAGAUUAAAAAGCAACAUUUUGAAGGAACAUUGCCUCAACACAUGAACAAAAACAUGUUAUAAAAAGUUUUUCCUAUAAUCUUAUGAAUGGCCAAAUGAACAAUAAAUAAGUUUUUUAACAAUCACAAACAUACUCCACCUUGUUGUAGAAAUAAUUAAAUAGUUUAAGCAUUAUAAAUUUUUAAAUGCUCUUCAUAAUUUUAGAAUUAUUAGUAAAUAUCUCUUAAAUAUAUCAAUGUGUUAUUAUUUUUCAUUUAGCGCACAUUAAAGGACUUCAUGUGAUCAAAAUAAUAAUCAAUAAAAUUGAAUGCAAUUUGACAAACUUUAGAUUACUUUUUUCCUUGUAAAUAAUUGGAUUAUUAUUUUUAUUUAUCCUUUCGUAAGGGAAAAUGUGAUAACAAUUCUACCAUCGUAAAAUUAUGUACGAAUAUAAAGCACAAUUAAAUAUUUAUGAUCAAGUAGGACAUAUGUUAUGUUAGUUACUAAUGAAGUUAACUACGCCUCACAUAAUACGACCAAACAUAGAUUCAAAAGCAACCUAUUAAAGGAACAUUGCCUCAAUACAUGAACAAAAACAUGGUACAAAAAGUUUUUCCUAUAAUCUUAUGAAUGACCAAACAAACUAUACAUAAGUUUUUUAGUAAUCACAAACAUACUUCACCUUUUUGUAGGAAUAAUUAAAUAAGCAUAUUAUAAAUUUUUUAAAGCUCUUCAUAAUUUUAAAAUUAUUAGUAAAUAUCUCUUAAAUAUAUCAAUGUGUUUUUUUUUUUCAUUUGGCACACAUAAAACGACUUCAUGUGAUAAAAAUAAUAAUCAAUAUAAUUAAAUACAAUCUUACGAACUUUAGUUUACUUUUUUCUGUAAAUAAUUGUAUUUUUUUUAGCCUUUCGUGAGGAUAAAGGGGAAAACAAUUACCAUCGUAAAGUUAUGUACGAAUAUAAAGCAGAAUUAAAUAUUUUUGAACAAGUAGGACAUAUGUUAUGUUAAUUACUCAUGAAGUUAACUACGCCUCACAUAAUUAAUAUGACAAAGCAUAGAUUAAAAAGCAAUCUAUUGAAGGAACAUUGUCUCAACACAUGAACAAAAACAUGUUAUAAAAAGUUUUUCCUAUGAUCUUAUGAAUGGCCAAAUGAACUAUAAAUAAGUAUUUUAGUAAUCACAAACAUACUCCACCUUCCUACGUUUUGGUACCUUAACUCUUCCUACGUCAACCACUUUGGUCCUUUAUUUUAGGAUGAAUGUAUUUGAGUUAAGGGACCAAAAUAAAACCAAAAAAUAAGUUAAGGGACCAAAACGAAAUUAAAAAAUAAGUUAUGGGACCGAAACGAAACUUUUAAUAGUUAAGGGACCAAAGCGAAACCAAAAAAUAAGUUAGGGGACCAAAAGAGUAAUUAAGCCUAAACUAUCGUAUGUGUUAACUCAUUCGUGGGAAAGGCUUUGAAUAAUCUAUUUUUAUAUCUAUGCUUACCAUUUUAAUUUGAAGAUCCUUCGAUUAUUUUAUUUUAUUUAGAUUCUAAACGAGUUUCUUUCCAAUUUUUACAUGCAUAACCGUGUGUGUUAACUCAUUUAGAACACGGGAUAGCCUUAGGUAGCAUACAAUGCAAACUUAACUGAUAGUAUGGAUUAUGGAAUGCUUUGUCUUGAUAUUGGAACAACUCUGAACUCAGCUGUAUUAUUUUUUUGAAAAGAUUCUACAUAUAAACUUUAGGCAUGAACCAAAACUAUAUGAUGCAUUUGAAUCUUAUAGCAACCUACAACUCACAAAGUUGUUUAGCAUUGUGUUUGAUGGAAGAAUGUUCUCAUGAUGAAGAUGUUUAUUACACUCGAAAUUAUUCUUGUUAUUUCAUCAAAUUGAUUAGCAUCAAUUUUGAAGUGAAACCAAUUCAUGAAUAUUGAAUUAUUCAUAAAGUUAUUCAUUAAUGAUAUUGAUUGGAGAAUUAUCAAAGAUGAAACUUCAAUAUUAUAUGCAUGGAGAUUCUAUAGUAAAAUACUUAGGACGAUUCAAGAGUUUCCCAUCACUAUUCAAGAUAAGAAUAGAAAUAAAGCAAAGCAAUUUCGACAUUGAGAAAAGUUUUUCAUGUCUCUAAUAGAACAUUCUCGUCACAGAAUAAUCCUUGCGGAGACGAUAAUCUUACUACUAAAUUACUUAAGCAGUUGGUGCAUUUGCCAGAUUUAUCAUCAUCUUUCAAAAUUUUGUUUAAACAGAGUAUUGUUUUCGAUUUUAGACAAGAUGGUUUUGACUUAAAACUAGUAAACACACUUAAAAACUAACCUUUUUUUUUAGAUUUUUUCUACCUACAUUAUACCUAAAAGUGAACAAAGUCUUCAAUUUCAAUUUUGGCAAAGUUGAAUUUGUGAUAUUUUCUAUGCACUUCACCAAUUUCAACAUAACUAUUAAACUUAUUAUUAUAGGUGUGAUGUGUCCGGAUUGCAAACCAUGGUGAUAUCUCAAAAUUUACGAGACAAGGAGAUCCUAUAAAAAUAAAUUUAAGCCAAAAAGGCUGGAUGCAUAGAUGCAAACCAACCUCAAUUUCAUUAAAAAGAGAACAGAAAUACAAAGGGAAGGGGACUAGGCCGAAACUUCCCAACUAAUAAGAAAAUCUGAAAUUGGACCAGCCAUCUUUAUUCCUAAAGUAACUGGCCCUAGUGAACUCUGGUACAUCAUUCCAAAAGUGAAUAGAAUCAAGAGAUAAACCAUGAUUAGCCAAUGUGUCAGCUACUUGGUUUCCUUCUCUAUAUAUAUGUGAGAUAAUACAUUUGAGGCCCUGGAGAAUUACCUUGACAUUGUUCCAACGAUUUCUUAAGUUCCAAGGAAUCUGAUUAGUACUCUUAGAAGCAAGAACAACAAAUUAGUUCCAAGGAGAUCCUAUAAAUAAAACUCUUUGCUUCCUCAUUUCAUUUUCAUCAUCUUAUAAUACAAAGUCAUAACUUCAAGGUUCUUAAAACUAGGAAAAACAUAAGAAGAAAAUAAUAAUUAUUGAAUGCAUGAACAAAAACUAAAUGACAACAAGUGGAAUAUUCUAGCAUAAGGUAUAUUGAACAGUUCUCUUACUAGAGAAACAUAAUCUUUAACUGUCUAUCGGUGUACAAAAGCCACUACGACACCUAAUAUUAACUCCUCGAAAUUGUGGACAAUCUUUAUCUCUUUUACAACCACUAAAAUUAAUCAUCUGACUAAAAGAAGAAUUAGUGCAAAGAAAUAUAGAGAGAAAUAAAAUUAUAACAUAAACUAACUUCGGAGUUUCACCCUUUUUUUUUCUUCCUAUUUGCAUCCAAAGAAUAGUAAAUGACUUGAUCUAUUUAUAGUGUAUAGUAAAGUUCAUGCUCUUGUAGAAAUAAUUAAAUAGUUUAAGAAUUAUAAAAUUUUAAAAGCUCUUCAGAAUUUUAGAAUUAUUACGAAAUGUCUCUUAAAUAUAUCAAUGUUUUCCUUUUGUUCAUUUAACACACAUAGAAGGACAUCAUGUGAUAAAAAUAAUAAAUCAAUAAAAAUGAAUGCAAUUUUACAAACUUUAGAUUACUUUAAUUAUUUCUGUAAAUAAUUGUAUUAUUUUUUUCACCUUUUGUAUGCGUAAAGGGGAAAACAAUUAUACCAUCGUAAAGUUAUGUACGAAUAUAAAGCACAAUUAAAUAUUUAUGAACAUGUAGGACGUAUAUUAUGUUAAUUACUAAUGAAUUUAACUACGCCUAACAUAAUACGACCAAGCAUAGAUUAAAAAGCAACCUAUUGAAGGAACAUUGCCUCUACACAUGAAAAAAAAACAUGUAAUAAAAAUAUUUCCUUAUAAUCUUAUGAAUGGCCAAAUGAUCUAUAAAUACGUUUUUUAGAAAUCACAAACAUACUCCACCUUAUUGUAGAAAUAAUUAAAUAGUUUAAGCAUUAUAAAUUUUUAAAGGCUCUUCAUAAUUUUAGAAUUAUUAGUAAAUAUCACUUAAAUAUAUCAAUGUGUUAUUUUUGUUCAUUUAGCACACAUUAAAGGACUUCAUGUGAUAAAAAUAAUAAUUAAUAUAAUUGAAUACAAUUUUACAAACUUUAGUUUACUUUUUCCUGUAAAUAAUUCUAUUUUUUUUUAACCUUUCGUAAGGGUAAAGGGGAAAACAAUAAUACCAUUAUAAAAUUAUGUACGAAUAGAAAGCACAAUUAAAUAUUUAUGAACAAGUAGGACGUAUGUUAUCUUAAUUACUAAUGAAGUUAACUACGCCUUACAUAAUACGACCAAGCAUAGAUUAAAAAGCAACCUAUUGAAGGAACAUUGCCUCAACACAUGAACAAAAACAUGUUAUAAAAAGUUUUUCCUAUAAUCAUAUGAAUGGCCAAAUGAACAAUAGAUAUGUUUUUUAACAAUCACAAACAUACUCCACCUUGUUGUAGAAAUAAUUAAAUAGUUUAAGCAUUAUAAAUUUUUCAAUGCUCUUCAUAAUUUUAGAAUUAUUAGUAAAUAUCUCUAAAAUAUAUCAAUGUGUUAUUAUUUUUCAUUUAGCACACAUUAAAGGACUUCAUGUGAUAAAAAUAAUAAUCAAUAAAAUUCAAUGCAAUUUUACAAACUUUAGAUUACUUUUUCCUGUAAAUAAUUGUAUUAUUAUUAUUUUAUUUUAUCCUUUCGUAAGGGAAAAUGGGAUAUCAAUUCUACCAUCGUAAAAUUAUGUACGGAUAUAAAGCACAAUUAAAUAUUUAUGAUCAAGUAGGACAUAUGUUAUGUUAAUUAGUAAUGAAGUUAACUACGCCUCACAUAAUACGACCAAGCAUAGAUUCAAAAGCAACCUAUUGAAGGAACAUUCCCUCAACACAUGAACAAAAACAUGGUACAAAAAGUUUUUACUAUAUUCUUAUGAAUGACCAAACGAACUAUAAAUAAAUUUUUUAGUAAUCACAAACAUACUCCACCUUUUUGUAGGAAUAAUUAAAUAAGCAUUUUAAUUUUUAAAAGCUCUUCAUAAUUUUAAAAUUAUUAGUAAAUAUCUCUUAAAUAUAUCAAUGUGUUAUUUUUUUUUCAUUUGGCACACAUAAAACGACUUCAUGUGAUAAAAAUAAUAAUUAAAUACAAUCUUACGAACUUUAGUUUACUUUUUUCUGUAAAUAAUUGUAUUUUUUUUAACCUUUCGUGAGGAUAAAGGGGAAAACAACUACCAUCGUAAAGUUAUGUACGAAUAUAAAGAAGAAUUAAAUAUUUUUGAACAAGUAUGACAUAUGUUAUGUUAAAUUACUAAUGAAGUUAACUACGCCUCACAUAAUUAAUACGACAAAGCAUAGAUUAAAAAGCAAUCUAUUAAAGGAACAUUGCCUCAACACAUGAACAAAAACAUGUUAUAAAAAGUUUUUCCUAUGAUCUUAUGAAUGGCCAAAUGAACUAUAAAUAAGUAUUUUAGUAAUCAGAAACAUACUCCACCUUGUUGUAGAAAUAAUUAAAUAGUUUAAGCAUUAUAAAUUUUUAACAGCUCUUCAUAAUUUUAAAAUUAUUAGUAAAUAUCACUUAAAUAUAUCAAUGUGUUAUUUUUUUUUUCAUUUGGCAGACAUAAAACGACUUCAUGUGAUAAAAAUAAUAAUCAAUAUAAUUGAAUACAAUUUUACAAUUCUUUUUUUUUCUUUUCUUUAUCUUAGUACAAUUUGGUAAAAUUAAGAGUCAGAGAACACUAUCGAUGAAAUUUUGUCUGGCGACGUUAUUACUGUUCACCGUCUUCCUUAAUGGUCUCUAAACCCUCCACCGCCAUGCCUAAUCAACCCCCUUCUUCUUCCCAACCUUUUCUAAUCCCAUGGAAAUGUCUGGACGAUUCUGAAUCUGUGAUGAUCGCACAAAAAACACCAACCAAAAAUUUACCCAAAGCUCAAAUGACGUUUGCGCAAGCCCUAACAAACGUUUGUGAUACUCCUUCCAGUCAGUUACCUAAACCUACAAUCAAAGGCGACAAGUUUUCAAUUUCGAUUCCUGAUGAGGAAUAUGAUUUGGGUUUGGAUGGAUGCAAAAAUAACCUUCAUGCACGUAUCAUCUGGCCAAAGGGUUCCUCACCCUUAACUGUUGUUGCCUUGAAAGAAAAGUUAAAGCCUAUAUGGAAAAACCUAGCUCCAUGGGGUGUUACAUCCAUAGGGAAAGGGUUUUAUGAAUUUGUGUUUUCCUCUAUUGAGGAUGCUCGUAGGGUAAGAUCUGUUGGUUCAUGGAUUUUAAAUCCAGGGCUGCUGAAACUCUUUCCUUGGACAAGUGAUUUCAGUCCAAACCUGCAAACUAAUACCUCAGCUCAAGUAUGGUUGAAAAUUCAUGGUCUUUCUCAAGAAUACUGGAGAAAGAGGAUUAUUUUUGCGAUUGCAAGCAGUGUUGGCACCCCCAUCUGUGUGGACUCUAUUACAAGUAAGCCUGCUAUUGAAAGGACUUUUGGCCACUUUGCUAGGGUUUUGAUUGAUAUUGAUCUGAGUAAGGAACUGAGAUAUGAGGUUCUUGUGGAAAGGAGAGGUUAUGCUUUCUUUGUGGAGUUGGAAUAUGAGAAUCUACCAGAUUUUUGUGGUUAUUGCCAGGCGGUGGGUCAUAAUGUUAGUGUUUGUAGGAAAGCUAACAAGAAACACAUGGAAACAAAUCAACAUGUGGGAAACAGUGGAGCAGCUGCGGUGAUGAAUGACAAAAAUAAAGGAAAAGCUCCUCUGGAAAAACAGGACAACGUUUGGAUCCCUAAAACAACUUCUGUUGUUGAUUUAGAAGCUGAAAAUCAAGACAAACAAAUACAUCUACAAGAUGAGGGGAACAAAGACUCGGAUGGUACAAAAUCAAAUGCAUCACAGGCGCAACCUCAACCUGUAGCAAUUGAAAUCAUUAGUAACUCCCCUGUUGUGGAAAGGGUGCAACCUGAAGUUCAGCAAUCAGUUGAAGAUGUUAGUGAUAACAGCUCUCAAGAAUCUGAAUUUGUAGAUGCUACUCAACAACACAAUGAUGAUACGGAUGAUAUUUCAAGUCAGGAGCAAGAUUCAACUAUCAGAACUCAGCAAAAUACGCAUUUUCUCAAUCAAUCAUGGGCUAAUCUUGCAGCUACUGAUGAGGAUUUGAUCAGGCAACAGGAAGCGGAGCUAGUUGCAAAAUUAGCUCAGGAAGCAGACAUAGAUGUGCAGAUUUAUCAGGAGGAUCUAAACAAUAUAGAAGCUUCUAGAUUUGAGUUGGUGACUAAUAGAAGAAAGAAAAUCCACAAGGCUAAAUCAAAUAAAGCAAGCAGCUCAUACCUUACUAGGUCUAAGGUCCCAACUAAACUUUCUCAAUGAAGUGCUUAUAUUGGAAUAUAAGGGGAUUAGCUAACUCCCCAUCAAGGUUAGCCCUUAAAAAUUUAAUUACUGCUCAUAAACCACAUAUUGUCAUUAUCUCUGAACCUUGGCUUUUGUUUGAACAUUUCCCUAGACAUUGGUUUCACAGACUGCGUUUUAAACUCUUUGCCCUAAAUACUAGAAAUAAUCUUGAUCCUAAUCUAUGGUGCUUGUGCCUCAAUCAUUUAACCCCUGAUGUUUUGUCCAUCACUGACCAACAAAUUACUUUUUCCCUAAAAGACAACAACAUAACUUUUGCUAUAUCAGCCAUAUAUGCUUCCACCAACUACAUACAUAGGAGACAACUCUGGCAAACCCUAACAAACCUUCAAAACCAAUACAAUUUACCUUGGUGCUCUAUUGGUGAUUUCAACACCAUAUUGGGGUCUCAUGAGCACAGGGGUACCUCAACUCCAGCUAGAGGUCCCAUGAAUGAUUUUGCUGAAUGGUCCAAUCAAAAUUAUCUUUUCCAUCUACCAACUAGAGGAGUGCAAUUUACCUGGUCCAGUGGUAGGAGUGGACGAAGGCUCACCGAAAGGAGGUUAGACAGAGCAAUAUGCAAUCAAUCAUGGUUGGAUAUGUGCUCCGCUUUAAAUGUUUCCACUCUCUCAAGGCUGAAGUCUGACCAUUUUCCUUUACUAAUGGAUUUUGAAACCUCUACAAUCUCUUUUGCUUCACAAUUUAAAUUCAUGAAUAUGUGGAGUUUGCAUGCUGAUUGUAAAAAUCUGAUUCAACAAAGUUGGAAUGAAACUGUUGUGGGAUGCCCUAUGUUUAUUUUGAACCAAAAGCCGAAGAACCUCAAACAAAAACUCAAGAUAUGGAACAAAACAGUUUUUGGCAAUCUCAACUCGAUAGUUAAAGAAGCCGAACAAAAGUUGCUAUACAUCCAAGAUGAAAUUGACUCCAAUGGUGCCACUGAAACUCUUCUUGAACAUCAAAAAAUGGCACAGAUUUCUUUGGAGCAUGCUUUAGAAAUAGAAGAGGAGUUUUGGAGGGAAAAAUCCAAUAAUGCUUGGCAUGCUCAAGGAGACAGAAACACCAAAUAUUUCCACAGACUAGCCAACAUCAAACACACAUCCAAACGCAUUGAUUCUAUUAAGGAUGGGGAGAACUUGAUUAUUGAGCCAGACAAAUUUCAUCUCACAUAACAAAUCACUUCCAAAAUAUUUUUUCUUCUAAUUUUUCUGUGCAGGAUUUGCAGGUUGAUGAAUUAAUUGAUGGUGUGAUUCUAACAUGAUAAAUGAAGACUCUAAUCAUAUUCUCACAAUGCUUCCAACUCCCCAAGAAAUCUUCCAGGCUGUUUGUUCUUUGAAGAAGGAUAGUGCUCCAGGCCCUGAUGGUUUUGGGGCAAGUUUUUAUCAAAAUUAUUGGGAGAUUGUAAAGAAUGAUGUUAUUAAUGCUGUUUUGGAAUUUUUUACAAAGGACUGGUUGCUCCCUAACUUUAACUCCAAUACCAUUGUGCUUAUACCUAAAGUUUCAGAGGCAUUGACAGUAAAUCAGUAUAGGCCAAUUGCCCUGGCCAACUUCAAGUUCAAGAUUGUUUCUAAGAUUCUUGCAGAUAGGUUAGCUCCCAUCAUGAAGAACAUCAUCUCUCCUCAGCAGCGGGGCUUCAUUCAAGGUAGGAACAUAAGGGACUGUAUUUGUGUAACUUCUGAAGCUAUCAAUCAACUCCACAACAAGUCUUUUGCAGGGAAUUUGGCAUUCAAAGUUGACAUUUCUAAAGCUUUUGACACUUUAGAAUGGAAGUUUCUGAUCAAAGUUUUAAGUAGUUUUGGUUUCAAUGACAGAUUUUGCUCAUGGAUAAAAACCAUUCUAAAUUCUGUCUCUUUAUCUAUUAAUGUGAAUGGUAAACUGCAUGGGUUUUUCAAAUGCAAGAGAGGGGUCAGGCAGGGAGACCCACUUUCUCCACUUCUCUUUUGUAUUGCUGAAGACGUUUUAAGCAGGAAUAUUUAUAAACUGGUAGAACAAGGCAAACUCAACCUUAUCAAAGGCACAAGAAACACUCCAGUUCCUUCUCAUUCCUUAUAUGCGGAUGAUAUUAUGAUAUUUUGUAAGGGGAAUAUUUCUUCUGUUCAUGCUCUAAUGAAUCUUUUUAAUUCUUAUGCUUUGGCUUCAGGACAGUUUAUCAAUCCUUCCAAGUCUACGGUUUUUCAUGGUUCCAUUUCAAAUGCUAGACUGGAGCAGAUUGUUAACUUAAUUGGCUUUAACAGAGGCACCCUCCCUUUCUCUUACCUUGGAGUCCCAAUUUUCAAGGGGAAGCCAAAGAAGUCUCAUUUACAACCUAUUGCUGACAAGAUAAAAUCUGAGCUUAGUGCGUGGAAAGCAUCUCUUUUAUCCAUUGCAGGAAGAGUCACUUUAGUCAAGUCGGUAAUUCAAGGAAUGAUGAUACACACUAUCUCUGUGUACUCUUGGCCCACCUCAUUAAUUAAAUAUGUUGAGGUUUGGAUUAGGAAUUUUAUAUGGAGUGGAGAUAUUUCAAAGAGGAAAUUGGUAACGGUUUCUUGGAAGAAAGUCUGUAGACCCUUUUCUAAAGGAGGGUUGGGAUUGAGAUCUUUACACACGGUUAAUGAGGCUGCCAACUUGAAGUUGUGUUGGGAUCUCAAAAAUUCAAUGGAAGACUGGGCCAUUCUUUUACGGAGCAAGGUCUGCAGAGGUAACAACAUCAUUUCUCAUCAUAUUUUCUCAUCUAUUUGGAGUAGUGUUAAAUCUGAGUUCAAUACCAUCAAUGAUAAUUGUUGUUGGAUCAUUGGUAAUGGGGAAAAAAUUAAUUUCUGGUUGGAUUCUUGGCUUGAGAAACCGAUUGCUUCCAUUCUUAACUUGCCUGAAACUGUUCACGGUAACUUAAAGGACAAGGUGUGUGAUUUUUUGCACAACUCAACAUGGCACCUCCCACAACAUCUUCUAAAUUCAUUCCCCAAUCUGGGGCAUAUUGUUAUGCAAGUUACUCUUCCGAGUGAAUCAAAGGAGGAUAGUUUGGUUUGGAAACAUUGUGCAUCAGGGGCUUUAUCUUUUAAAGACGCCUUUUUGUUCAAAUAUGGUUUAGGGCAGAAUGUUUCUUGGGCUAAACAAAUCUGGUGCACAGACAUACCUCCCUCUAAGUCUUUGAUGACUUGGAAGCUCAUGCACAAUAAACUAUCAACAGAUGAAAAUCUAAUGCUUAGGGGUUGUAAUUUACCUUCAAUGUGCUCAUCUUGUCAAGCUUCUUCAGAAACUACCUUUCAUCUCUUCUUUGAAUGCAAUUUUGCUACUAAAAUGUGGUCUUGGCUAGCUUCCCUUCUCAAUACUCCUCUUCAAUUCAGCACCUCUGCAGAUAUGUGGUCUCCUCUUCAACUCAACUGGACUCCUCAAUGCAAAGUGGUGAUAACGGCCUGCAUCAUAAACUUGUUAAAUGUUAUCUGGUUUAGAAGAAACAACAUCCGUUUUCAAGACAAAGUGAUUGAUUGGAAAACAGCCAUCAAUAUGAUUAUCUCUAAAGUCUCACUUUCAGGUAACUUAACCAAAAAAACAUCAGCUGCUAAUAUGUUGGAGUUCACAAUUUUCAAAGCCUGCAAGGUUAGCAUCAAGCCCCCCCAGGACCCCUCUGCUCAAAGAAGUUAUUUGGGCUCCUCCUCUGAAUUCUUGGGUUAAAAUUAACACGGAUGGGGCAUCAAUUAAAAAUCCUACUAGAGCUGCAGCUGGUGGUAUCUUCAGAAAUUCGGAUGGUGCUUGUUUGGGUGGAUUUGCUCAGUAUCUUGGUAGUGCAAAUGCUUUGUAUGCUGAACUGUCGGCAGCUAUGAAUGCAAUUGAAAUUGCUUCACUAAUGGGCUUCUCCAAUGUGUGGUUAGAAUCAGACUCUCAAUUGGUGAUUUUGGCGUUUAACUCAAUUUAUGUGGUUCCUUGGGGGUUAAGAAAUAGGUGGGAAAAUUGCUUAAAACUUACUUAUAAUAUGAGGUUUUGUGCUUCUCACAUCUAUAGGGAAGGGAAUACUUGUGCAGAUAAACUUGCUAACUUUGGUUUAUCUUUGUCCUCUUUGGAUUUAUUUUGGUUUGAUUCCAUACCUGCUUUUGUAAGCGAGGAGUACAAUAGGAAUAGGUUGGGAAUGCCCAAUUUUAGAUAUGUAACCUUUUGAAAAGGUUUGGUUUGGUCCCCCUUUUCUUCUUUGUACUUUUUUUCUCUCUUUUUAAUGAAUUAAUCUGAUGCUCUUUGCAUCGUUUAUAAAAAAAAAAGAAUACAAUUUUACAAACUUUAGUUUACUUUUUCCUGUAAAUAAUUCUAUUUUUUUUUAACCUUUCGUGAGGGUAAAGGGGAAAACAAUUAUACCAUUAUAAAAUUAUGUACGAAUAGAAAGCAGAAUUAAAUAUUUUUGAACAAGUAUGACAUAUGUUAUGUUAAAUUACUAAUGAAGUUAACUACGCCUCACAUAAUUAAUACGACAAAGCAUAGAUUAAAAAGCAAUCUAUUAAAGGAACAUUGCCUCAACGCAUGAACAAAAACAUGUUAUAAAAAGUUUUUCCUAUGAUCUUAUGAAUGGCCAAAUGAACUAUAAAUAAGUAUUUUAGUAAUCAGAAACAUACUCCACCUUGUUGUAGAAAUAAUUAAAUAGUUUAAGCAUUAUAUAUUUUUAACAGCUCUUCAUAAUUUAAAAAUUAUUAGUAAAUAUCUCUUAUAUAUAUCAAUGUGUUAUUUUUGUUCAUUUAGAAAACAUAACAGGACUUAAUGUGAUAAAAAUAAUAAUCAAUAUAAUUGAAUACAAUUUUACAAACUUUAGUUUACUUUUUCCUGUAAAUAAUGGUAUUUUUUUUAACCUUUUGUGAGGUAAAGGGGAAAACAAUUAUACCAUCUUAAAGUUAUGUACGAAUAUAAAGCACAAUUAAAUAUUUUUGAACAAGUAGGACAUAUAUGUUAUGUUAAUUACUAAUGAAGUUAACUAAGCCUCACAUAAUACGACCAAGCAUAGAUUAAAAAGCAAUAUAUUGAAGGAACAUUGCUUCAACACAUGAACAAAAACAUGUUAUAAAAAGUUUUUCCUAUGAUCUUAUGAAUGGCCAAAUGAACUAUAAAUAAGUUUUUUAGUAAUCACAAACAUACUCCACCUUGUUGUAGAAAUAAUUAAAUAGUUUAAGAAUUAUAAAUUUUUAAAGGCUCUUCAUAAUUUUAGAAUUAUUAGUAAAUAUCUCUUAAAUAUAUCAAUGUGUUAUUUUUGUUCAUUUAGCACACAUUAAAGGACUUCAUGUGAUAAAUAUAAUAAUCAAUAUAAUUGAAUACAAUUUUACAAACUUUAGUUUACUUUUUCCUGUAAAUAAUUGGAUUUUUUUUAACCUUUUGUUAGGGUAAAGGGGAAAACAAGUAUACCAUCGUAAAGUUAUGUACGAUUAUAAAGCACAAUUAAAUAUUUUUGAACAAGUAAAAUGUAUUUUAUGUUAAUUACUAAUGAAGUUAACUACACCUCACAUAAUACGACCAAGCAGAGAUUAAAAAAGCAAUCUAUUGAAGGAACAUUGCCUCAAAACAUGAACAAAAACAUGUUAUAAUUUUUUUUUUCAUAUACUCUUAUGAAUGGCCAAAUGAAUUAUAAAGAAGUUUUUUAGCAAUAACAAACAUACUUCACAUUGUUGUAAGAAAAUUGAUAACUGGUGAAUAAAUUGGUUACCACGUUGCACUUAACUCUUAUAUUGGACAAGUAAUUUAGUGAUUGCAGUGCUUUAACAUCUAAUAUGUGUUUAUUUUAGAAUUUUAUGCUUUUAAGUGUUUUUAGUAUUUUGGAACUAGUAAUGCUUGUUUAUGAUGUUUGAUGAUGUAGGUUAAGGAAUUAAUUUUUGAAAACAUCACAGCGAAAUAAUAAUAUCAUUGCAUCUCAUCAACAUGCAUUAAAGAUGUAUAAAGCUCCAAAGCAAUUAAUUUUUGAUGAUGUAGGUUUUAGGACUUUGGAAUUAACAUGCAUAAUUAAUUUUUCAAAACAUCACAGCGAAAUAAUAAUAUCAUUGCAUCUCAUCAACAUCUAAACAAAACCUCCAAAGUAGCUCCAAACUAAGAAUCUCGAAAAGUCAUAGAAUCUAUAUAACAGACAGAUACACUAAUUAGAGGCGACACACUAAGAAUCUGAAAGCAAACGACGAGGUAGCUCCAAAGCUAGCCUCCGGCAACUCACCAAGUAAAACAAAUCUACUCAUCCAUACAAAUAAGGUAGGUAGUCAACCAAAUGACCACUGGGUCAAUUCACAUUUCGCAAUUAAAGUAUAAACAAAUGAAAAUGAACGACUUAAUUAAAUUCAAUUGAUUAAACAACACUUAAGCAGCUGAACAUCAUUAAUAAUCAUCAAUCAUAUAAGUAUAAUACUACCUCCGUUUCUUUUUAAUUGUCACUUUUUGAAAUUUUACACAAAACAAGACAAUUAAUAAAUCUUACUACUUUUGAUACAAUUGUUUUUACUUUUACUAUAAAGACCUUGCUAAUUUAAUAUUUCAAUUCAUAUGUUUCUCUCUCUGCAAUAAAUAUCUAAGGGUAAUAUUGGUAAAACAUCAUUUAAUGUUACAUUGAACUUUGAAAGUGACAGUUAAUUAGGAACAAAUUUUUUCUCUAAAAGUGACAGUUAAAAAAGAACGGAGGGAGUAAUACACAAGUACAUUUUCAACAUCAUCACAUAUUCACCAAGCACGUGAUUCACCAAGUUCACCAAUGCACAUAAAUCACCAAGGUUCACCAAGCACAUAAACAAAUACGACACAUUUAAUCAAUUAUCAUAUGUAUGUAAUGCGCCUAAACACGACUCUAUAUGCAUGUGCUACUGGUCAUCAUCAAGGUCGUCACCUCAAAAUACAAAUGUAUCAUAGUCAUCAUCAUUUGAACGUAUUCAAGUCGUCUUCGUUGGAUAUAAUAUCAUAGCCGUCUUCAUUGGAUAUAAAUAUCAUACUUAUGAAUGCAUGAACAUACGACUCAACAAUGCAUACAUUCAAUAACAAAUCCUCAUCAUUUUCUUCUUAAUUUUUCAUACAUGCAUUCGUCAUCAAUAACGUCGUCAUUUUGCAUGUAAUGAUUCAUCAACAUAAAUCAUCCUCAUCAUAAUCAUUAUCAACAACAAUCAACUCAAGAACCAACAAAGUUCCAAAAUCACAUUUGCAUAAAAGACGGACAAUUAUCUACAUCAUGACAUUCAUCAAAUUAAACGACCACUCAUCGUGGAUUCAUUCUAAUUUUAUCAUAUCAUCAUGAAUAUAAAACCUCAUUUCAACAAAGUUAGUCUAUUUUCAUAAAAUCAACAAUAUUCAAUUUUACCAACCAAAUUAGGAUUCCAAGUUCUUACAUACCAUUAAGACAUCCCUACGUAUCAUCUAACAUCUUAGUUAAUCAAUCAUAACAAGUUCACUUCACAAAGUUCAACUAGUUCUCAAAAAUUGCAAAGUUCAAACUCAAUUCAUUUCUAGGUAAAAUCAGUUAAACCACUUUGAAACAACACUAAUUCAUGAUUACAUACUCAUUUAUUCACUAUAAAUACUUCCUUAAGCUGAAUAUUAUUUUUGAAAAUGUUUCAUGGUUUUGUGAAAAAGUUAUGAUAAAGUUUCAUGAAAAACUGACACAUGACCUAUGUGUAGUAAUUUGACCAUAAAUCAAAUUCUAGAAAACAUUUUGAAGCCACCCACUAAUUAUCACACAACCUAACCCUUCGUAUAAUAUAUUUUAGAAAACCCAAUCAAUCGAAUAGUAAGCCUUCACAAAUUCCAUUUUUAAAAUCAAGCAUUCACACAUUGACAUUUUUAUCAUAUCUACCACUUCGUUCACAACCAUCACCCCAUCCACCAAAUGUCUAUUCACAAAAAAAAACUGAUUGAGAGGUUAAAAUAAUAGAAUUCACCAUCUUUAACAGUCUUGCCACCAAAACCAUUGAGAAUAGCUUAUACAAACUACCAAAUACUUGACAUUCGGAAUAAAAGUCACAAAAUAGGACAAAAAAGUUUGUGAAAAUUUUUCAUUGACCAUAAAAUUGAUCAAACAUUAUCUGAAUUUCAUGUUUUAAAAAGUUCCAAAUGUCCUUGAAAAAAGUAUUAUUAAAACAAUGGAAGACCAAAAAAUAACAUCAAAACCGUCAAACCUUCAUACAUUUAAAAUUAUAAUGGCUAACGUGGUUCAUUAUAUUUACAAAUAAAAAAGUCACGUUGACUAAUAGGAUUAAGUUUUUUUUUUUUUUUUAUCUUAUAUGUUUAGGUACGCAAGUAGAAUAAUUGUUUAUUCCAACAGACACUUUCUUUAGAUAGAUGAAAGUUUUGUCCACGCGAGCUUAGCUCAGUUGGUUUGAACAAUGCAUAAUAUAUGUAAGAUCCAGAGCUCAAACCCUGAUCACCACAAAAAAAAGAUAGAUGAAAGCUUUAUAAAUUGAUUUAAAUCCAACGACAACGGAUGUGUUGGUUGUUGUGUAAGGUAAAAUAUUCUUUCUUACAAUUAGAGGUAGCGUUGGCAAUGAACCGAACCAACUCGAAAAUAGUUCGAUACUCGAUUCGACAAUUGGUUCGUUGAACUUGGUUCACACCAAAUGAGUCGAACUUGAGUUGUAAAUUAAGCUCGUUAAAUAAAUGAAUUGAACUUGAACUUAGUAUGGUUCGACUCGUCUGGUUCAUGAACAAGCUCGACAUAUAUACAUACACAAUUUUUUAUAUAAUAUAGGAUUUCUUACAAACUUCUUCUAAUAAUUAUGCACUUUUUUCAUAUAAAAUAUUACUAAUUGCUAAUUUAAUAAAAAUCAAUGAUAAUUGUAAUACUAGAAAGGGGGAAAAAAGUUAAUGCUUUCACAAGGCUUUAAAAUAAAGUUGCGCAUAAAAAUUGUCCCACAUCGAGGAGUUUUGCAAAAGAUUAGAGAGGAGGAGUAUAUAUAUACAAGCGGUGCAUUAUAAGUGCAACAUAUAAAACUAAUAGUGGUAGUAUAUGCUACAGUAACAGUAAAUAUAAAGUGCUGCUACCUUUCUAAAGGUUUUGCAUUAUAUUAUUGUUGUUUUAAAGGUUUUGUUUUUUCAGGUCAAAGACAUAUAUUUUUGACAAAAAAAACUUUUUUUUGAAAUAUGCAAUUUGAGCAAAUGAGGUGAACCUAAUGAGUCGAACCGAGUGGUUCAUGAACUUUAAACAAGCCGAACUCGAGCUAAAAAAAAGGUUCGUUUGAAACUCGAGCCGAACCAAUUCUUAUUGAGUUGAGUCGAGCUCAGACAGUUUCGAUUUGACUCGACUCAUUUUCAGCCUUAGGUGGACAACUGUCGGAUUCGAUCUUAAAACCUUGAUCCGAAGGACACUUGUGGGUGGUAAAAAGGAACCCACCAGCUCUGACCAUUAGUUCAUGGGCUAGGACGGAUUUUAGGUUGAGGAAAAAAGUGGGUCUGGUGGGCUGGUAGCUUUGGUUUAUUCUUGUCGUCAUCUUCAAAUUUUAUGCAAGAUCAGACAAACAAAGCAGAAUGGCAGUCGAAUCAUAUGCUUGUAGUAGUGUGGUGGUCGUGGAAUAGAUUAAACGGAGGACCAAAUGUUAAUUUUGUUAUGAGUAACAUAUAUUUAUGAGUUAAAUUUUGUUCCCCAAUUUUGUAGGAAAAUUUGUAGCAUUACAAGAACCUCCACCAUAACUUUAGAGUUUUAAUACGAGUGAUAAAUUAGUUAUGAAUUUCUUUAAAAAAAAUUAUAAUUAAUAAUUAUAAUUAAUUUGUCUUUAAUCGUGGUGGAGUUUAUUAUGAUGAUUCAAACAUGCUUAUAAAAUUGGUAGCGAAAAUUGAUCUGUCAGUAUAUGCUUACUCAAAAUAAAAUUGUAAUUUUGCACAUUUUGAUCGAAAAAUCAAAAUAACUCAAGGUCUCUUAAGAAUUUUUUUUUUUUUGUUUACGGGGUCUCUUAAGAAUGUUGUGAUACUUUAGAGAUCCUUCAUAUGUAUUUCUAUAGAUGACUCGGCAAAAAAAAAAAAAAACUUAAAAUUUGAUUUCUAGAUUGAUGUUUUCGUUGUUUUAGUUUUGGAGAUUUUGACGCGAAAAUAAAAUUUGUUUAUGAUUCAUAUAUAUUUCUAUAGAUCCUUCAUAUUUCAGCUUCUUAAUUCAUUUAUUACUAAAAAAAUGAAAUUUGUUGAGUUAGAAAAUAAAAUAUUUAUGAUUCAACCAAAAUUAGUUUUGGAAAAAAUAUAUAUAUUCCCACAUCUUAAAAAAAAAAACACUACCAGGUGUGAUUGGACUGUUAUAUGACCAAAAUAGAAUCUGUUGAUAUUGGCUUCAAAUUUGUGGUCUGGAAGAACAGAGAAAUCGUGACACGAUUUUGGCAUCGUGACACGAUUUCAAGUGGCCGUGAGCUAGUUUGCAGGACGCCAAAUCGUGGCACGAUCUUGGGAAAUCGUGACACGAUUCAGAAACUUGCUCGUUAAGUAUCACUGAUAAGGACUUGUCUACCUUGGGUCCGUUGCAGAUCGUGACACGAUCUAGGGAAAUCGUGGCACAAUUUCUUCAGAGGAAGACUAGUAUAUAUUGUGUUCUUCUGCUUUUUUGAAGUGAAUCUUAAGAGAGCUUGUAUGAGCUUAGAGAGAGAACUUGGAUAGCAAAGGAGGGAACCAAUGGGUUGAGUGUCUUUGUUGAGAGUGUCUCUUGGGUUUGGGAAAACAUUGUAAUCACCUUGGGUUUUAGGGUUCAUAGUGUGAGAGUGGGGAAACACCAAAGGGUAGAGUCUAGGGUUUGUUCAUGUGUAAAGCUUGAAGGCUAGAGUUCUUCUAACCUUUUGUAACACUUUCUCAUAUUGGAUUGGAGAGCUGCUCUCUCCCCCAGAUUAGGCCAUAUUGGCUGAACUGGGUCAACAAUCUUCUCGGUGUUUUGUUCUUCCUUUUACCGCUUAUCUUGUUUUGCUUUGGUAUCUCUUUGUGUGGUUUUGCUAUACACUAGUCUAGGGCUGUUUUGUUGUUGUUUGCUUGGAGACCAUUUGUUCUCAUUGAUUACCACUAUCUCUUGCUCCACACAUCAUUGUUUAUUUCAUUGGUGUGAAGGUUUUUUUUUUGAACCGGAUUCACAACAAUUGGCGCCCACUGUGGGGCAUAGGCGUAUUUGAUAGUUGGUAUCAUGGGGUCAAAGUGGGACAUCAAGAAGUUCACCGGAAGUAAUGAUUUCGGGUUGUGGAAGGUUAAGAUGCAAGCGGUUUUGACACAACAAAAGUGUGUAGAAGCAUUGAAGGGUGAAGCGGCGAUGCCGGCAACCUUGACACAAGAGGAGAAGCGUGAGAUGGUAGACAAGGCAAAGAGUGUCAUUGUCUUAUGUCUCGGAGAUAAGGUCUUAAGGGAUGUCGCGAGAGAAGCUACCGCGGCAUCGAUGUGGGCGAAGUUGGAGUCAUUGUAUAUGACGAAAUCUUUGGCUCAUAGGCAACUCUUGAAGCAACAACUCUAUUCAUUCAAGAUGGUGGAGUCUAAAUCAAUCUCGGAGCAACUUACGGAGUUUAACAAGAUUCUUGAUGAUUUGGCCAACAUUGAAGUUAACAUGGAAGAUGAGGAUAAGGCUUUGUUGUUACUUUGUUCAUUACCAAAGUCCUUUGAGCAUUUCAAGGAUACCAUCCUUUAUGGUAAGGAGGGCACUACUACUUUGGAGGAGGUCCAAGCGGCUUUGAGAACCAAGGAAUUGACCAAGUUCAAUGACAUGAAGGUUGAUGAAGGUACUGAAGGCUUGAAUGUUACAAGAGGGAGGAAUGAGCAUAGAGGAAAAGGCAAAGGGAAAUCAAGAUCCAAGUCUAGGUCCAAGGGCUUUGACAAAUCAAAGUAUAAAUGCUUUCUUUGUCACAAGCAAGGUCAUUUCAAGAAAGAUUGUCCGGAUAAGGGGGGCGAUGGUAGUCCCUCGGUUCAAGUUACGGAGACUUCAAAUGAAGAAGGUUAUGAGAGUGAGGGUGCACUAGUGGUAACAAGUUGGGAACCGGAGAAGAGCUGGGUUUUGGACUCGGGAUGCUCUUAUCACAUGUGUCCUAGAAAGGAAUAUUUUGAGACUUUGAUUCUAAAAGAAGGAGGAGUUGUUUGACUCGGAAAUAACAAAGCUUGCAAAGUCCAAGGCAUGGGCAACGUUCGUCUAAAGAUGUUUGAUGGCCGUGAAUUCCUUUUAAGGGAUGUGAGGUUUGUUCCCGAACUUAAGCGUAAUUUAAUUUCCCUAAGCAUGUUUGAUAAUCUAGGUUAUUGCACUAGAAUAGAGCAUGGGGUUUGUAAAAUUUCGCAUGGUGCAUUGAUUACGGUUAAGGGGUCUAGAAUGAAUGGUUUAUACAUUUUAGAUGGUUCCAUAGUAAUUGGUAAUGCAUCGGUAGCUAGUGUUGCAUCUCAUAAUAAUUCUGAAUUGUGGCAUUUGAGAUUGGGGCAUGUUAGUGAGAGGGGUUUAGUUGAACUAGCUAAACAAGGUUUGCUAGGGAAAGAUAAAUUGAACAAGCUAGAAUUUUGUGAGCAUUGCAUACUAGGCAAACAACAUAGGGUGAAGUUUGGAAGUGGCAUGCAUCAUUCUAGUAGGCCUUUUGAGUAUGUGCAUUCGGAUCUUUGGGGUCCUUCUAAGACUCCUACUCAUGGGGGAGGUUUCUAUUUUCUUUCUAUCAUUGAUGAUUAUUCUAGGAGAGUGUGGGUCUUUUUGAAAAACAAAAGUGAUACCUUUGAAAAGUUCAAAGAAUGGCACACUCUCAUAGAAAAUCAAAUGGGAACUAAACUAAAAGGUUUAAGAACUGACAAUGGCCUGGAGUUUGUUUCAGAGCAGUUUAAUGAGUUUUGCAGGUUGAAAGGAAUCAAGAGGCAUAGAACCGUACCAAGAACACCGCAACAAAAUGGUCUUGCGGAACGCAUGAACAGGACUCUUUUGGAGCGUGUGAGGUGUAUGAUUCUAGGAGACGGGUUACCGAUGAGUUUCUGGGGUGAAGCCGUGACAACGACUGCUUAUUUGAUCAAUAGAUGUCCAUCAACGGGAAUAGACUUCAAGACACCUAUGGAGGUAUGGAGUGGGAAACCGGCAGAUUACUCCUCUUUGAAGGUUUUCGGAGCUUUGGCAUAUGCGCAUAUCAAGCAAGACAAGCUUGAGCCUAGAGCUUUGAAAUGUGUCUUCAUUGGUUAUCCGGAAGGUGUGAAGGGGUACAAGUUGUGGAAAUUGGAAUCUAGUGGAGGAUCAAGAGUCUUGAUAAGUAGGGAUGUUACCUUUGAUGAGACCCGUAUGGGGAUGAAGUGUAAAGACCUAGAGACCCAAGUACCGGAAACUAUGGUGGAGAAAACUCAAUUUGAGGUGGAGCUUCCAAAUGAAGAAGAAAAAGAUGUAGAAGAUGAAGCUUCGACAUCGGAUACAAGUGGAACUCAACCGGUAGUGGAUCCUGAGUAUCUAUUGGCUAGAGAUAGAGAAAGAAGGACCAUUACGGCUCCUAAGAGAUUCGGUUAUGCAGACUUGGUGUGUUUUGCUCUAAAUGCGGCGGAAGAUGUGCAAGACUCGGAGCCUAGAAACUUCAAGGAGGCAUUUGAGAGCAAAGAAAGCAAGUAUUGGUCGAAGGCGGUGAAUGAAGAGAUGGAUUCAUUGGAAAGGAACCAAACUUGGAAACUUGUGAAGCUACCUAAUCACCAAAGGGUAGUUGGAUGCAAGUGGAUCUUCAAGAAAAAGGAUGGCAUUCCGGGUGUUGAAGGUCCAAGGUACAAAGCAAGACUUGUGGCAAAGGGUUUCACUCAAGUGGAGGGGAUCGACUACAACGAGAUCUUUUCACCAGUGGUGAAGCAUUGUUCCAUAAGGAUACUUAUGGCUAUUGUGAAUCAAUUCAAUCUUGAGUUGGAACAAAUGGAUGUGAAGACCGCUUUCUUACAUGGUGACCUUGAAGAGACAAUCUACAUGGAGCAACUAGAAGGUUUUGUGGAGGACAAGUCUAAGGUGUGUCUUUUGAAGACCGGUUUUGUGAGAAGCGGAUAUGAUUCUUGUGUGUACAUGUUGGAAAAGAGUGAGAAAGUCAUUCUCUAUCUUCUUUUAUAUGUGGAUGAUAUCUUGAUGGCAAGCUCUAGCAAGGAUGAGAUUAUGAAGCUCAAGGAGAGGUUAAAUGGUGAAUUUGAGAUGAAAGAUCUUGGUCCGGCAAAGAGAGUUCUUGGGAUUGAUAUCGUGAGGAAUCGUGACAAAGGCAAACUUUUCUUAUCUCAACUUGGUUAUUUGAAGAAGGUGGUGGAGCAUUUUAGAAUGUCAAACUCUAAAACCGUGAGCACUCCCUUGGGUCACCACACAAAGUUUUCCAUACAACAAUGUCCUCAAUCCGAGGAUGAGAAGCAAUUGAUGGAAGGUACUCCCUAUGCAAGUGGGGUUGAAAGCAUCAUGUAUGGAAUGGUUUGUAGUAGGCCGGACUUAGCUUAUGCGGUUAGCAUUGUGAGUCGGUUUAUGGCAAAUCCGGGAAUUGUGCAUUGGCAAGCUUUGAAGUGGGUAUUGAGGUAUUUGAAUGGGUCCUUGAAGGGUGGUUUGAAGUACACAAGGGCAGCUCAAGAUGAAGACGCUUUGGAGGGGUAUGUUGAUGCGGAUUAUGCGGGCAACGUGGACACUAGAAAAUCCUUAUCGGGUUUUGUGUUUACUCUUUAUGGCACGGCUAUUAGUUGGAAGGCAAAUCAACAAUCUGUGGUGGCAUUAUCUACAACUCAAGCGGAGUACAUCGCACUUGUUGAAGGUGUGAAGGAGGCUAUAUGGUUGAAAGGGAUGAUUGGUGAGUUAGGAAUUACUCAAGAAUGUGUGAAGAUACAUUGUGAUAGUCAAAGUGCCAUUCACUUGGCAAAUCAUCAAGUGUAUCAUGAAAGGACAAAGCACAUUGACAUUCGCCUGCACUUUGUUAGAGACAUGAUUGAAUCAAAAGAGAUUGUAGUUGAGAAAGUGGCAUCGGAGGAGAAUCCGGCGGAUGUGUUCACCAAGUCAUUGCCUAGAUCAAGAUUCAAGCAUUGCUUGGACUUGAUCAAAUUUGUCGAAGAGUAAUUCCCUUUUGGAGAGAGCAGCAUGGUGGUUGAUGGUUAAACUGACAUCACCACCAAAUUAGAAGUCAAGGUGGAGAAAUGUUGAUAUUGGCUUCAAAUUUGUGGUCUGGAAGAACAGAGAAAUCGUGACACGAUUUUGGCAUCGUGACACGAUUUCAAGUGGCCGUGAGCUCGUUUGCAGGACGCCAAAUCGUGGCACGAUCUUGGGAAAUCGUGACACGAUUCAGAAACUUGCUCGUUAAGUAUCACUGAUAAGGACUUGUCUACCUUGGGUCCGUUGCAGAUCGUGACACGAUCUAGGGAAAUCGUGGCACGAUUUCUUCAGAGGAAGACUAGUAUAUAUUGUGUUCUUGUGCUUUUUUGAAGUGAAUCUUAAGAGAGCUUGUAUGAGCUUAGAGAGAGAACUUGGAUAGCAAAGGAGGGAACCAAUGGGUUGAGUGUCUUUGUUGAGAGUGUCUCUUGGGUUUGGGAAAACAUUGUAAUCACCUUGGGUUUUAGGGUUCAUAGUGUGAGAGUGGGGAAACACCAAAGGGUAGAGUCUAGGGUUUGUUCAUGUGUAAAGCUUGAAGGCUAGAGUUCUUCUAACCUUUUGUAACACUUUCUCAUAUUGGAUUGGAGAGCUGCUCUCUCCCCCAGAUUAGGCCAUAUUGGCUGAACUGGGUUAACAAUCUUCUCGGUGUUUUGUUCUUCCUUUUACCGCUUAUCUUGUUUUGCUUUGGUAUCUCUUUGUGUGGUUUUGCUAUACACUAGUCUAGGGCUGUUUUGUUGUUGUUUGCUUGGAGACCAUUUGUUCUCAUUGAUUACCACUAUCUCUUGCUCCACACAUCAUUGUUUAUUUCAUUGGUGUGAAGGUUUUUUUUUUAACCGGAUUCACAACAGAAUCUGUAUUAAUUUUUACAUGGUCAAUUUUAAAACUUCGCGUAUAUUACAUGAGCUAUUUGAAUAAUUAAUUCUAGCUAUAAUUAUUUUUUGACGAAAAAAUAAGUGAUAUUCAUUUAUUAAAUUCGAUAGAGUACUUUGGUACAAUACAAAUUUAAAGUUGCUAAAAAUUAAAAUGAUGAAUCUUUGAAGCAACUUACGAUAUCCAUGUCAAUAUAGCAUAACACGACAGAGUACAUAUGUCUACAAAUAUAACUAUAUUCAACUCUUUGUAAUACUCAUUUUUCCAAAUUUGCAACGUCAACCAUGAAGUCAUUAAUUGAAUCUGCAUUUUAUCAACUAAUUAACGAAUUUUAUCCACGAAUAUAUAUAUAUAUAUAUAUAUAUAUAUAUAUAUAUAUAUUAUUCAUCUCUAAUAGGCAUGGCAUGGCAUUGGGGCGGGGUGAGGACGAGUUUUAUAUUCCCCGUCCCCAUACCCGAUUCACAUAUACUUGCCCGUUACCCUACUCAUAUCCAACGGGGAUGAGAAAUUGAACCACAUCCCCGUUCCCGACGGGUUCGGGUAUUCCCGCUUCAUCUCCAUCCCCGCAUUGAAUAAUUUUUUUGAAUAAAAAAAUAUAAGUUUUAUUGCAACCCCUAGAGAAAUGAUGUAAUGUAUUAUCCAACAAUAUGUUCACUUUUAACAUUUGUUAGACCGAUUGAUUUAGUUGCUUUCCUUUAAAUAUCAAUGGUAGUUUUUAUAACACGACAGUUAUCAAACAAAAUAACAUGACAUAUUAAUGGUAAUUUUCUGCAUUCGGGACGGGUUUGGUUAUGAGUUUGGGAUGGAUACCUAUAUACUCGUUAUCCGUCCUAUACCCGUGUUAUAAAUUUGGGAAAAACCCAAACCCAAUCAAAACGAGGAAAAUUCGUCAUCCAAAUAGAUUUGAUUCGAGUGAGUAACCACGGAUAUGAAUUUUGUUGCCAUGUCUAAUCUCUAAGCCUACUAGGGAGAAUUAUCAAAUCUCAAAACCAAGUCAUAUUCAAACAUUUAACACAUAAUAACAUUGUCCUUUAUUUAUUCAUGAUAUAAGAAACGUGGCCACCAUGUAAUCAUUUACUUCGGAAAUCAUAUUUUAUUUAUGGAAAAUGAUUAUAAAAAUUUCAUUCUCUCUUAUAUUCUUUUCUGAGAGUUCCCCAUUCACAUUGCUUCAUUAAAAUAUAUAUUUAUGGUCAACGAUUCAAAAUGAGAGUUCCACUAGCUUAUCUGUUUUCUUGAGAUAAAACUAAUCGAAAUAGAAAAAAGUCUAACACUUUGUGAAAAAAAUGGGAGAAACCAUUUCUGAAGCUUCAUCCUCAGAAUCUAAAUUGAAGAAUCAAGAAGAUAGUUUCUACCUUUAUAUACAUCCUCAAGAGUUACACUUUCCACGUAAUUAAGCCUCUUCAAUUUUCAAAAACCAACAAAAUUAAAUAAGAAGUUUCUAGUUUCUAAUUCAUUUUUCAUUCUGUGUCUUGUUUCUAGUUUUAAAUUCUAAUAGUUUUUAACAUUUGCUUGGUUUCUGUGGAUCAGUUGAGUUGAAGAAAAAUAUCUCAUGCUCUUUGCAGUUGUGGAACAAGUCAGAUAAUUAUUUGGCUUUCAAGGUAAUGAUUUUCAUUUUCGUUUGUUAGAAAAUGAUAACUUGUGCAUUUAAAAAAUAAGUUAAGAAACUAAAUAUAGAAGUAUUUAUUGAAAAUGGGGUAUCUUAAAAAUUAAAAAAAUUAAAAAUUUUAUUAGUAAACUUAUCCUUUAAUUCUUUUUUUUAGCUUCUUAAGAUGUCCUUGUUUGUUUUAUAAAUUGAGUAUUGAUUAGGAAAAAUUGUAAUUUUGAUUUGGAUUGAAAUUGAUGGUGUUGCAACUUGCAGGUUAAGACUACAAUUCCUGAGAAAUAUUGUGUUAGGCCUAAUAUUGGAGUUCUGUUGCCUACGUCUAUUUCUGAUAUUACAGGUGAAAUAAUUUGCUUGAUUAUGUGAACAAUCAUUUGCUUACAAAAACACAAAGACAUGUAAAGAAGAAUAAUACUGCAUUUUUAUUACUGAAUACUUAUUUUAAGGUAUAUUUUCCUCCAAUCUCAAUUAUGAGAAAUUCUUGUGUAGGAACGAACCUAGCCUACCAUCCUUACAAACAACAAAUUAAAACAUGACACGUCGUUGUUUUUCCACCAUGAAUGGUGUUGGUGGUGAAUGGUGAUGGAAGAUCACAAACUAAUGGUGGUGGAGAGAGAGAAAGGACUAGUUGAUUUAUUUUUUUAUAAUUAUUUUAAAAGAAAACAACGACGUAGCAUGUUUUAAUUUGUUGUUUGUAAGGAUGAUAGGUUAGGUUCGUAGAAUUAAGAAGAUGAACAAAUUGUUAUCCUUAAGUUUGGUUGAAUAUGUACUCAUCAUCUAAUUAUUCAAUACGUUAUUAUAUUUUUUAAUUUACUAAUAUAAACAUAAAAAUAUUUUGAAAUUUUUUUGCAUAUGGGAUUGCUACUCAAAAAAAUUCAAGGUAUCUAAAAAUUCUUCCUAUAAUAGAUAAAACCAAAAAAAAUCCUUUAUUAAUUCAACUUUUUCCAUUUUUACAUAUAUCCUUAUAGAAAACUGAGAAAUGAUGAAAAUAAAUUAGGUCAAAUUUGACUUUACAAAACUCAAAUCCGACCUAAUCUAAAAGUUCAAGGUCUAGGUCUGGCUUAUAACAUGUCAUAGAUUUUUUAGUCUCAAAUCUGGUAUUUUUAAAAGUCUUGUAGGACUAUUUAAAAGUCUUGUAUGAAUAUAAUUAAAUAAGUAGUUUAAUCUAUUUUUUAGGACUAUUUAUCCUACUUAGUAUAAUUAAUAAGGUUCAUUUUUGGGUCGUGCCCAUUUUAGACAUUCCCUUUACAUGUUGACAUAAUGUUUACAUGUGAUUUGUUGUACAAUGUCAUGUAGUAUGUUCUUUCAUACUCACUUUUCUAACUAUGUAGAAUCCUUGUUUACUUAAUGAUUGUUUAUAGUUACAAUGCAAGCCCUAGAAGAGGCACCUCCUGACAUGCAAUUGAAAGAUAAAUUUAUCCUUCAAAGCAUAGUUGCAAGGCCUGGAUCAACCACUAAAGAUAUCACUUCAGAUAUGGUAGAGAUUAGAUAAUCACAAUAUAUAGUGUUUUUCACUUGCAUAUUUUAAUCGUUUUCUUUUCUCAUUGCAUGAAGUUUAAUAAAGAUUCCGGAUAUGAAGUUAAAGAGUCCAAAUUUAGAGCUGUUUGUGUUGCUCCUCCUCCUAAUUACCCACCAUCACCAGUUCAAGCAUCUGGCUCUUCAGAUCAGGUUUCUUUUUAUUUCAUUUUUUAGAAGUAGUUUACAAAUAAUUUCUAUGCAAUAUAAUAAGCGUGACUCAGAGUAAAUAAUAGGAAGAGAAAAACAUUAUUUUAUUGAAAAGCAUUUAUUUAUUUUUGUAUGUUAACCCUACGGUUCUCGAGGGAAAAGGACAGUAGUAAUUUGAAGUUCGUUCCUUAGUUAAGUAAAGUCUGACCAAUAAUAUUGUUCUACCUAGUAAUCGAACUCAGAUUCUCCUAAACAAUUCUUCGUUUAAUUAAACUCAUUAAUCAUUUGCGUCCAAUUAUUCAUUAAGAGCUGUAUGCUUCUAAAUGUAACUGAAAUAAGAAAUAAUUGUUGAGUAACAAACUCCGAAACUUUAACCACGGCUUUAUUUGAUGAUAAAAAACUGGAAUAUUAAAACAAACUCUACGAAAGACUUAGUCAACUGAUGAAGCUAUGAGUAACAACUACCAGUACUAUCAAUGAAGUGUACUUUGUGCUGUUGGAUCGGUAGUGUUGACUUUGGACUUUAGAGUGUGUUCUUCUUCGAGAUCACAUGCUCGAUUCUCCCUAGUGUCAGUUAAGGUAGGCUAAUUUAAUUUAGCUUCUUAAAAAAAAAGUGUACUUUGUGCCAUUAUGAGACCUUAAAACUUGGAUCACGCAGCCUUUUUUGUUUUCAAUCCAAUGCUUAAAUCUCCAAAAUACUCCUGCAACCUCUAACUAUGACUUGAAAAAAUAAAUCCAACACAUUUUGGUGUAAGUGGAGCAAAGGUUGGAUAUAAUAAGAGAGGGGACACAUAUGCUUGAUGUCUUAAAAUUUUGGGUAAAAGUGUAGUGUCUAAGCCUCUUAAUGGUCAUAGUCGUUUAGUCCAUUGCAGCUCCCAGCGCUCCGCAGACUCCUCAACAUUAUCUAGUCCAUUGUCACUCCUAGCACUCCCUAGACUCCCCAACACAAUCUACAAAGACGGUGUAAUAUUUCCUCUCUUUAAGUGAAGCAGUCUUUUGAGGUCCACCUUGGUUGUUGCUCUUUGUUUCUCUCAAGGUUGCUUGUUUGAAAGAUAAUCUUGCUUCUUGUAGAUGGGUGAUUCAUCAUCUAAGUCAGGUAAGACAUAAACCAACUCAUUUCGUUGCAAAUGGCCCAAUCUUUUGAGCCAUAUCUCCGUGUUAUCAAUAGUAACUUGAUAAGUUGCUAUCUUUUCCUUCAUUGGAUUAAAUGAGAAACGUUUGCUUCUCAUUUUAAUAUUGAAAAUUACCUUAUCAUUGGCAUCUUCGAUCAUACUAUGAUUAUUUUCAAAGAUGACUAUAAAUCCUUUCUCAUGUAAUUGACCCACACCUAGAAGGUUUUGAUCAAUCACAUGUACAUAAAAAAAUAUAAUUGCGACUCAUGUAGGGACUCACCUAGUUCUAGAAGCAAAGAUAUCCCACCUUGAUCUAGAAGGAUCUAAUAUAGUAACUCACUUGUGGGGUGUGCAUUUACCUAUAUAAGCAUCGGAGACCUUAUAAUGAAUCAAUGAACAAUUUCAGUGUUAUUUUAGUUUGUUAGAUAUGAACAGUCAUUAGAGUAAUUUAGUACUUGAUGAUAUUUAUCACCUAUCAAGUGGUGCUUUCAUUGCCAUGAAUUCCCCUCCCUACCAUUACUUCCACCACCAUCAAGAUUCAUUUCCAUUACCAAGAACGCAUCGACACCUAGAUCUCACCAACAUCCACACCACGUCACCAAAAUAUCUCUACCACCAACAACCUACAUUCCACAAUUAUACUCACACACAACCAUCACACCACACGUCUUAUAGCUUCCCCCAUAUCAACACUCUUAAUUCAGCAAUUUGCAUCCCUAACUUUUACCAAGAUCCUAGUUUCAGACACCACCAAUCGGUCAUGCUUUACAAUUUGUACACACCAUAUGCAAGUAUGUUUCUCCUCCAUCGUGAAAUUCUGGCACUCAGUAAAAAAUGUUAUACACAAUAUUAAGACAAGCGAGAUGUUAAGAAUAAUGUCAAGACAUUGUGACAACACAGAUAACAAACAAAAAUCAUGAAUAAUAAAAAUAGGAAGUAAAAGGCACAAGUUGUUUGUGAACCUACUUCAGUGCAACGUCACCUACGUCUCAGGGCUACCGACCGAAAAGGAAAUUCACUAUAAUAGUAUUAGGUUGAAGCGUACAUAAAAAUUAUCUCCAAUCUACUAGCUUUGCACUUAAUCACUACCCGAGCAAUUUCUAUUUGAGACUCUCCUAGAUAUGAGAUCCCCACUCAUUUCCUCUCAUCCACAGUCCCAGUCCCAGUUAUUGACUCAACAGUAACAACAGUAAUGGAGACACACUCCUAGACAAAGAAUCAACUCUUGCUUACAAGCUAUUGAGUGAUUCAGAGUUUACAACUCAAAUACAACUCAAUGUAUCAACGUGAUAGAGUGAGUCACAAAUAACAAGGACAGAAUAGCCCUCAAAUAUACUUUUGUGAAUUGCAGUUUCAGUAGUGAAUUAGGUCUUGAGUCUUCUUUUAUAUAGCCUGAAUGAAGAAUGGGUUUGAUGCACAAGUCGGCCCAAACAUCUGGCCGAACCACAUGGUCUUCAGCACAAAAUCUUGAAGAAGAUCAAAUGUUUCAUUAAAUGUUACAACAUGACAACUUAAGAAACACGUCACAGAUAGACCGCCUAACAUUGCUUCUAGAAAGCACACGUUUCUUGGUCCACUCUUCACGUGAAUCAUUAACUACGGAGAUUAUUCAAGGAUGUCACGUUUAAAAAUAAUCACCAAAAAAGCAGAGCAAUGCACGCGAUGAUAUCGUAUAAACAUGUCAAGACAUCUUGUUCGACAUCUUGCUAGAACUCUUAUUUUAACAAAAAAAUGCGGCCAACAUACUCGAUAAACCUAUAACACAUCGAAUUAUGGAUAUUCAGCUCAUAACCACCAAUAUCCAGAUCAACCACAUAAUACUUAUUCCCAAUCUAUUAUCCAAAAUUCUAUGAAUGAAUUAUCUCAAUCUUAAAAAAAAUUCUGCAAAUGAAGUGAGAGAGUUAAACCAAGCUUCACAUCAGUGGUUCAUGAAAUUUUGGAGUUACUAAACAAGUUGAAUGAACUUUUAUUUGAAGAGUCUGCUGAGAAAAAUGAGCAAAAUCAAGAGAAAUCAACAGAAGCAAUUGAGGCAGUUGUAGUCCAAGCACCGCCACCAAAAUUUGAUUUGCAACUAUCCCAACCAUGGCAGAAGUAACGAAUCUAAAUCAAAGUCUGUUGGAGCCACCACCCAUCAACCUGUUUCCGAGGCUACCGGUGACACCACUGGAUCUUCCUAUAUCCGCGUCUACGCAUAUACCUUCGUCAUCGUUGAAGCAACUACCACCGCCAAAGCCACUGGUUCCGAAAUCUCAUUGUUGUCAUAACCACCGUCCACCGGUUCACUGCCGUGACCACCGUCGAAACUGCCGGAUAUGCAAUCACAACUAUCAGGUUUUCUAUUCUUAAAAGAGAUUUUCGUGAUUUGUUUCAUAUCCUAAUUUUUUGGUUCGAGAGGAUUCAAUUUGAUGUAUUGAUUUUUGCUUCAAAUAUGGUCCCUUUGCUUACUUUUAUGGUCACCUUGGCACAAUACAUUUGGUUAAUGUUAAGGACUUUGAUCUCUAUGCACCUUCCAUGAAUUAUGCUGUUGCUGAAAUUUAUUUAUUGGAUGGGAAUCUUUGCAAAUAUGAUGCUAGUAAUUGGUUAGCUUAUCUAGUUAAUUGCGACGACUCUAUUUUUGAUUGAAGCUAAAUUCUCUAAUUUGAAGCCAUGGAGUGGUGGCCUUGUUCUUAAGCUAAUUCUCUAAUUUGAUCUCUAAGUGCAUCAUGUUAUACGAGAUGAGGCAGGAAAUCAUCAAUGAGUUUCUUAUUUCUUUUGUGCCCACUACAAACAAUUGGAUCCUGGUCAACAUUUGUGUGUGUCUUUAACAAAAAGGUCUUCUAAGAGCAAGCAAUGGAAUCCUGAAAAAUUAACCAAUUUUUUUACAACCUUGAGGACAAGGUUGAUAUUGAAGGGUAGGUAAUGAUAGGAUAAUUAAAAUAAUGAGCACUCAUGUGGUGACUUACCAAGUUUUAGAAGCAAAAAUACUCACCCUUGAACUUGAAGGAUCUAACAGAGAUAGUAAUAUUGAGUAUGUUAAGGUGUACUCAUCUUAUUGUAGGUGUGUAUUUACCUAUAUAAGCAUUGUAAGACCUUAUAAUGAUACAAUAAAAAAUUUCAAUAUUAUUUUAGAGAUAGAAGUAGUUAGAGUUAUUUAGUUGUGUGGGUCAAUAUCUUUAUAAUAUAUAAUUUAUAUCAACUAUUUAUCAAUUUAGAGCCUUAAGACUAAUUAUAUUUCUAUUGGGAUAAUUAAUUAUUUAAUUGAAGUGAUAUGGACUCUAUGAGUGGAUGUCUGGAUGACCAAUUAACGGGAUAAUGGAAACCUUAAUGACCAUCACACUAUAAGAGGCUAUGAUUCCCAAUACAUUGUACACGACAAACUCUUUGUUCUUCCCAUUUGAAUCUAAAGAGAACUUGAAACAUAAAUGUAAGAACCAAAAGGUCGCCGCUAACCCUAUGUUGUAUGUUUCAGAUCUCUGUCUAUUUAAGAUCAUUGCUAGUGAGAGGGCCAUCAAAGUUCCAGGUAUUAUAAUACUUAUUAUUAAUAUACUUGAUAAAUCAAACAUGUCGUAAAUCCGAGCAUAAUCAUAUUCAAUGUUCUGUUUGCUUCGACUAUUCAUUCAUAAUCAUUGAACAUGUUUUUAUAUAAAAUCUGUUUUCAUUUCUAACAUUAGGAGGCCAUAAUCACAUUCAAAAUGUAUUUCGAAAAUGAAAUGCAUAAUUCUCCAUGUUUUCUUAGUUUAUAUAUUGAUUUAUAUUACUAUGCUGGCCUUUGAACAUGAUCUUGUUGAAAUACAUUAAUUUUCUUUUCUAUUUAAGCAAGUUAUUUGGGAAUGUCACCCAUAUAAGCUGAUUGAAGUUGAUAGAUUCAUGUCAUUAAUUUACAUUCUGAAAAAUAACUUCUUCACAAACCCCAUGUCCCUAUAGACCUUAUCUUCAUGUAUCGAACAUUAUCGAAAAGAUUUGAAUUGUGAAAUAUUAUAGCUCAUUUUUUAUUUCUUGUUAUUUUAGGCAAAGCCAAAUAUUUCAGAGUUAAUCGCAGAGAGAGAAUUUCUUAAGGAAUUAUAUAAAAGGCAUCAAGAAGAACUGGUAUGCCAUUCAUACCAUGAUCAUAGUUUGGUGAUCUUGAAUAUUUUGUCGUGUGAUCUUGAAUAUUUGUCAUGCGAUAAAUUUAUUCAACUAUUUACAUAAACUUAAUUAUUUUUUUUUAUUAAGAAGUUUAAUGGCUAGAAAUUUACCUUGAAGUGUCUGAGAGUCGAACCCCUUAGAACAUAAAUUGUGUUCUUAUAUGUAGCAGAAAUGCUUAUCCAAAUAAACUAUUUUAGCAAGAUGACAGAAAUAGAAAAAUAAAGUUGUAAAACUGAAAGAGAAGAAUAGAGAUUAUGCUUGCAAUGUGAAUCACAUUAAUAUUAUAUCUAACCAAUGAUGUAUUCAUAUUCUAAUACUUCCCCUUAAUUCAUAACUGCUGAAUGUUCACAACACCAAGUUUUUUCCUCAAAAAUUCAAAUAUGUCAAGCUUCAAAGUCUUUGUAAAGCCAUCUGCAAGCUGCAAUUAUGUAGGACAAUACUGCAACUCAAUCAUACCAUUAGUCACCUGCUUCCAAAUGAAACGAAAUCUAGUCUCAAUAUGUUUGCUUCUACCAUGAGAGAUGGGAUUCUUGACAAGACUUAUGGCUGACUUGUUGUCAAUUCUCAGUGUUAAGAGGCUUCAUCACUUCACACUUAAUCUCUUUCAUUGAUGAAUCCAACCACAAAGCUUGACAUCACUACUAAAAAAAGCAAAAUUAGCGAGGGAAAUUAGUGACGGAAAAAAUGAAAUUCCUCACAAAUUUCUUGGUCGCAAAAUUUAGUGACGGAAUUAGAGAGAAAUUUUACGUUUUCCCUCACAAACUUUUGUUGUUUUAGUAGUGCAUGUAGCAAAUGUACCUGCAAUGUACUCAGAUUCACAUGAUGAGAGCGCAAUAACAGGUUGGCUUUUUGUAAGUUUGAUCAUCCUAAGUUAGUUAGUUAUAACUAACCAACAAGAUAACUUGCAAGUUAUCUAUCUAACUAAUGCUUAUCAUCUAAUUCUUCAUGAUGCAAUACAAGCCUCGCACAGAACAAGCCUACAAGUAUAUAGUGUUGAUCUUAACCCAAUUAAUUAUGAUAACCAUUACUCUUUCUAGAAUUAUACUAUAGUACUAAUUUACAUUACUGUAAUGGCCUUUGAUAAUGAUGUUGUUGUAAUACAUUGAGUUUCUUUUCAGUUUAAGCAUAUUCUUUGGGAAUGUCCCCCAUAUUAUAUCUGACUAAAGUUGAUAGGUUCAUGUUAUUUAUUUACAUUAUUAACUCUGAUAUUUAAAAAUAACCCAUGGCCCUACAGAACUUAUUCAUGUCUAUUCAUUUAUGGAUUUCUAUUGAUAAGAUGUGAAUUCUGAAAUCACUACAAGAAAGAGUAAAAUUAACGAGGGAAAUUAGUGACGGAAAAAAUGAAAUUGCUCACAAAUUCCUUGGUCGCAAAAUUGAAUGACGGAAUUAGAGAGGGAUUUCACGUUUUCCCUCACUAAUUUUUAUUUUUUUAGCAGUGAAUAUUGUUGCUUAUUUUGAAUUUCUUAUUAUUUUAGGAGAGAAACGUUGUUAUUGAGAAAAAUAAAAAGCUUGAGCCCAAGAACUGGUAUGUCAUUCAUUUCGUAAAUUUUCUUUUCCGGAUGCUUAUGCAAAUUUUAUCUUUGAAUUUUUAGUCAGGUUAUAUUGAUUGUUAUCUUGAAAAAUUAUUGAUCGUUUAAAUCAUUUUCCUUGUCAGAAUACCCUGAUUGUGAAGUGUGAGGCCAAAGACGAUUGUUGUUGUAUAUUGUAGAUAUCUUGAUGAAAUUAUCAUGGUCGGUUAUGAGGUAUAAGACAUGUAAUAAUAUUAUUUUAAAAAUAAUAUAUACUCCCAACUCUAUAAAAUGAGUUUAUCUCUCUUCAAAAGAUAUAUGCUCAUUAAAUAAAGAGGAUCGUAACUCCAUAAUACGACAUAUAAUAUAACGAUUGUACUUGUUGAUUGGAUUACUCUUGAAGUUGCCAACAAAGUAAUAAAAAAUUGUGCUAUUUGUGUUGUUAUUUGUUCAAUCAAAAAGAUAUUGAAGGAACUAACAUAAAAGAUGGCAUCACAAUAUAAUUUUACAUCGUCGGUGUAUAUUAGAGCUUCAAGACUAUAAUGAGCAUAUUUGAUCUGGCUAGUUAUAUAUAAAUCUUAUUUUGUUAUAUCAAUGUCUUUAUAUCUAUAUUAACACCUACAUGAUAGUUUGAUUCUUUCUUUCGGAUACACCAUUAUGCUUCGGUGAAAUUAUUAAUUCACUUGUCUCUCCACACCUUUGUCUUCACAAAAUUUAUUGGACGUGUACUCUUUUUCACGGUAACUUCUCAAAAUUUUUAUGGAUUUGCAACAAAAUCGCAUCGUGAUUUUAUUGAACCUCUUAAAUAUAGCUUUUGCUCUACAAAUUGAAGAUAAAUUGUGAAAAUGCCCAAGAGCAUUGAGCUCCACUUCAAUAAAUGGGAGUUGAAGAGGAUAUUUUCCCUGAACAAUGGGUCAACAGGACACACUACUACUCUUGCUAGUAUUAGAGAAUCAUCAUCAAACAAACAGUCAAAGAGGGUGCAGUAAGCAAUGUGAAAAUGUAAAUAUGACACAAACAGUCAAAGAAAGUGAGUAACAGAACAAACUACAUUUAUACAACGGAUUUAGCUUGUCUAGAGUAAAUAAUUUACUAAAGAGGGUGCAGUAAGCAAUAACAGGUGCUGAUGAAAAAAUGGUGAAAAGAGAGGGGAAACCUAUAAUAUCACAAGUAGACCUAGGCAGCACAACUCCAAUGCAAGAAGGAUCAACAUAAUACUUCUGUGCAUUACCACAAGUAGACCUAACCUGCAACAACACCAUGAAUUUCACUCGAAAUCAAUUAGAACUCUCCAUAAUACACAAUUUCAAAAAACAAACAAAAAAGGUAAAAAAUUCAGAAAAAGUGAGUGAAAACAGAAACAUGAUUGAAGAUUAAACUAAUCAAAAAACCUUGAAAGCUACAUAAUGAUCUGACUUGUUAGACAGUAUCAAAGUGCAAGAUGACUCCUUCCUCAAUUCAACUGUUUCACAAAAAAUUAAAGACGAAUAUAUAUAUAUAUUUGAAGAUAAAUUAGUCCACCCAAAUUGACUCGAACCUCAGACCUCGAGCAGGAGCACACUACCAGAUCCCAAGCCAAUACCACCAGGCCAACCCAAGUGGGUUAUAUAUAUAUAAUUAAAAUAAGGCCCAGAAGCAAAAAGGCAAAAAAAAAAAAAAUAUUGAAUUUUGCUUCAAAAAAUUUAAUUUACAUGGAAAGUGAAGAUCUUGAGGAUGCAUCUGAAGAUAGAAACUAUCUUUUUCUUUUCAUUUUAAUUUCUCACAAUCCUGAGGAUGCUUUUGAAGAUUAAAACUAUCAUUAAGGUUGUGAAUUCAAUUUUUUAUAAUCCCCAUAAUUUGGAUAAACAGAAUUGGAAGAACAAGUAGAACGUUGGUGAAAGCAAGAAGAGACCCUUUGUCCCCAUUGUGUGUUUCAGAAAGUGUUGAUAGGGUUUACAAGAAUGAGGCUUUAGAGUUUGAAUGAGAAUAACGAAAAUUAUAGUGAGAUCAAGAGAAACAGCAUGGAAGGAUCCGUGACAAAAAUCCGUUGUAUGAGCACAUAUAACUAUUCUUCCAUUGCAAUAGAAUACAUGGGAAGUGUUAUUUGCAACAACUUGUUUAGGCAACAAGAUCUGUUAUAUAAGAUACUGUUGAUUCGGUCUCAUUAGAUGUUCAAAGAAUUUUUGUGAACGUACCUGGGUGUUUAGCUAGUAGCUUCUUCCAUUUCCCUUUGUUGUUCUUUUAGCAGUUGCGCUUUGUUAGUUUUAUUCUUGGAGGAUUUGCAUCCUCUUUUUGUUUUUAUGUAAGCACUUUUAUUGUUAAGGGUUCUGGCCCUCUCCAGGUCUUUUAUAGUAUUUCUUUGCUUGAUAAAAAAAAAGGGAAAUAAAGUUAAGUGGCCAAUUUAUAUAUGAUUUAUGCUCUUCUCCUGCACUUUUCGCUCGCACCCAGCUGAAAAUACUUUAAUUCCCUUGCGCUAGCUAACUGGCGCAAGUGUAAAAUAAUGCGCAAGUUAAGUUAAGUGGCGUGAGUUAAGAGGCGCAAAGUGGCUACUUUUUUUUAAUUUAUUUACUAUAUUCAAUAUUUAUUUACUUUAUUGUAAAUUAUUUUAUUUACUUUAUUCUAAAUUAUUUGUUCACUUUAUUCUAAAUUAUUUAUUUGCUAUAUUCUCAUUUAUUUAUGAACUUCAAAUAAAUUCGAAAUUAGAAAAUAAAUUUGAUUUUAUUCUAAUUCAAUAUUUAUUCUAAUUUUUUUAUUCAUUAAAUACAAAAUUAGAAAAUAAAUUUGAUUUUAUUUAUUCAAUGUUUAUUUAUUCGAUACAUAAUCAUAAACAUAAAAUAAAUGCAAAUAUAAAUACAAAUAAAAAACAAAAUUAUUAAAUAUAACUCGUUUUAUUAAUAUCAUUCAAACAUUACAAUAAUUAAUACAUAUAUCUUAUUUGAAUUCACUAAUCUACUUAUUAUCUUUUACCCUCUUGGGUAUAUUGCAAUAGCUCUUGGGAAAAAUAGUGACCAGUCCUGUUGGGGAAAAAGACAUCAAGAUCCCAUGAGGUAAAUUUAAAUUUGGUUCCUUUUAUACCCCCAUGAUGAUUCUUUUUACCCACGGUAAAAAGAUUUUGGGAGUAAAAGGAAGCAAACCUAAUUUUACCUCAAGGGAUGAUGUCUUUUUCCCUAACCCGACUGACCACUAUUUUCCCCAACAGCUACUACUAUAUACCUAAAGCGGUAAAAAGAGCCUAGAGACUAUAGAAGCAAAAAAGAAGAAGAGAAAGAGGGGGAGAGAGUGGGAGGAGAUAAUGUGAGGAAAAGAGGAAGUUUGUGAGGGUAUUUAUAGGUAGGAAUGAUAACCUAGUUUGUACCUACCAUAAAUGUGGUAAAAAAAAAGUGUGUGAAAGUGGUUAAAAACGUGUAAAUUGAAAGUUGAAAACCUGGCUAAAGUGAAGAAAAAAAACGUUUGUUCUUCAGUUCUGACUACCGGCCAACUUGCGUGAGUUAACUCGCGGAAGGCUCAGUGGUGCGUGACUUAAGUCACGCAGAGAUUAUAAGGUGUGUGAGUUAAGUCACGUAGUGUGACUUAACUCACGCACGGGCAUUUUAGGCAUGGUUGCAGGGCGCGAGUGUUUUGUGCAGGGGAAGAGCAAAAUUCUUUAUUAUUUAUUGCUUUGUACGCAAACGUUAUUAACCAACGGUGACUUCUUUGUAAGGUCCAACAUAAAAGGAAGAUUGAUAGUAUACAUGUGUGUUUUUCAUUGCUUUUUACUCUUCCUAUCCUAUCUACUUCUCACACACUCUAAUUUUUACAAAAAUGUAUGUGGGGUGUCGGAUUAUAAAAUCCGAACACAUCCAAACCGUGUUAAAUUAUUUUGUGAGUGAUCUCUUAUGUUUUAAAAAUCAACAAAGUGUAAAAUCGAAAGAAAAAGUGGUUGAAAAUUAAGAGAGUUCAUACUCGUAUGAAAAAGUUAAUUGCUAAAUAAUAAAUAGAAUUAACAGAGUUUAAACCGUGUUAAAUUAUAUGGGAAGUGAUUCUCAAUUUGAUAAUGAAAUAAAGGAGAAUAGUGUUUAGUUAAAAAAUAAAGGGUAUGUUUGUGUUAAUUAAGAAGACCUUAAGUGAGGUUAGUCUAAUUUGCCAUGAUUUUUUUUAAGAGUAAUUUCCCAUGAUAAAAGAGUUUCUAAAAGAGUUUUUCAGGAAAAGGCAUAGUAGUUGUAUUGUAGAUAAUGAUUGAUUGUACUUUCAUAACUAUAUUCAUGUAUAAACUAAUACAUCUCAAUGAUACUUAAUGAACAAGAAACAAUGUGUGCAAACACCGAGAGAAAUUAUGAGAUAUUGUCAUCUCAUAUAGAAGAUAACAUUAUCAACUCUGGUGAAAUAAUGUUCUCAUUAUGAAGAUGUUUAUUUCACUCGAAAUUAUUCUCGUUAUUUCAACAAAAUGAUUAGGAUUAAUUUUGAAGAGAAACCAAUUCAUGAAUAUUGAAUUAUUCAUUGAGUUAUUCAUUAAUGAUAUUGAUUGAAGAAUUAUCAAAGAUGAAAAUUCAUGAUCAUAUGCAUGGAGAUUCUAUCAUAAAAUACUUAGGAUGAUCCAAAAAAUUGCCCUAUUCAAAAUAUGAUUUGGAAGAAUAGAAAUCAAACAAAGCAAUUUUGACAUUGAGAAAGGUUUCUCAUAGAACAUUCUCGUCAUACAACAAUCAUUGCAAAGACGAUAAUCUUAAUAAUAAAUUACUUAAUCAGUUUGGUGCACUUUCCAAAUUUAUCAUCAUCUUUCAAAAUUUUGUUUGAACAGAGUAUUGUUUUCGAUUUUAGACAAAAUGGUUGACUUAAAACAGUAAAUACAAUUAAAAAAUAAGAUUUUUUUAGCUUUUUUGUACCUACAUUAUACACUGUAAAGAGAUAAAAUUAUCUUCUAUUUGAUUCAUGCAAAAAGAUUAAAUCAUACACUAAAAUUGGACAAAGUCUUCUAUUUCAAUUUUGAUGAUGUUAAAUUUGUGUUAUUUUCAAUGUACUUUAUCAAUUUUAGCAUAACUAAUAAACUCAUUAUUAUAGGUGUGGUGUGUCUCGAUUGCAUGUCAUCAUGGGAGUGAUACCUCCAAAUUUAUGAGAUAAGGAGAUCCUAUAAAUAAAACUCUUUGACAUCAUAUUUUAUUUCCAUCAUCUUAGAUUACAAAAUCAUAACUUUAAGGUCCUUGAAAUUAGGGGAAAAUAGAAGAAGAAAAUAAUAAUUAUUGAGUGCAUUCACAAAAACUAAAUGACAACAAGUGGAAUAUUCUAGCAUAAGGUAUAGUGUACAAUUCUUUUCCUAGAUAAAGAGAACUCAUUAUGAUGUUUUAGAUCGAUAUGCAUGCGCCUUUACGACACCUAACAUUAACUCAUCAAAGUUUUGAACAAUCUUUAUCAGUUUUACAAGCAAAAAUAGAUAUUGAUGUACAAAGAAAUAUAGAAAAAAUUAAAAUUAUAAAAUAAACUAACUUCGGAAUUUCAACCAUAUUUUUUCCUAUUUGCAUCCAAAUAAUAGUAAAUGACUCGAUCUCUUUAUAGUGUAUAUAAAGUUCAUGGUCUUAGAGAAAUAAUUAAAUAGUUUAAGAAUUAUAAAAUUUGAAAAGCCCUUUCAGAUUUUUAAAAUUAUUACUAAAUGUCUCUCAAAUAUAUCAUUGUGUUAUUUAUGUCCCUUUAGCACACCUAGGAAGGAGUUCAUGUAAUAAAAAUAAUAAUCAAUAUAACUGAAUACAAUUUUACACACUUUAGAAUACUUUUUCCUGUAAAUAAUUGUAUUAUUUUUUUAACAUUUUGUGAGAGUAAAGAGAAAAACAAUUAUAUCAUCAUAAAGUAUUGUACGGAUAUAAAGCACCAUGAGAUAUUUAUGAACAAGUAGAACGUAUGUUAUGAUCAUAAAAGUUAUGCUUAUAUAGUCACCUCUUAAUUGGGCUAGGUUUACAAUUAUCAUAAUGGGCUCAACAUCAUUACUAACCAAUUCUCAAAAGUUACUACUCACCUAAACCAUUAAAUUAUCGAAUAAUUAUUAUCUCUAAAUAAUUACUCCAACUCACUAGUAACUUAGAAAAAAAAAUUCUUGAAGAUUCAAGGAAUAAGAGGUUAAUAGUUGAAAGCUACACAAGAUUAGUCCUAAAGUCACAUGACAACUCCUAAAGCCACAUGAUUUAAGGUUAAUUGACCAAUAAGAUAUUGUCGUCUCAUAUAGAAGAGAAAAUUAUCAACUCUGAUUGAAGAAUAUUCUCAUGAUGAAUAUGUUUAUUACACUCGAAAUUUAUGGGAUAAGGAGAUCCUAUAAAUAAAACUCUUUGCUGCCUUAUUUCAUUUCCAUCAUCUUAGAAUACAAAUUCAUAAUUUGAAACUAGGGAAAAACAUAAGAAGAAAAUAAUAAUUAUUGAGUGCAUGAACAAAAACUAAAUGACAACAAGUGGAAUAUUCUAGCAUAGGGUAUAUUGUACAAUUCUCUUGCUAGAGAAAGAACUCAUUUAUCUCAUUAGGUUGUUUUAGAGCUUUACACAUUGGCCUUUACGACACCUAAUAUUAGCUCUCCGAAAUUGUGGACAAUCUUUAUCUGUUUUACAAUCACUAAACAUAAUCUGACUAAAAGGAGAUUUAUUGAAAAGAAAUAUAGAAAGAAAUAAAAGUAUAACAUAAACAAACUUCAGAGUUUCAACCAUAUUUUUUCCUAUUUGCAUCCAAAUAAUAGUAAAUGACUUGAUCUCUUUAUAGUGUAUAGUAAAGUUCAUGGUCUUAUAGAAAUAUAUCAUUGUGUUAUACUAAAUGUCUCUUAAAUAUAUCAUUGUGUUAUUUUUGUCCCUUUAGCACACUUAGGAAGGAGUUCAUGUAAUAAAAAUAAUAAUCAAUAUAACUGAAUACAAUUUUACAAACUUUAUAUUACUUUUUCCUGUAAAUAAUUGUAUUAUUUUUUUAACCUUUCGUGAGGGUAAAGGGGAAAACAAGUAUACCAUCGUAAAAUUAUGUACGAAUAUCAGGCACAAUUUAAUAUUUAUGAACAAGUAGAACAUAUAAUGAAGUUAACUACACCUCACAUAAUAAGACCAAGCAUAUAUUAAAAAAGCAACCUAUUGAAGGAACAUUGCCUCAACACAUCAACAAAAACAUGUUAUAAAAAGUUUUUCCUAUACUAUUAUGAAUGGCCAAAUGAAUUAUACAGAAGUUUUUUAGCAAUCACAAACAUAUUCCACCUUGUUGUAAGCAAAUUGAUAACCGGUAAAUAAAUUGGUUAUCAGAUUGCACUUAACUCUUAUAUUGGACAAGUAACUGAGUGAUUGCAUUGUCUUUAACAUCUAAUCUAUGCUUAGUUUAGGAUUUUAAAGUUUUAAGUGUUUUUAGUACUUUGAAACUAGUAAUGCUUGUUUGGUGAUGUAGGUGAAGGAAUGACUCUGAAGAAGAAUAAAGCUGCAGUGUGGAUUGAAGAUGUAUCGUUGAAGAUAUGAAAAGUUACAGCAUGUAACACCCUAAACCCCUAAAGCAAUAAAUUACGCAAAUAAUACAAAACAUACAAAGGAUUUAGAUGCUACUUCUUCUAUAAGUUCCUAAACAUGCAUAAUUAAUUUUUCAAAACAUCGCAGCAGAAUAUUUAAUAUCAUCACAUCUCAUCAACAUCUAAAUAAAACCUCCAAAGUUGAAAUGACGCAUAAUUAUAAUACAUCUCUAGAAUAAAUCUAACAUCUUGUUAUCGAGAUUUUCGGGUGUCAAGUCAUUAAUUAGGCUUGAACCUUUCAAUCUUUGAUAUUCUCUAUUUUUUCUUGGGAAGGGCAAAAUUGAGAAAAAAACCCUUAGAUUCGAAGUUCGGGGGUCGUUUUCACUACGGGAAGGUGUUAGGCACCCGCGGUGACUAUAGUACUCUAUAGGAGCCGUUUUCUUAGUUUAUGUCUACGCUUUAUUUUUAAUGCUACUUAUGAAAAAGGAAAUUUACUUAUGUUAAGAAUGGGAGGGAGAAAGUGUUUGAGGUUUUAUUUUAGUGGACUUGGAGAGGUUUUGACCUCAUGCCUACAUACCCAUUUAAGGGAUCAAACUCCAUGUAGUUCUCUCUCAAAAAAUGCUUUUUGUGUGUUUGGUUGAUUUUAAUUUUUGUUGAAAAAUGGUUUUGAAGAAAAGAAAGAGGCCUUAAAGGCAUAAGAGAAGAAAAUGGUGAAUGGUUAGUUCAAUUGUUAUUAAAAAAAGUCUAAGUAGAAAUUAGGAUUCAUUUGGAUUUGUUUAAGAAAAUAAAAGAAGAAAUUCAAUGGAGUUUUGACUCCAAGAUUUGUUUGGAAAAAUUUGAGUGAUGGAAUUGGUUUAUUAUUUUUUUGGAAAUUGACAUUUGUCUAAAAAUCGCGUUUCCUAAGCAUACAUCUAAACGGUAAUCAUGCAACGUGUGUGCGUGUCGGUGCUUGUGUCGGUGUACAUCACUUAUAGUGUCCAUAGUCCUUUACAUUGAGUCCUAAAUACAUGCUAUGGUCUUGCAAGGAAUUAAAAAGGAACUAAUCUAUCUAAAAUUAUUACAAACCCAAUUGAUGUAGAAAUGAAUAAAAAGAUGCUAGAACUAUGUGAUGAAUAAAAUGUGAGAUGAAAUGGUUAGUAUCAUAAGGCAUAAAAAUAAUAGAAAGGUAAGCAAAAUUGAAUAGAAUAGCAAGAGAGGAAAAAAGUAAUGAAAUGAAAUAAAGUGGCAAAAUAUACCUAAAAUUGGUUAUGACACUUAGUCAUGUGUAUGACCCAUAAUUCCCUCAUCAUAGCAAUGUUAAAGAGGUUUGAUUUUGAGCUAUAAUGUGAGGAUGAUAAGGACACAUACAAGCCAAGAAUUAUGACAUAUUUCUAGAAAUACUUUUCACUUUAUUUCUUAACAAAAACACACAUUAUUUGCAAAAAAAGAAAAAAGUGAAAAUUCACAUCACCCAAACAGUAAAUCACACAUAGGAUCAGAGACAUAUUCAUUAUGAAGUUGCAUAUUAAACACUCAUACCUUGCACCAAGGCCAUGAACACAAUGUGACGAAAAAAUUCACAAGAAAUUCCAUUAAAAGUAAAAAAACAUCAAGAACUAUCACAUACAUUUUUUUAUUAGUUUUUCAAUGUAUAAAAUCAUCACAAGAAAUACCAAAAAUAAAUUAAAAAACAAUAGGAAUUUUUAUAGAAUUUUUGAAAGAAAAAAUUGAGCAAGCAGGGGUUCAAAUAGCAACACAGCAAGGUGCAAGUAGCAAAAAAAUAAAAGAACGCAGAAACAAACAAACUGCAAGCCCAAGCCCAUAACCCACGGAUCUGGAUGCACAGGGAGCGUUGGAUUGAUCCAGAAAGGGAAACCCUAGAUCCAACGGCCAGGAAUGAAGGGGAUUGGACCGGUCUUGGACCGGUCCGGUUCACUGGCUUAUAUAAAGGUGUUGAGGCCGGUUUUUUUCAUUUUUACCAAUCCUUUCUCUCUCUUCUCUCGUCUUCUCUCUCUAAGCUCUCAACUUCCUCCGCCGGUUUCUGGAAGGAGACGGCCGGAGAAGAUGAAGAUGCGUCAGAAUCUUCAUCAACUCCGCCGUGAGAUCCAGAUUCCGGCGAGCUUCAACCUGACCAGAAAUCCACUAAACCUACUUCAUUCUACUCGUUCUCUUAUUCUAAGCAUGAAUCUGGCAUUGGUUUUCGCAUGCAAGGCUUGAAUCUUUGUAGAUCUACACUUCUUAUUUACGGUUUUGAAAAAACAUUUUAGGUUUUCAAUCUUUUUUGAAAGAAACUUUUGAAAACCCUAGGGAUCUACAUCGAUUCGUUCUUGUUGAUGCUUUUCGAGAAAGAAAAACGAGAUUUAGGUUUUACCUGAGUUUUUUGAUUCGGAGGUUCUUGAUGAAGAUUUUUCUGGAAAUUUAAUCUGGCUUUUGUUGUUGAUUUGGCUUGAGAACCGAAAAUAAAUCGGUUAUUUCACUGAUUUUCUUUCUUCAUCUUCUUCGCUGGUUCGAAUCUGCUUCUUUUCCUCUUCUUCUUUUUCUCACUGAUUCCUUCGUGAUCGGUGCUGGAGUUUGCCAAUGGCGAAUUCGCACUUUGAAUUGCGAAGGAAACCGAUUCGAUGAUGAAGAUUCAGUGAUGAAUCUCUGAGAAUCGCGAAAGAUCUUGUUGAUUCUCUGUUGAUUUGUACUGAUUUGUGGUGUUUUGUGUUGAUUAGUGUUGAUUCUGGUGGAAUUUGGAAACGGUUAGGGUUUGAGUGUUCUUGGUGUUCUUCGUGAUUUCUGGAAAUUGUUGAGUUUGGAUCUUUGAAAGCAGAAAGAGAAAGUUGGAAAGUGUUUGUGAUGUGGCGUGUGAUGAAUGGAUUCUGAUCCUGACUUGUACAGUAAAUGCGCCUUUUAUAGGCUGCCAAGUGUGCUUGAGACCCAAUGGGAGAGGGACACCUGUUUUUGGACUUAAGGACCUUGCUGCAAAAAAGGAAAAAUAAAAGGACUAAUCUGCAAUUAUGAAAAAGGACUUAAAAAUGCAAUUUUAAAAAGUAUUGGACUAAAAAUGCAAUUUUAAAAAGUAUUGGACUAAAAUGCAAUUUUAGAAACUGUUUCAGGGACUAAAAUGCAAUAAAAAUAAAAUUGGACUAAAAUUGGUAAAUUGGACAAAACGUAAAGUGAAACCAAAAAAUAAAAUCAACAAAAGGACUAAAACGAACCAAUUACUGACAUGAGGUAUUUUAAAAUACCUCCCUGCCGAAAUUUUGACAGGAAAAGACCAAAAUGCCCCUAGGGACUAAACUGACUCAGAUGCAAUUUUUGAAAUGACUUUUAAACAGAGACUCCACAAUGAUUUGUACAGACAAAUUGAAAAGACUCAGAGGCAAACACAGGGACUAAAAUGGGUUCCACUGCAGGAAAUGACCAAAAUACCCUUUUGUGUGAUUUUUUGAAAUAAAAUGCAAGAAAAGUAAUGCGACGUUUCAGAGAGUUCCUAAAUGACUUGUAAUGCAAGAAAAGACAGACAGAGGCAGUAAAAUAUGUUUUAAAAAGAGAGUAAAGAUUCAGAGUAAAAUAACAGCGAACUGACACACAUCAGUGUUAAAAAGAAAUUUGAACGAGUAUUUUUAGGUCCAAAAUCAGGGUAUAACACAUCUCAACAUACUAAGUGAAUAAAAUCUCGACAAGUCAUAUAAUAUAAAUAAAAGACAGACACCUUAAUUAGAGCUGACACACUAAGACUCUGAAAGCAAAAGACGAGGUAGCUUCAAAGCUAGCCUCCAGCAACUCACCAAGUAAAACAAAACUUCUCCUGCACACCAUCUAUCCAUAAAUACGCAAAGGUAGGUAGUCAAACAAACGACCACUGGAGGUUUGUUCACAUUUCACAAUUAAAGUAUAAUCAAAUUAAAAUGAACGAUAUAAUUAAAUUCAAAUGAUUAAACAAUACUUAAGAAGCUCAACAUCAUUAAUAAUCAUCAAUCAUACAAGUAUGAUUAUACACAAGUACAUUUUCAACAUCAUCACAUAUUCAUCAAAUUUUACCAAGCACGUAAUUCAUCAAAUUUUACCAAGCACGUAAUUCAUCAAGUUCACCGAUCCACAUAAAUCACCAAGGUUCACCAAGCACAUAAACAAAUACGACACAUUUAAUCAAUUAUCAAAUGUAUGUAAUGCGCAUAAACACGACUUUAUAUGCAUGUCCUACCGGUUGUCGUCAUUUGAAUACAAAGUAUUCUUUUCGUCUUCGUCGGAUAUAAUGUCCUAGUCAUCUUCAUUGGAUAUAAAUAUCCUACUUAUGAAUGCAUGAACAUACGAAUCAACAAUGCACACGCUCAACAAAAAAUCGUCAUCAUUUUCUUCAUUUUUCAUAAAUGCAUUCAUCAUCAAUAACGUUGUCAUUAUGCAUGCAAUGAUUCAUCAACAUAAAUCAUCAUCAUCAUCAUAAUCAUUAUCAACAACAAUCAACUAAAGAAUCAACAAAGUUCCAAACUAAUGAAUAAACAAUUCUAGUCGUCUUCAUUGGAUAUAAAUAUCUUACUUAUGAAUGCAUGAAUAUACGACUCAACAAUGCAUACGCUCAAGAAAAAAUCGUGAUCAUUUUCGUCUUGAUUUUUCAUACAUGCAUUCAUCAUCAAUAACGUUGUCAUUAUGCAUGUAAUGAUUCAUCAACAUAAAUCAUCAUCAUCAUCAAAAUCAUCAUCAACAACAAUCAACUAAAGAAUCAACAAAGUUACAAACUCACAUUUUGCACAAAAGACGGACAAUUAUCCACAUCAAGACAUUCAUCAAAUUAAACACGGACUCAUCCUUGAUUCAUUCUUAUUAUAAAAUAUCAUCAUGAAUAUAAAGUCAAUUGCAAGUUAUCCGGUCAUAAAACCUCAUUUCAACAAAGUUCGUCUAUUUUUAUAAAAUCGCCCAUUUUCAAUUUCACCAAGCAAAUUUGGGUUCCAAGUUCUUACAUACCAUUAAGACAUCUCUACAUAUCAUCUAACAUCUUAGUUAAUCAAUCAUAACAAGUUCACUUCACAAAUUUCAACUAGUUCUCCAAAAUUGCAAAGUUCAUCUCCUUUUUCUUCAUGUUUCAAACUCAAUUCAUUUCCAAGUAAAAUCAAGUUAAAACACUUCUAAAGAACAAAAAUUCAUGAUUACAUACUCAUUUAUUCACUAUAAAUACUUCCUUAAAUUCAAUAUUAAUUUUGAAGAUGUUUCAUGGUUUAGUGAAAAUGUUAUGAUAAAGUUUCAUGAGAAAGGGACACAUGACCUAUGUGAAGUAAUUUGACCAUAAAUCAAGGUAUAGAAAACAUUUUGAAGUGAGAUUAAACCCAUUAGAAAUAUAACAUACAUAUAUAAAACUUUCAUGUUUACAACUACGGCUGAAUCGAUUCAGAUCUUAUUGAAUUGAUUCAAAACAAAUUAGAGAGAAACCAUGAUACGAUUCAAAAUUGUCUGAAUCGAUACAAAGCUGCCCAAAUACAGAAUGAUGCAACUCAAACUUUCUUGAAUAAAAUUCAAUGGCCUGGAAAACACAAUUUUAGCUUUGGUUUCAUCCCCAAAUCAUCCCAAAAAUCGCUAUUUUGAUUUCCAACAUACCCAAAAUGAUAAAAAUCAUUUUCCAAGGUUCAAAUACACCAUUUAGACUCUUUUCACGACAAUACAAAACAACUUAUACUUCAAUUUACCUAAUUCAUCAAGGUUACAACAACAACAACUUACACACAACAACACAUAUAUCACACUCAAUACAUGAAUCAUCAUCACCAACAUAUACCCAUCAACAAUCAUAGCAUAUAAUUCAUGAACUCGUCAAUUUUCAACAACAACAUCUUCAUUUUCAUAAAUUUAAGUUAAAACUUCAAAGCUAUCAUUUCAACAUAGUUAUACAAUGAAAUUUAAGUACCCACAACGAGAUUUCAAAAAAUUUCACAUACUCAAAUUUAUCGCAUAAUCGUGAGCACGAAAUUCAACAUUCAAAAUCACAAAAAGUCAUAAUUCACCAUAAGCACCUGUUCUCAUAAUUGAAAAGAUGAAGGUUGAAACUUAACUAUGAAAAGGAUAUAUCCCCCUUACAUCUAGGUCUUGAAUUCACUAGCUUAGGCUUCAAUUUAGCUCCUAGCUCUUCAAACCUCAAGCUCUCCCUCUAGCUUCCUCUUCUUUCCUCUUGCGAUCUACUUUCUCUCUCUACCUCUUAUGUUUUUGUGGAAUAAAAUAAUGAAUGGCUUAACCUAAUUUUUUCAUAAGAGUUAUGCUUAUAUAGUCACCUCUUAAUUUGGCUAGGUUUCUAAUUGUCAUAAUGGGCUCAACAUCCUUACUAACUAAUUCGCAAAAGUUAAUACUCACUUAAACCGUUAAAACACCGAAUAAUUACUAUCUCUAAAUGAUUACCCCAACUUACUAGUAACUUAGUAAAAAUAUUUAUUCUCACUAAAACUCCAAAAGUAACCUUCUUAAUAAAAAUGACUAAUUUAUCCUUACUCGCCAAAUGACCAAAAUACCCCUUAGUUUAAAAUUGACUAAAAUACUCCGCUAGGCCAAAAAUCAACUAAUCCUACUUUAAAUAGACACAGAGACAAUUAAUCAUACAUAAACAUAUAUAAACAAACAUAAUAAAUCAUUUAAUUAAUUCUAGCUAAAAACAGGUUGUUACACAACAUCCUGGGACUCUAGUCGGGUUGUACAUAGUACACAUACGUGGGGCCAGUCUGUCCAUUUCUUAACAAGGAAGCAUAUGAGAUGUCCCUAAUAAUUGGAUUCCUAAGAAGAAUAAAAGAAUAUGCUAUUUGGUAGCUAGGAUUGGAUAAGGACGGAUGGAUAAGAACAGCCCAUGUAAAAUGACUAAAAGGUACAACUUGUAGUGGGUUGCCUUGUACUAUAAGAGGGUACCCGUGUGUUUGUAUCAAGGGUCUAAAAAUUCACCUUAGAAUUGGAAAGGUCAGGUUACGACUAGGGUUAGCAGCUUUAGAGAUCCCAUUCCAUCUCAUCUUCUACCAUAAAUGAGCAUGGUAUAUAGAUUCUAGAGUUCUUAUACUAGAUUACUUGGUGAUGCUUUUCCUCACCUUAUUCCUUCAAGGAUUGUAAUCUUGCGAUAACUCUACCUAUUCUAUUAAUUUAGUUUCUAUGUUUUCAUUUGCUUCCAUCUUCAUUUCCAUUUCUAUGGUUCAAGUCACCAUGAGCUAAACACCUUUAAAUGGUUUAGACAUGGUGAGGUUCUGAUUUAUUAAUUACUUGUGAUAUAUCAAACUGUAACAUUGUACUUUGCUCUGAUAAACUAUUUUUAUUGUAAAACCAAUAGAAGUGAUUCCUGAUAAGUUUUCCUUCUAAUGAUAUAGCUCGUUACCCUGAUGAAGUAAGGAGUGGAACCUGUUUAUUUGAUACGAGUUAGCCCUUACCAACAGAGUGAAAGAGGACAAGGGACCUGAUUGUAAAACUAACGUUAUAGGAGGCUAGAGCUUGGUGAAUCUUAGUUAGCUUAAGAGGUUAAUAAACAUCCAUAACACUGAAUGACCAUAGCCAUACAACACUCUAGCUGAGUAUUACAUUUUCUUAAGGCUAAAAUAUGCAUUUCAUCCCUGCAAAUAUAGGCCAUUUGAAAUUUCAUCCUUGAACUUACUAAUCCUCUUAUUAUUUCCCUGCAAUUGUUAAUCACUUGAAAUUUGGUCCUAAUCACAUUUUUUUUGCUGGGGUGGAGGGUAAUUGGCGACGUGUCAGCUGUUGACUGUGCCAGAACACUGAUGACUCAAACAAAAUGGCAUGAAUAGACAAAAUUGCCCUUAAUGAAUCAAACCAACAUGGAAAAGAUGUUAUUGCCCUUCUUCCUCCUCUUAAAUCAUCUUCUUCUCCCUCGGCUUAAAUCUUCUUUCCUCUGUUCCAGCCAUUCCAACUUUGUAUAUGUAUAUGUGUUAUUAUAUGAAGAAAGGUCAACCACGAAGUCAACAUUCAGAUUGGAAGAGAACUUCAAUCAGACUGUGAAGGAUCAAAGACUUUGAAGGAAGUCAUUAUAUGUAGAAUUUGUGUUUUAAUUUAAUUUUUUCAUGAACUAUUUUCAGACUACGCAUAUAUUACAUGAGCUAUUUCAAUAAUUAACCCUAUUUAUUUUAUUUUUUGACGAAAAAUAAGCGAUAUUCAUUUAUUAAAUUCGAUAGAAUUUUUAGGUACAAUACAAAUUUAAAGUUGUUAAAAACAAAAAUGAUGAAUCCUCAAACCAACUCACAAUAUCAUGUUAAUAGCAUAAAACAACAUAGUACAUAUGCCUACAAAUAUGAUUAUGUUCAAAUCUUUGUAAUAAUCAUUUACUAAAUCUGCAACGAGCUUGAAGUCAUUGAUCUGAUUUUCACUUUAUUACAACUUUAAUCAAAUAAACACGACACCAAGAUGAAAAAUAAAAACACAUCAUACAAAGACGAGAAAUCAAAGAUAUCAACAAUCAAAGUUGAUCUUGACAUAUGAAAAAUGGUUGAUUAAAACAUGUAUUUUGAAACAGAUGGAAUAUUUAAUAAAAGAUAUUUAAACAAUUUUAUUAAUUUAUUAAGGUUUGGAUACAUACAGGCACAUGUAACUUUAAAUAUUUACUAAUUUAUUAAUUUAUUAAAUGCAUAAUAUAUUUAAGAUGUGGGAUCAAACCCCAGCCACCACGAAAAAAAAAUAUUACUAACUAACAGAUAGUUUAUUUGGGUAUCCCUAUACCGAAUUUUAUAAUCGAACACCUCAAACAGAAACAACUAAAAUCUAAACCAUGUCAUAUUAUCAGGAUCUAGGAUUUAAUAUGGUGACUUUAGGAAUUGAGUUAUGGGUCUUGAUAACAUUUUCAUUUUCCUUUAGUUAUUCAUGAUAUAUGAAACGUGGCCACCUAGUAAUCUAAUAUCACUUACCUCACAAAUCAUAUUUUAUUUAUGGAAAAUGAUUAGAAAAAUUCCAUUCACUCUUAUAUUCUUUUCUGAAACAAGUCCCCGUUCACAUUGCUUCAUUAAAAUAUUUAUGGUCAACGAUUCAAAAUUGAGAGUUCCACUAUAGCUUAUCUCUUUUAUUGAGAUAAUAAAACAAAUCGAAAUAGAAAAAAGUCUAACACUUUAUGAAAAAAAUGGGAGAAACCAUUUCUGCUGCAGCCUCAUCCUCAGCAUCUAAAUUGAAGAAUCAAGAAGAUAGUUUUUACCUUCAUAUACAUCCUCAAGAGCUACACUUUCCACGUAAUUAAGCCUCUUUAAUUCCCAAAAACCAACAAAAUUAAAUAAGAAGUUUCUUAUUUCUAAUCCUAUUUUAUUAUGUGUCUUGUUUCUGGUUCUAAAUUCUAAUAGUAUAAUUUUUUUUUUUAACACUUUCUUGUUUUCUGCGAACCAGUUGAAUUGAAGAAAAAUAUCUCAUGCUGUUUGCAGUUGUCCAACAAGUCAGAUAAUUAUUUGGCUUUCAAGGUAAUGAUUUUCUUUUUCGUUUGUUAGAAAAUGAUAAGUUGUGCAUUUUUUAUAACUUGUGCCCUUAAGAAAUCAGUUAAAAAAAUUAAAUAUAGAAGUAUUUUUCGAAAAUUGUGUAUCUUAGAAAUUAAAAAAAAAAAAAAUUCCAUUAGUAAUCUUGUCCUUUAAUUCUUUUUUUAUGCUGCAUUAGAGGAUCCAUGUUUGCUUAAUAAAUUGAGUGUUAUUUAGGAAAAGUUAUGAUUAUGAGUUGGAUUGAAAUUGAUGGUGUUGCAACUUGCAGGUUAAGACUACAAUUCCUGAGAAAUAUUGUGUUAGGCCUAAUAUUGGAGUUCUGUUGCCUAUGUCUACUUGUGAUAUUAUAGGUUUUCUUCUCUCCAUCUCUCUCUACCUUCUUCACUCUCCCUUUUGCUAUCAAAAGUACAAUGACAUGCAAAGAAUAAUAAAUUCGGUCGAAUUAGACUUUACAAGACUCAAGUAUGUCCUAAUCUAAAAGUUCAAGGUCGACUACUAGAAAAUUCGUUUUUAGCGACGGAAAUUUGUGAGGGUUUAAUUCCGUCGCAAAUUUUGACGGAUUUUGUGAAGGGUACUCUUUUGAUGUCAUUAGCGACGGGUUUUACGAGGGUCUGUGUCAUUAGCAUGUCAUAGGUUUAUUUUUAGUCUCAAGUCUAGUAUUUUUGAAUGUCUUGUAGGACUAUCUAUCUUACUUAUAGACAUUUUUAAUAUGAAUAUAUAUUUAAAUAAGUAAUUUCAUUAUUAGAAACCCAAUUUUCCUGCGGAAUUACCAGCGGAUUUUAGAAUAUUCCGCAGAACACCUGUUUCCUGCAGAUUUAGACUGGGAUUUUGGUUCACUUCUAAUAUCUUCAUAGAUAAUUGUUUCUUUUGAUUUUAGGAUCAGAAGAAAAGAAGAAUCCCCAGGAAAAGUGAAAAUUAUAGGAUCAUAUUCAAUAUUAUCAAUAAAGAAAUUCAAAAUCUUACAAAUUUCCUGUAAAAAAAAAAAUUACAAAUUUCAUCAUAUUAAAAUAAACCGCAUGAAAAUUCGCAGGAAAAACUUGAGUUUCUAUUAUUGUUUUAGCUAUUUUUGUAGGCCUAUUUAUCCUACUUAGUAUAAAUAGUAGGGUUCAUUUUUGGGUCGUACCGCAGACAUCCCCUUUUCUAACAAAGUACCAUCCUUGUUUACAGUGUCAUGGAUAUGUUGGCAUAAUGUUUACAUGGGAUUUAGUUGCACAAUGUCAUGUGUUCUGUUCUUUUAUACUCACUUUUAUAACUAAGUAGCAUCAUUUUUUACUUAAUGACUCUUUAUAGUUACAAUGCAAGCCCUAGAGGAGGCACCUCCUGACAUGCAAUGCAAAGAUAAGUUUCUCCUUCAAAGCAUAGUUGCAAGGCCUGGAGCUACCACUAAAGAUAUCACUUCAGAUAUGGUAACAAACAACAAAUUGUUUCUUGAUAGUUUUUUCCACCAACAUUUCAUAUUUUAAUUGUUUUCUUUUUUCAUUGCAUGAAGUUUUAUAAAGAUUCCGGAUAUGAAGUUAAAGAGUCCAAAUUUAGAGCUGUUUGUGUUGCUCCUCCUUCUAACCCUCCAUCACCAGUUCAAGUAUCUGGAUCUUUAGAUCAGGUUUCUUUUUAUUUCAUUUUUUAAAAGCAGUUCACAUAUAAUUUCUAUGCAGCAUAAUAUACAAUUUAAAUUGGUAAUUCUCGUUGAUUUGUGUUGGUGAAUAAAAGUGACUCACAAAGUAUAAGAAGAGGAAAACAAUUUUUUAUUGAAUAUCAGUAUUUUUAUUAUUGUUUUUAUGUGUUAACCUUACGGUUCUCAGAGGAAAGGAACACUGUUCAUCAUGAGUUCGUUCGUAAGGUAAGUAUAGCCUAACUACGAAUCCUUUGGUGGAACUCAUUAAUCAUUUGCGCUCAAUUACUUGAUCAAUAGUUGUAGGCUUUUAAAUACAAACUCCUAAACUUUAACUGCUGCUUUAUUAGAUAAUAAGUAACUGGAAAAUUAAAACAAACUCCCGUAAAGACUUAGUCAACUAUAAAUGACACGUUCAACACUCCUUGUAAGGAGUUGAUGUUCGAUGCCUAUCUACUCGUAGAAUACAGUGAAUUGUUAUGAAGUCUACUUUGUGCCACUAUCAGACAUUAAAACUUGAAUCACACAGUCUUUUUGCUUUUCAAUCCAACGCUUAAAUCUCCAAAAUACUCCCGCAACCUCUAACCAUGAGUUAUCAAAUAAUUCCAACACAUUUUGGUGUAAUAUUUGCUCUCUUGAAGUGUACUGACAUACCUUGUAGAUUGGUGAUUCAUCAUCUAAGUCAGCUAGUCAUGAACCAAAUCAUUUCUUUGUAAAUUCAGUACAAUUGCACGAUGAAAAUGGCGUAAUCUUUUGGGCCAUAUCUCCGUAUUAUUAAUAGUAACUUGAUAAGUUGCUUUCCUUUCCUUCUUUGGACUAAACGAGAAACUAUUGCAACUAUACAAUUGCUGAUACACACGUUCAAAUGGCAAUCAUAAUUGCACAUUACAAACCUCAACCAGUACAAGCCUUCGAUAAUAUAUACUUUUGAUCUUAACCUAAGUAAUUAUCAUAAUGAUUUAUUUUUAGUUUUAGGAGGCCACAAUCAAAUUCCAAAUGUAUUUUAAAAUUGAAAUGCAUAAUUUUCCAAGUUUUCUUAAUUUAUAUAUUGAUUUAUAUUACUAUAUUGGCCUUUGAUAAUGAUCUUGUUGUAAUACAUUAAUUUUCUUUUCAAUUUAAGCAUGUUCUUUAGGAGUGUCCCCCAUAUAAGCUGAUUGCAGUUGAUAGAUGCAUGUCAUUAAUUUACAUUCUUAAUUGUGAUAUUGAAAAAUAACUUGUUCAUAAACCCCAUCUCCCUAUUGACCUUACGUUCAUGUAUCGAUUAUUAUUGAAAAGAUUUGAAUUCUGAAAUAUUGUUGCUCAUUUUUUAUUUCUUGUCAUUUUAGGCAAAGGAUCAAAUUUCGGAGUUAACCGAAGAGAGAGAUUAUCUUAAGAAGGAAAAUAAAAGGCUUCAGGAAGCACUGGUACGCCAUUCACAACAUGAUCAUAGCUUGGUAAUCUUGAAUAUUUUGUCGGGUGAUCUUGAUUGCUAUCCUAUGAUCUUGAAUAUUGGUCGUGUCUUAACUUAUUCAACUAUUUACGUAAACUUGAUAUUUUUUUUUGUUGUCAAGUAGCCUAGCCUAAUGGCUAGAAAUUCACAUCUAAGGUGAAAAAAUGGGGUCAUGAUAUUCGAAUCCCAACUUCUGAAUAAAUUAUGCAUUGUCCUUAUCAACUGAGCUAAACUCAGAGAGACCAAUUUAAUACCUUUAUCUUUAUUUUAAAAUUUUGGAAAGAUAAGAUUAUCUUAGUCAUCUGCGAGAAUACCAAAAAAGAUUUUUUCUGAUUCCAAGAAAGAAAAAAUUCACAUUGAAACCUAUUGGUUUCCAAAUUUUAAAAUGACUAUGCUUUCAGAUCACAAGAAUUUCCUUCAAUUUCCUUCUUGAAGUUACUGAGGAAGAAUUUCCUUCUUGGUCCGCUCUUACCAAUUGUUGAACCGCGAAUGCUUUUAUCGUUCCUCUUCUUAGCCAAUAACUGUCAUUUAUAUGGUGUGGCUUUAAAGUACACCCAAUCUCCAAUUUCUGUGUGAACAUGCUUCAUAUUCUUAUUUGCAUGCUUCUUCAUUCUUUGCUGAGUUAUUUCUAAACUCUUUUGUAACUGAUACAGAACAUUAUCCCUAUCUUCCACCAUACACGGCUUCUACUUAUGAAGGAAAUGUAGCACACUUUAUUACUGGAGGAGAGUCCCUUCCAUUUAGUUCUUGGAAAUCUUGUAUCCUAAUUAACACAUUAAAAUUAUUAGGCUUAAUUGCAGUCCCCCAUACUUCGAAACGUGGCCACUUUACCCCCUUUUGUAAUAGAUCAGUUUUGACUCGGUCAAUGCAUGUGUCAUCUAACUUAAUUGAGUCAGACGCUACAUGUGCAUAUUUAUUUUGCUCUUCUUCUCUUCUUCCCUUAAAUCAAAGUCUUCUCUUCAAACCUAUCCCUCACAAAUCCAACAUCCAUGAGAAGUUCUUUAUCAAAAUAAGAACUCGGGGUCGAGUUCUUUAGACGUAGAGGAGAUUGAUGCAUGAGGGAAUCCAUAGUAUUUUCUAUAGUAUUUUUAUUUUAGCCAAAUUUUAGUAAUUUUCUAUUUUUAUUUCAGUUUGUUAUUUUUGGCCCAUUAGAGUUUUGUUAUUUGUCUAUUUAAACUUAACAGGUGUAGCUUAAGAAACAAACUAUUAUUCAUUCAAUUAUAUUUUAGAUAGUUUUCUCAAUUUCUGGUGGAUUCUGAAACCCUAUUUUCGCAAGUUUGUCGUUUGCAAACUUGUUUCUCUUAAAUCUUAGAGUUAGCAAAAUUUAUUUUACGUAGGAUUUUAUAUCUUUUGUUACUUUAAAAGAAACAUAUUUUAUCUGCCAAGAGUAGAGAUGAGAGUGAUGCAAAUCGAGAUGGGAUCAUUGGAGUAAUUUAGAUUACUGUAAUGGCCUUUGAUAUGAUGUUCUUGUAAUAUAUUGACUUUCUUUUCAGUUUAAGCAUGUUUUUAGUUUCUGCCUGCUCCCAUACGGCCAGCAAUGGUCCUGUUACCGUGGUCUCUUAGUAGCUUGUAGGUGUGUCCUUAUUUUGGAGUGUUUUUUGGGUUUUAAGGUUUGUCCGCAUAUAUACGGAUCCUUUGCAUGUUUUCUUUGUCUCUUGGCAGCCGGGUGCAUGUUACGUAGGCUUGCUUUUAAUUUGGUUAAUUCAAAAACCAAAAAAACAUUUUUGGGAAUGUCCCCCCAUAUAGUCCGACUAAAGUGGAGCUUUCAUAUUUAAAAAUAUGAUGUUCAUAGACGCCAUGAUUGGUUUUGUCAUCUAAAAAAUCUAGCGGCGCAACUUGUUGUCUGCUUAUCUACUAUUAGUAUAUAAUAAUAAUUAAUCCUUGAUAUAUAAUUUUUUAAUAGGGCAUUGCUAUGGAUGAGAUGUGAAUUCUGAAAUAUUGUUGCUUAUUUUGAAUUUCUUUUUAUUUUAGGCAAAAGUACAAAGUUCAAAUUUAACUGAGAGAGACGAUGUUAUUGAGAAAAAUGAAAAUCUUGAGCAAGAACUGGUAUGAAAAAAUCUCUCUCUUUAAUUAACAAUUUUAGAACGAUAAGAUUAUCUUAGUCAUUUCCAUGAAUAACUAAAGAUUUCUAUGAGAAAUGAAAAAAUCAUAUUGAUACAUAUUUGGUUUCCUAAAUUUUAAAAUGAUUUUGCUUUGAGAUCACAAGAAUUUCCUUAUUCAACUUAUAAAGAGGAGGCAUUCGUAAGCAAUGAGUUAGGCUCAACUUCAACAUGAGAGACAAAAUUCCUUUCUCAGCAUAAUCGCUUGAACAAAGAGAAUUAUUGUUGAGAGAUGUUAACCGAUACCUCGCUAACUCUCUAGUUCAACAACAAUUACUAACUUAAAAAUAUAAAACGCUCCAUAUCAAAAUGAAUAAAUAUAAUGAGCUCAAUAUCCUAAACCCAAUAGACUAUUAUCUAACAGAAGCGAUGUGAUUUUAUCCUAAACAUCGUUAUCUUAGACUAUGCCUUUAUGAGUGAAUCAUUGAUUUAGUCCCUAAAAUCAAUAGCACCAAGCAAUUUCAUAUAUUAAGUUAUUGAAAUUCCAUAAUGAUCUCUAAAGUUGAAAAUUCUUUGAUCACAUUAGUUCUUUAAUGUUGGUCAAUUUACUCCUAAAAACUAUCCUAAAAGCACUAAUGUGAUUGUCGAUUUUCAAUUUUAUAUAUUAUUUUGAAAUUUUACUUAUGAUGAAAAUAACUACUACAAUUUUAGGGAUUAAAUUGUAUGGUUCACUCCACUCAUUUUCCUUGAAUAUAAGUAGCAUAGUUAAUAUGUAUUAUUGCAAAAUCGAGGGAAGCUUUUCUGAAUUGGUUACGUUAAUUCCUUUUCUUCAAGCAGGAGAUGGAGAUAUCUCUUAUAGGACUUCAGAAUGCUGGAAAGACUUCCCUUGUAAAUGCUGUUACUACCGGUGGAUACAGCGAGGAAAUGAUUCCUACAGUGGGAUUCAAUAUGAGGAAAGUAACAAAAGGAAAUGUUACAAUAAAGAUAUGGGAUUUAGGAGGGCAACGUAGGUUCCGUAGCAUGUGGGAACGUUACUGUCGUGCGGUUUCUGCUAUCGUUUCUCUUGUUGAUGCUGCUGAUCCAGAUAACCUUAGCAUAUCAAGAAGUGAACUUCAUGAUUUGCUGAGCAAGCCAUCAUUGAGUGGUAUCCCUUUAUCGGUGUUGGGAAACAAGAUUGACAAGCCAUGGGCUGUGUCUAAACAAGAUUUGACCGACCAAAUGGAUCUGAAAUCAAUUACUGAUAGAGAAAUUUGUUGCUUCAUGAUCUCGUGCAAAAACUCAACCAACAUCGACUCUGUUAUUGACUGGCUUGUGAAGCAUUCCAAAUCAAAGAACUGAGAAACUGCUUUGUGCUUUGAACUUUGAUGUAAUUUUGUGGCGACCCAAUUCUGGAUUUAGUAGUGGCAUUGGAAUGCUAACUCUCAGAUUGGUGUAUAAUUAUGUGGCGGUUCCAACUAUAUACGGCGCCUUUUGUUUGUAUUCUCAGUUUCAUCGGUCUUUGUUCGUCUUGAGCGGGGAUUUGGUUGUUUAAUAAAAUUUGCUGUUUUAAAAAAAAAAAGGUUAUCGACACUAUGAAAGUGACUUUCAUCAAUCCAUCCACUUCCACCGUAAACUUAAAGAUAGGUAACUAAAAAUACCUUAAUUGACCUAACUUCAAAAAUUGCCACAUAUACUUGUUUAGGAUAAAUAAUAAAUUGAAAUUUUUUAAUUUUGAUUUUUCAUAUCACUUUUGUUUUUCUUUUAUAAUAUUUUUACUGAUAAAACAUCAAAACUGAUAGGCUAUGCUACUCUAGCUACUAUUAAACUAAGAAUGCAAAAGAAGAAGAAAAUAUAAAACUUUAUAAGUUUAUUCAUGAAGCAGCCAAGAGGCAUUGUUAUAGCUUUUAUACUUAGGGUUGGUAGCAAGGGCUUAACCUGAUAAAACAUAAUAAAAGCAUAAGAAAUAAAAAUAAGUCCAAAAGUUUAUUGGGGUGGUCUAUGAAUGAUGUAAACAUAAUUGAUGAUAGGUUAUCUUACGUUAUUUUUAGCAUGUUUUUCAGUCAAAUUCAAUAGGUUUUAUCAGCAGAACUGAGGAGUAUUAGAACAAUUGUCUAUAAUUUUGGGUCAUUUGUAAUGUUUUAUAUAUUUGAGUCUGUAAUUCUAUUAUUCCCGAAACAUAGCAAUUCAAAGGUGUUUUUGAUAUGAAGAACAUCAAAAAGUCUUAUAGACAUUGGGAAGAUCAAGAAUGAAGAUUCAAGAGUCAUCAUAAGACUUUACAGAGGGAGAAAUUAUGUUCUUAGGUCACAAUACAUCUUAUAUGGAAGCAAACACCCAAAUGGAUGGAAAAACAGAGAAUUAAGGCUCAUAACACACUUACAUGCGCCUAGGGCAUGAAUCAUACGCCUAGGAAAUGCCUCAUGUACCUAGGGCAUAAGUUGUUCUGCACACUCAUGCGCCUAGGACAUGAGCUGUGCGCCCCGAGCACUGCUUAGUGCGGGCAAAAACAACUUUUUCCUACUUUUUAGCAGGAAAAAGUUCGGUUUUGGUCCCAACUUCAAGUGGAAACUCUCCCUAUAAUUACCUCAUUCCUCAUUCCAAAUUUCUCAUUCAGAACGAAGUGGUUCAAGAGGAAGGCAAACACUAGGAGCUUCCAGGGAGUAGUUUCUCUCUCCUCACUCCAAGUUUCUCUAUGGUAUGUUUUAUUUCUUUUGUAAUUUGUCUUUAGUUACCAUGAGUAACUAAAUAUUUAUAGGCUAGGGUUCUAAGAUGAAACUUUAUUAUAUUUGUUGGAUAAUUAUUUAAUUUAUAGUCAUUUAUUCAGUUAUCUUCUGUCUGUGAUUUAGUUUUACUGUAAUGCGUAAGAUUUUUCUCCUCUAGAACAUAACUCUCAUUUAGGCACUUAGGUAGUGACAUGGCCUAAUAUUGAUAUUUAUAACUUGUUAUUUAUAGAUGCCUAACAAGGAAGUAAUUAGUUAGUAACUAGCGAAAGAAACCGAAAGCGAUUGGACCCUGAUAAUAAUUACUUAGGAGGUGGCAUAACUACUAUUAAGUAAAAUCUGCUGAAAUUAGAAUGUAACUAGUUAGUAAUUAAGGAAACAAAUGACUUCACAACCUAAAUCAGCCUGAUAACUCCAUUCUCCUCGACCUGGGUCAGGUAAAUGCUGAUAGGGUUGCCCGUUUAUAGAACUACCAAGAGGGAAAAUGUGCUAUGUACUUCUAAGACUCAUAGAUGAGAAAAACUUUAGGAACACUAGCAACGAUAUCUUUGGAAAUUUAGGAACGCCAAUUUAAGUAUAUGUUUCAAUUAACACUGAGGGAGUAAGACCCCAUACGUAUGGAUCACCGUGUGGCCAACAAUUGCAACUCAACAGGCGGAGGGAUAGACCGAAAUCAACUGAGAGAGUAAGACCCGAAACAUAAGGAUCAUUGUGCGACCAUCAAGUGCAACUUGACAAACUGAUUAGGCUAUCACGUACCAACGAACUCAUCACUUAGAUAGUCUACUUAGAAUAACAGAACGCGACUUGACUAUUAAAUAAUUCCAACAAAUGAAUAUAGAGGAUCCUAACUGCUGCUAAUAUUUUUGCAAUCAAAACACGUAAACUUUCUCUGUUGCAAACAGAUAAAAAUUGCAAACUCUAAACUCUUAUCUUUUAUUUAUUACUUUGUUUUCAAAUCAGCUUCAAGAAAAAAUGCAUUUGGCGACUUUUAAAAUGACGAAUUGCGACUGUUAGAAAGGUCGCAAAUGUACAUUUGAGACUCUUCCCCAACAGGCGCUAAUGUUGGGGUCGCAUCUGUCUUUUGCGACAAUUCAAGGAACGGUCGUACCAACAGCCGCGACGGGUCAUAACAGUCGCAAAGUACAUUUUGUUUUGUUUGAAAAGGGGUGUUGCGACAGUUCAUAACAGCCGCAAUUCCUUAAAACUAUUUUUUUAAAAUACUCUUUGCGACACUUUCGAAUUGUCGAAAUUUGUGAAAUUUAUUUAAAAAAAGAAUAAUAAAUCAUAAAAUAUGAAUACUAAUUAAUAAAAAAUAUUAACUAAUCCAUAAACUAAAAUUUGAAUUUUACAUUCAUAUAAAAUUAUUUGUGGCGUCAAACACUCUGGACACAACGUUAACUUCCAGAUCAAUACAAAUUUUAUGAUUGACAGUCUAAUCUACAAUGAUGUUUAUAAACUAAAAAAAAACUUAAUUCUUAAUAAUUCUAAAGGUAAUAAGAUGGAGGCCAGUAAAUUUCCCUUCCGUUUGGAUCCAAAUAGUCCAUACAUGAAAGACAGAAACAUAAAAUUAUAGCAAAUAUAGUUUAAACUUUCAACAUUUCAAUACUUGUAUACAUGGUAUAUCCUAUAGAAUUCCUAAAGAAAGUUUAAAAUGAAAAGCCCACACAAUAAAAAACAAACAAGUGAUGACACCAUGAAGGGUAAACAUAACACUUUUAAAUCCAAAUAAUCUUGACAUAACAUAGCAUUUUGCAGACACACAAACAUAACAUAGCAACAGUGUCAAUUGACAUUGAUGAUAAUUCAAAUUGAGUAAAAGUUUCACCAUUAUGAAGAUUAAGACAUUUGUAUCAUAUACCUGGAAUAACUUUCAGAUGGAUACCCUAUUGAAAUAAAAAAAUUUAUUUCCUCACCACACCUCAAAAACAUCUACAUAAUAUCAAACAACAAGCACAAUAAGACAUUCACACUCUUUUGUGACAAAAUGGUCAGAUAAGAUGACGACGCAGCUGCACGCACUAUGUGGCUUAAAGUAACAAGUUCCAAUACAUUUAACUCAAAACAAUGGCCUAGGCAACAGUGUGAAUGGGCAGAUAAGAUGAUGACACAACUGCAUGCACUAUGUGGCUUAAAGUAACAAGUUCCAAUACAUUUAACUCAAAACAAUGGCCUAGGCAACAGGUUAGACAAAUUAAGAAAAGAGUUCAACCAAACUAACUAUCAGCAUACAUCAGUUGUUAUCCAUCAAAUUAAGAGUUUGAUCUACACACAGUUCCAGCAGAAAAUUACACACAGUUCCAACAUAAACUACACACAGUUCCAGCAUACACUAAACGAAUAAAAAAUGUCGACAAGUAAUCAAUUUUAAGAAAUUUGUGAAAACAAGUAGAGAGAGAUUUGUGCAACAGUAUGCUAUGUUUUAGAAAAUCAGUUGUGUAUGCAAAGAAUCAAUUUAACACAUUAGGUCUUGUAUCUCUCCCAUUCAUCCUUUCAUAAGUUUGGUCUAAAAAAUAAGCUAAAACAUGAACAGUUGUGGGUUCAAGUCGAACCGAACCAGUGUUAUGAUUGGGUGAACCCGUUCAUUAUUGUUUUCAAACUGAACUGAAACCAAUUUCACAAGUUGAAUUGCUGUCAAGAACUCGAAGUUCAAUUGCUGUCAAGAAUUAAUAAAGUUAAAUAAAUGUCAACAACUCAUAAAAAGUAUGCAAGAUUACAAUUGCUCAAGCACACAUACAAGAGACUUUCAAUACUCAAGCACACAAGCAAGAGACUUCAUAUGCUCAAGCACAAAAGCAAGAGACUUUUAUAAAACAAAGAUUACAAAGAAUAUUGUUUGGUUGAACACUUAAUAUAAAAUCAGAGGUGUUCAAAAAUACAAAACAGUUCAGACUCUAGAUUUAAGAAUUUCUAAUAUAGGGUCUUGUUCUAAUUUCUAAUUUUUUGUUUUUAACACUUUCUUGGUUUUUGUGAACACAGUUGAAUUGAAUAAACAGAUCUUAUCCUCUUUCCAGAUGUCUAACAAGUCUGAUAAUUAUCUGGCUUUCAAGGUAUUGAUGUUUCUAUGUUGUUUGUUUUUAUAUAGUGUUAUUUACGAAAGGUUAUAAUUUUGAUUUGGAUUGAAAUUGAUGGUGUUGCAACUUGCAGGUUAAGACUACAGUUCCUGAGAAAUAUUGUGUUAGGCCUAAUAUUGGAGUUCUGUUGCCUACGUCUAUUUCUGAUAUUAUAGGUGAAAUAAUUUGCUUGAUUAUGUGAAUAAUCAUUUGCUUACAAAAGUAGAAAGACAUGUAAAGAAGAAUAAUAAUGACAUUUUUAUUUCUUAUUUUAAAGGUAUAUUUUCCUCCAAUCUCAAUUAUAGGAGGAUGAACACAUUGUUAUCCUUAAGUUUUGAUCGAAUAUGUACUCAUCAUCUAAUUAUUCAAUACCUUAUUAUAUUUUUUAAUUUACUAAUAUAAACAUAAAAUUAUAUUUUGAAUAAAUCCUUAUUAUAUUUUUUAAUUUAUUAAUAUAACAUAAAAUAAUAUUUUGAAAUUUUUUUGCAUACGGUGUUGCUACCCAAAGAAGAUGUAGUCUACAAAUCCAAAGAAGUAUUGUUGCCUAGGUCUACUUGUGAUAUUCAAGGUCUUGUUCUCUAUCUUUUUUAGUCUCUCUCAUGCACACAAAAGCACGACGAAAUGCAACGAAGAAUAAUCAAGAUGUUAUAUUUGUUUACAAAUCAUAACAUUUAUAUAAUUGAUUAAAGUUAAUCAUUUUUAGCUAAAUAAACUUCUAAAAUAGUCUUAGCCUUAUCUUUAUAAAAACAAAACAUGGGUUGAACUAAGCCUGAUACCUUAAGCAUUCAAAAGUUGUUCAUGAGUUCUUGUUAGUUUAUGUGUGCAGAAAGUGGUUGUUGUACUACUAGAAAUAUUAGUUAUAUUGUUUUAUUAGGUACUUACAUGUGGUGGCAAAUUACCUUUUUUUAUUUUUUAUUUUUUGGCUUAAUUAAUGAUUUGGUCCCUUAAGUUAUUUAUUGGUUACAUUUUGGUCCCAUAAGUUAUUAAAGUUACAAUUUGGUCCCUUAAGUUAGUAUUUGUUAGCCAAAUAAAUCCUCACCGUCAGUCUUUUGCGAAAACGCUAAAUAAGGACAUGUGAACGGUGGCGUGACAACUUGCAAUAUAUAUCCACCUUAGACGUUGGCUUAACGGUUUUGAUGGUGGGGAUUUAUUCGGUUGCUGGAAGAUAACCUAAAGGAAUUAAAUUGUAACGUUAAUAACUUAGAGCACCCACAUCCAUGCCACUCUACAUGGGUGGUAUAAAUGGGUCCCAGUAAUACUUUAUAUUACUUCACACUUUUCAAUUAUUUAAACCACUCAACUACAUUUUCUAAACAUCCAUACCAUUCUUACAAAACUUAUAAUGGGUCCCACUAAUCUUACAAAAUGUGUGUGAGGAAGAGAAAGAAUUGCUUUAAGACACAAUGGUAGAAUUUGGAACCGUAGCCAAGAAAAGAUACCAACUGUUAUGCAAUUAUCCAUGCCUUUCCUGACACUAGUAGCCACACGUGGACCUUAUGUGCCAAAAGACACUGCCGAUAUUUGUGCUCUUAUGGGACUAAAAUNNNNNNNNNNNNNNNNNNNNNNNNNNNNNNNNNNNNNNNNNNNNNNNNNNNNNNNNNNNNNNNNNNNNNNNNNNNNNNNNNNNNNNNNNNNNNNNNNNNNUUGAUCGUAACCCAUAUAUAUAAUAUAAAAUAUUUCUAUAACAAAUAACAAAUAACAAAUAUAUCUCUAUAACAAAUAUAUUUCUAUAACAUAUAUAUUUCUAAACCAAAUAGCAUAUAUAUUAUACUAAUAAAUACCAACAUAUAACAUAACAAAAUAUCACUCAUCAAAAUAAAUCAUAUAAAUCACACAAAUCAUAUAAGUAUAUUCUAAACUCAUUAAAAUAAUCAAAUAAUUAAAGAGGUGUUACAAUUUUCGUGUUCAUUUUUCAUACAUGCAUUCAUCAUCAAUAACGUUGUCAUCAUGCAUGCAAUGCUUCAUCAACAUAAAUCGUCAUCAUCAUCAUAAUCAUUAUCAACAACAAUCAACUAAAGAAUCAACAAAGUUCCAGACUAAAGAAUCAACAAUUCUAGUCGUCUUCAUUGGAUAUAAAUAUCCUACUUAUGAAUGCAUGAACAUACGACUCCACAAUGCAUACGCUCAACAAAAAAUCGUCAUCAUUUUCGUCUUCAUUUUUCAUACAUGCAUUCAUCAUCAAUAACGUUGUCAUUAUGCAUGUAAUGAUUCAUCAACAUAAAUCAUCAUCGUCAUCAUAACCAUUAUCAAUAACAAUCAACUAAAGAAUCAACUAAGUUUCAAACUCACAUUUUGCACAAAAGACAGACAGUUAUCCACAUCAUGACAUUCAUCAAAUUAAACACCGACUCAUCCUUGAUUCAUUCUUAUUAUAAAAUAUCAUCAUGAAUAUAAAGUCAAUUGCAAGUUAUUCGGUCAUAAAACCUCAUUUCAACAAAGUUCGUCUAUUUUCAUAAAAUCGACCAUUUUCAAUUUUACCAACCAAAUUAGGGUUCCAAGUUCUUACAUACCAUUAAGACAUCUCUACAUAUCAUCUAACAUCUUAGUUAAUCAAUCAUAACAAGUUCAGUUCACAAAGUUCAACUAGUUCUCCAAAAUUGCAAAGUUCAUCUCCUUUUUCUUCAUGUUUCAAACUCAAUUCAUUUCUAGGUAAAAUCAAGUUAAAACACUUCUAAAGAACAAAUAUUCAUGAUUAAUCAUUUAUUCACUAUAAAUACUUCCUCAAAUUCAAUAUUAAUUUUGAAGAUGUUUCAUGGUUUAGUGAAAAUGUUAUGAUAUAGUUUCAUGAAAAAGUGACACAUGACCUAUGCGAAGUAAUUUGACCAUAAAUCAAGUUAUAGAAAACAUUUUGAAGUUAGACUAAACCCAUUAUAAAUAUAACAUACAUAUAUAAAACUUUCAUGUUUACAACUACGGCUGAAUCGAUUCAGAUCUUAUUGAAUCGAUUCAAAACAAGUUAGAGAGAAACCAUGAUACGAUUCAAAAUUUCUGAAUCGAUUCAAAGCUGCCCAGAUACAGAAUGAUGCAAUUCAAACUUUCUUGAAUAAAUUCAAUGGCCUGGAAAACACAAUUUUAGCUUCGGUUUCAUCCCCAAAUCAUCCCAAAAAUCCCUAUUUUGAUUUCCAACAUACCUAAAACGAUAAAAAUCAUUUUCCAAAGUUCAUUCAGACGUUUUUCACCACAAUACAAAACAACUUAUACUUCAAUUUACCUAAUUCAUCAAGGUUACAACAACAACAACUUACACACAACAACACAUAUAUCACAAUCAAUUCAUGAAUCAUCAUCACCAACAUAUACCCAUCAACAAUCAUAGCAUAUAAUUCAUGAACUCGUCAGUUUUCAACAACAUCUUCAUUUUCAUAAAUUUAAGUUAAAACUUCAAAGCUAUCAUUUCAACAUACAUGAAGUUUAAGUAGCCACAACAAGAAUUCAAAAAAUUUCAUAUACUCAAAUUUAUUGCAUAGUCGUGAGCACGAAAUUCAACAUUCAAAAUCACAAAAAGUCAUAAUUCACCAUAAGUACCUAUUCUCAUAAUUGAAAAGAUGAAGGUUGUAACUUAAUUAUGAAAAGGAUAUACCCCCCUUACCUCUAGGUCUUGAAUUCACUAACUUAGGCUUUAAUUUAGUUCCUAGCUCUUCAAACCUCAAGCUCUCCCUCUAGCUUCCUCUUCUUUCCUCUUGCGAUCUACUUUCUUUCUCUACCUCUUAUGUUUUUGUGAAAUAAAAUAAUGAAUGGCUUAACCUAAUUUUCUCAUAAGAGUUAUGCUUAUAUAGUCACCUCUUAAUUUGGCUAGGUUUCUAAUUGUAACGCCCACUUUCGUUAACUGUUUAUUUAAUUGAGUUUAGGCGAUUAUAUUAUAUUUAUAUAAUAUAUGCAUGAUUAUGGUAUGAUUUGAAUGAUUUACGUUUAUGUUGAUGGUUUAGUUGAUAUUGUGAUGAGUUAUGAGUUUUGGAAGAUUUGAUAAGAUUAAGGGAUUUAUUUUAUUGUUAAAUAAAAUAAAGAUUUGAAAAUAAUAUAAAAUAUUUAGUUGAGGGCUGUUUUGAUAUUUUAGAUAGUUUUGGGGGAGAAAGUGAGAUAAGAUAAGUAAUUAAGAGGAGAUAUAUAAAGGUUAGACCUAGUUUUAGAAAAACAUUGUUGUACGUACGUUUUUGGAGAAAAGGGAGAAAAAGCCAAGAGAAGAGAGAAUCACUAGGAGUGCUGCGAUUUUCUUCAUACAAGGUAAGGGUGAGACUAAUAAUUCAAUAAUGUUAGUUGUUGUAAUUCUGAUGAUUAAUUGACCAAGUUAGGAUUGAUUUAGAAAAGUUUUGGAAAUAGGUCAAAACCCUAAAAUUGAUGAUAAAACGGUGAGAAUUGUUUAGAUUGAUGUAAAAACUAUCCUAUAACCUUAGAAUAUGUUUAGGACGAAUUCUGGAUGUGAAAUUAGGCUUAGAACCUUCUUAGAUGAUGAUUUUGUGUAGAAACCAGAUUCUGCCCGUAACGACAUUCAUCGCUCGCCUCUCGAGCAAUGAUCCUCGCCAUGGCGAGUGAUGAACUUCAUCGCUCGCCACGCGAGCCAAAGCCCUUCGCCUCGCGAGUUACUUAGUGUAGCUCGCCACGGCAAACAACCCCUCCUCGCCUCGCGAGCUAAGGCAGAGAGCAUGUUAGAUUUUGUGUUUUCGACUUUUUAGUUGGACCUUGAGUGCCUUUGAGUGCCUGAACAUACCUAGUAAUGAAUAGGGAUGAAUGUAGGACAAGCCUGAACCCAGAACAACUUUAGUUUGGGAUUUGAGUGGUACUCGCCAUGGCGAGUGAGAACUCUCGCCUCGCGAGUAUGACCAGAAUGUAGGUUGUUUGAGUGUAGUGCGAUCUGUGUCGCACGUAUUGAUCAAGAGUGAACCUCUAAUUGGUAAUGAAACCUAGUGAUGAUGUCUACUGCAAUCUGUGAAGCCUUUUAAGACAAGUGGUCAUUAAUUGAGCGUGAUUAAUGUGUUGUACAAUUAUGUAAGAUAUGAAAGUUUAACUAUGAUGCAUUGAUUUGCUAUUGAUAUAAUGAAAUCAUCCUGUUAUGUGACUUGACUAUGCUGCUGCUGUUGUUUAACUAAGUGCAUUGUAUAUAUAUAUAUAUAUAUAUAUAUAUAUAUAUAUAUAUAUAUAUAUAUAUAUAUAUAUAUAUAUAUGAUGAAAUGAUGACGUUUAGCUCCAAAUUAUUGGAUGCAUGUUGAUAUGUUGAAUACGGUGAUUUGUUCAUAAGAGUCCAUGCAUAGCAUUUCAUUGAGCUUAGUCCUCACCACGAUUAUUAGGAGCUUUGUCCUCCGCACGAUUUAUAGGAGCUUUGUCCUCCGCACGAUUAAAGUAUAUUAAUACUUAUGAUGACAAUUGGUACCACAUGCAUAUAAGGAGUCUAAGAGCAUUGUCACAUUGUCAUGUCCAUAAUGCUAUGUUGUUGAUAAUGAAUAUGUGAUUACGUGAUAAGUGUUUAUCAAAUAAGUUAUGUUGUUCAUGAUAAUUGAAUAUAUGAUUACGUGAUAUCUGUUUAGCAAUUAUGCAAAGUUGUUAAAGAAAUGAUUAUGAUGUCAACUUAUGAUUCGCAAUUACAUUGAUUAAUGUUAUUUUGUUAUGAAAUCUCACCCCUUCUGCUUGAAAAUGUUGCCCUUCGUAUGGGUAACUUGCAGGUGAUCGUGCUUAGUGUGCAGUUGCCGUCGUGAGUGGCCUUGCCUUCACUGUGUCGUCUAGGUCGCUCUGAUACGUAACGGGAUGGGGUUUAAUGUUAUACAUGCUUCAUUCUCUUACGUGACUAAUAUGUUAUUUUUAUAAUGUUAUGGAUUACGACAUGAACUGUUUUGAUGGGGCCUACGUGCCAAACUGAUUUAUGGAUUAUGAAUCAAAUUCCGCUGCAAUGUUCACGACUUUUGGUUAAAUUACUAUUUAAUUGUUUUGGAUCAUGUUAUAUGUGAUAUCCCGUUGUUUAUGAUGCUUACUCUGAUAUAUGUUUAAGAAAUUUGUAUAUUGGGAAAACGGGGUGUUACACUAAUUGUCAUAAUGGGCUCAACAUCCUUACUAACUAAUUCGCAAAAGUUAAUACUCACUUAAACUGUUAAAACACCGAAUAAUUAACAUCUCUAAAUAAUUACCCCAACUCACUAGUAACUUAGUAAAAAUAAUUAUUCUCACUAAAACUCCAAAAGUAACCUUCUUAAUAAAAAUGACUAAUUUACCCUUACUCGCCAAAUGACCAAAAUACCCCUUAGUUUAAAAAUGACUAAAAUACUCCGCUAGGCCAAAAAUCCACUAAUCCUACUUUAAAUACACACAGAGACAAUUAAUCAAACAUAAACAUAUAGAAACAAACAUAAUAAACAAUUAAAUUAAUUCUAGCUAAAAACAGGUUGUUACACAACAUCCUGGGACUCUAGUCAGGUUGUACAUAGUACACAUACGUGGGGCUAGUCUGUCCAUUUCUUAACAAGGAAGCAUAUGAGAUGUCCCCAAUGAUUGGAUUCCUAAGAAGAAUAAAAGAAUAUGCUAUUUGGUAGGUAGGAUUGGAUAAGGACGGAUGGAUAAGAACAGCCCAUGUAAAAUGACCAAAGGGUACAACUUGUAGUGGGUUGCCUUGUACUAUAAAAGGGCACCCGUGUGUUAGUGUCAAGGGUCUAAAAAUUCACCUUAGAAUUGGAAAGGUCAGGUUACGACUAGGGUUAGCAGCUUUAGAGAUCUCAUUCCAUCUCAUCUUCUAACAUAAAUGAGCAUGGUAUAUAGAUCCCAGAGUUCUUAUACUAGAUUACUUGGUGAUGCUUUGCCUCACCUUAUUCCUUCAAGGAUUGUAAUCUUGCGACAACUCGAUCUAUUCUAUUAAUUUAGUUUUCUAUGUUUUCAUUUGUUUCCAUCUUCAUUUCCAUUUCUAUGGUUCAGGUCACCACGAGCUAAACCCCUUUAAAUGGUUUAGACAUGGCGAGGUUAUGAUUUAUUAAUUACUUAUCAUAUAUCAAACUGUAGCAUUGUGCUUUGCUCUGAUAAACUGUUUUUAUUGUAAAACCAAUAGAAGUGAUUCCUGAUAAGUUUUCCUUCUAAUGAUAUAGCUCGUUACCCUGAUGAAGUAAGGAGCAGAACCUGUUUACUUGAUACGAGUUAGCCCUUACCAACAGAGUGAAAGAGGACAAGACACCUGAAUGUAAAACUAACGUUAUAGGAGGCUAUAGCUUGGUGAAUCUCAUUUAGCUUAAGAGGUUAAUAAACAGCCGUAACACUGAAUGACCAUAGCCAUACCACAUUAUAACUUAGUAUUACAUUUUUUUAAUGUAUUUUUGACGUAUAUCAAUGAGGAUCUGAAUUAAGCCGCACAUAAGAGCGAAAAAGGGCAAGACUCCUCCAUUAAAUAAGCCAUAAAGCCGGAGUUUAAAUAUAUAGCUAAAUGAAGCUAUAUCUAUUUGAAGCUAUAGCUCCAUAGUCUAUAUGGGAUCGAUAUCUUUUUAUACUUGAAUUUGGAUAGUGUAUACUUGCACUUAGUCUUUCAAUCUUAAAAUACUUCUAAUGUUUUAGGUGACAGCACAAAUGCCUUUUGGGAUGGCCUGCAGAAAAAAGACGUCGAAUUUAAAUCUUACAAAUGGAAUGUGAACUUAUUUCACCACCGAGUGAAAAACAUAAAAAGCUUAGGAAUAAAUAAGUUAAUUCAAUAACCUGCACAUUUUAGUAUUGUAAAAUUGUGCUUAGGAGUAAGUUAAGCGUUAGUAUACGCAAGGGACACUAUAAUUAAAGAAUAAAGCCAUAUUUCGUAUUUCAACUCAACUCUUGCAUGUUUGGAGUCACACCCUGUCAGACACAAUCACAUCGUGAUUUUAUAGAAGUUCUAAAGUGUAGUUUUUACUCUACAAAAUAAAGAGAAAUUCCAAAAAUGCCCAAAAGCAUUUAACUCCAGCUCAAUAAAUGGGAGGUGAAGAGGGUAUUUUCCAUGAACAAUGGGUCAGCAUGACACACAACCACACUUACUAGUAAUUAGAUAAUCAUCAUCAAACAAGUUUAUUUGCAAACAAAAUGCAGCAUACCAGCAAAUACCUUUGACACAGUAAACACUCCAUUGAAAUCAUCAUCAAAAAAUUAAACAAAAUGAAUCAAAGUGAGAAAAUCGCGAAAGAAUUUAGAGUGAAAUGAUGGAGAACAAUAAUGGUAAAACAAUUGAGAUCAUAGGGUUAAGAGGGAUACAUGUUACAGAAGGGAAUUGUGCUUCAAUUUCAAUUAUGCAAACUCAAAUUCACAUGCAUGCUACAUAUCCUCUCAUCCCCUACAUAUUAUUUCUUUAUGCAAACUCAAAUUGCUUUUGUUUUUUUCAAAAUCAUGAUUCUGGUGAAGAUGGUUUUUAAAACACGAUAAAACACACAUGCCUUUGCCUUUAAUUUUACCUUCCACAACUUUCUAGAGAUCCAAAGCACUUCAAUGAAAUAUUGAAUUAUUCAUAAAGUUAUUCAUUAAUGAAUUGAUUGGAGAAUUAUCAAAGAUGAAACUUCAAUAUUAUAUGCAUGGAGAUUCUAUAGUAAAAUACUUAGGACGAUUCAAGAGUUUCCCAUCACUAUUCAAGAUAAGAAUAGAAAUCAAGCAAAGCAAUUUCGACAUUGAGAAAGGUUUUUCAUGUCUCUAAUAGAACAUUCUCGUCACAGAAUAAUCCUUGUGAAGACGAUAAUCUUAAUACUAAAUUACUUAAGCAAUUGGUGCACUUGCCAGAUUUAUCAUCAUCUUUCAAAAUUUUGUUUAAACAUAGUAUUGUUUUCGAUUUUAGACAAGAUGGUUUUGACUUAAAACUAGUAAACACACUUAAAAACUAACCUUUUUUUAUAGAUUUUUUCUACCUACAUUAUACCUAAAAGUGAACAAAGUCUUCCAUUUCAAUUUUGGCGAUGUUGAAUUUAUGAUAUUUUCAAUGUACUUCACCAAUUUCAACAUAACUAUUAAACUUAUUAUUAUAGGUGUGAUGUGUCUAGAUUGCAAACCAUGGUGAUAUCUCAAAAUUUACGAGACAAGGAGAUCCUAUAAAUAAAACUCUUUGCUUCCUGAUUUCAUUUCCAUCAACCUAGAAUACAAAGUCAUAACUUCAAGGUUCUUAAAACUAGGGAAUAACAUAAGAAGAAAAUAAUAAUUAUUGAGUGCAUCAACAAAAAUUAAAUGACAACAAGUGGAAUAUUCUAGCAUAAGGUAUAUUGUAGAAUUCUCUUGAUAGAGAAAGAGAACUCAUUUAUCUCAUUAUGAUGUUUUAGAUCGCUACACAUUUGCCUUUACGACACCUAACAUUAACUUUAUGAAGUUUUGGACAAUCUUUAUCUGUUUUACAAGCACUGUCAAUAAUCUCACUAAAAGAAGAAUUAGAUACUGCUAUGCAAAGAAAUAUAGAAAAAAAUAAAAUUAUAACAUAAACUAACUUCAGAGUUUCAACCAUAUUUUUUCCUAUUUGCAUCCAAAUAAUAGUAAAUGACUUGAUCUCUUUAUAAUGUAUAGUAAAGUUCAUGGUCUUAGAGAAAUAAUUAAAUAGUUUAAGCAUUAUAAAAUUUUAAAAGCCCUUUCAGAAUUUUAGAAUUAUUAGUAAAUGUCUCUUAAAUAUAUUAUUGUAUUAUUUUUGUCCCUUUAGCACACUUAGAAAGGAGUUCAUAUAAUAAAAAUAAUAAUCAAUAUAAUUGAAUAAAAUUUUACACACUUUAGAUUACUUUUUCUUGUAAAUAAUUCUAUUAUUUUUGUAACAUUUUGUGAGAGUAAAGGGAAAAAAAUUAUACCAUCAUAAAGUUAUGUAUGAAUAUAAAGCACCAUUGUAUAUUUAUGAUCAAGUAGAACGUAUACUAUGAUUAGGGUUGUAUCUGAGGCAGUGCGAGAGGGCGACCGUCCUAGGCCUCAAAAAAUAAGCCUAAUUUUGGGCCCCAAAUUACAAAAAAAAAAAUGAGCGAACAAAAUCACAAAAGGCGGAAAUAAAUAAAUUUGUUUAUAAAUGGUUAAGUGAGUCGUCGAAUAAUGAUGGAUAGACCGUAUAAUAAGAUACUCUUGAAUGAUGACAAUCUACUCGAUGGUUGAAAACAUUUAAGUUUGAAACCAAAGAACAUGAAAAUAGUGUUGAGCAUACCAUUAAAAUUGAAAAACUAUUUGAGAUCGUCUAUGUCACAAGAAAACUUGAAUCGUCUAGCCAUUUCAUGUACUGAGAAAGAUAUGAUAGAAAAUAUUAAUGUAAACACAAUUAUUAGUGAAUUUGCAUAUAAAAAUGCUCGUAGAAAUUUUGUACGAGCAUUUGAAUAUUAAAUAGAAAAUUCAAUAUUUUUUGUAUAAAAUCUGAUAUUUUUAUUUAUAUAAUUUUUUUACGUAAUAAAAACUAUAAUCUUCAAAUUGUAGUUAGGGCUCAAAUUGCAUAUAAUAAGAAGUCUUUCCACUAUGUUGUAAGCAAAUGCCUUUUGGGAUGGCCUGAAUUUAAAUCUCACAAAUGGAAUGUGAACUUAUUUUCACCAGCAAGUGAUAAACAAUUUUUUUUUUUUUGAAAGAUCCCACUGAGUGAUAAACAUAAAAAGCUUAGGAGUAAGUUAAUUCAAUAACCUGCACAUUUGGUAAUGUAAAAUUAUGCUUAGGAGUAAGUUAAGUGCUAGUAUACGCAAGGGACACUAUAAUUAAAGAAUAAAGCCAUAUUUCGUAUUUCAACUCAACUCUUGCAUGUUUGGAGUCACACCCUGUCAGACACAACCACAUCGUGAUUUUCUUGAAGUUCUAAAGUGUAGCUUUUGAUCUAUAAAAUAAAGAGAAAUUGCAAAAAUGCCCAAAAGCAUUUAACUCCAGCUCAAUAAAUGGGAGGUGAAGACACACUGCUACUUCAAAGUAAAAGUAUCCACCAUGGGAGAGAGAAGAAAAGAUCCAACAUGGAGAAAAUCAAUUAUGAUGCAUUGAGUUCACAAUUGUACAGGAUAAGUGCUUAUAUACAAUCUGGAAAUGUCAGCUCAUAUAGUAACUACCUCAACUAACUAAAUGAAAGUGAAAUGCAAAUGAAAUUACAAGUAAACUCAAAUUUAGUUAGAAAGUAACUUGCGCGCCAAGCUAGGUUUUUCUUGUUAUUUCAUCCUCUUUUUCUUCAUAUGCUAAUAACCCCACAAGCUGGAGGUUGGUAGAUACCUACCAUCCCAAGCUUGACAAUUCAAUCAUGAAAUUGCCUAGGUCCUGCUGCUUUGGUAAAGACAUCAGCUGUCUGAUGUUACGAGGUGAUAGGGAGCAAAUGCAUGACUCGAGCCUGAAUUUUCUCACGCACCAAGUGGUAAUCAAUGUAUAGGUGUUUGGUACGCUCAUGGAAAACUGGAUUAGAAGAAAUAUGCAAAGCACUUUGGUUGUCACAAUAGAGUGCACACUACUACUCUUACUAGUAUUAGAUAACCGUCAUCAAACAAGUUUAUUUGCGAACAAAAAGCAGCUUACCAGCGAAUACCUUUACCCAGUAAACACUUCAAUGAAAUCAUCAUCAAACAAUUAAACAAAAUGAAUCAAAGCGAGAUAAUUGCGAAGGAAUUUAGGGUGAAAUGAGGGAGAACGAUAAUGGUAAAACAAUUGAGAUCAUAGGGUUUAGAGAGAUACGUGAAACUUUCACUGAUAUUUUCCAUGAACAAUUUCUAGUAUUAGAGGUUCCUCGUCAAACAAUAUGCAAUGACCAUUGUCCCUUUUCCAUUUAAUUUACAAUAAUAUAUGCUCCAUUAUACCAAUUCUGACUUUAGAAAGAGCAAUUCUCUGUAAUAAAUCAUAUGGUUUAUACAACCACUAUCUAUGACUAUAUGCCACCUUUCAGUGGAGCUAUUGGCAGUAAAACAUGCUACAGCAGGCAAUUGUGGUUAGUCCCCGACAACCUUAACUUCUCCAUGCGUCGUAAUUGACCACGCUUAUGACACCAAGCAUUUGGCCUUCGCCAUCUUUUUUUGGUGUGAUUAAUUUCCUUGCCAUGAGGCCAUGAUGGAAAAACCUUAGUAUUAUUGUUUUGGUUGUUGAUCUUACUAUUUUCAAAACCACAUUGUUUGUUGUUAUUAAUCUGUAAUUUGACUUGAAAUGCACCAUACAUAGAUCCAUCCUGCCUCGUUAGCCUUCUUCUCUCAAAGGGAAUGCAUUGCACAUAACACUUCUGUUAAGAGUCGCACAUCGGAUAGGUGAUGGCCUGACAAUGUGUUUAUAAGUGGGGGCAAUCAUCACCUCACUAGCCGGUUUUGUGGGGUUGUGUUAGGCCCAACCGGAUAAAUUAUCUGUAGUGUUGAGAGCAAUUUAAACGGACAAGUCAAAUCAUUCCAAGUAUGAUUUCAAACUUUCAGUUAGAAAGCAACAGUUAUAGGAAAAUAUAUUGCAACCAAAAAUCCAAGCACCGAAUAAAUUCCAUACCAGCUCUUGCCGAAGCAUUUUAUAUCGCUCAAUAGCAGAUUUCCUCUCCUUAGCUAACUUUGACAUAUCUUCUUACAUGAAUGCAUGUUUUUCAAAAUCAACAUCUUACUAAGUGAAAUCCGUACAUAAAUACACAUGAAUCAGGUAUUCAUGCAAAUGACUAAGAUAAGUUCCAUACCACAUCUUACUAAGAGAAACAACAUGGAAGGAUCCCUAAGAAAGAUCCGUUGUAUGAGCACAUAAGGGAAAUCAAGUGAUGUGACUAAUUUAUUUCUCUAUUAAAUUUUUCUAAUUGUGAGUGCGUGCCCAAAUAUUUUUCAGUUAGGUUUGUGUCUAUAGAAAAGUUGCUCCCAAUUUAUAUCUCUCUAGCUUUGUAUGCAAACAUGAUUAACCAACGGUAGCUUCUGGGGUGUUCAAAUCCAAACCGAUCCAAAAUAAAACCGCAAACCGAUUCAAAAAAACCGAAAAUCGCAAAAAACCGAAUAUUUUUGGAUUUGUUUGGAUGUUGUUUUGGAAAAACCGCUAUGAUCGGAUCGGAUUUCGGAUUGCGUUUUCAAAACCGAACCGAACCUAACCUAACCGCAAAAGUAAAUUUUUAUACUUAUUUAUUAUUUUAUUAGUAUUAUAUAUUGCACUAAUAUAUUGCUUAUUGGUAUUUAAUCUUAUAUAUUGCAUUGAUUUAAUCUAUAUUAUUACUACUACAUCUAUUUCAAAUAUAAUCAAUCAUUUUCAUUGUGUAAUGUUAACUUUUUUAAUAAAUUUGUGUCAUAUUUUGUAUCAAACCUAUUAUUUUAUUGUGUAUGAGUAAUAUUAAUAUUAAAAAAAAAUUACAUAUUACACUUUGGAUAUCCAAAAACCGAUCCAAAUUAAACCGCAUAUAUUUGGAUCGGAUCGGUUCGGAUUUUUUUAACAUAAUCAUCCAAACCGAACCGAACCGCACGUGAUUUUUAUUUUGGAUUGGUUGAUUUUUAACCUCAAAACCGAUCCAAACCGGACCGCGAACACCCCUAGCUUCUUUGUAAGACCCACCUAACUUGUAAUUUAUUUCUUUUAAGAAAAUUUUAUUCUGUAAUAUUUUAAAGAGAGAAAGAUUUUUUUUAAUAGAAAAAAUUGAUUUUAUCGUUUUCACAAAUAUUUCAUUUUCUCUCUAUUUAAGAAAUUGCUAAAUAAAACCAACUAAUCUUUUCGCUCUACUAUCUAGAUUAGUUAAUAAUUUUCUAAGUUACGAGCAUUACUCUGUCCAAAUGGAAAAUUGUUCUGUUAGGACAGAAAAUAAAAGAAAAAAAAUUAUCUUCCUAUAAAUCAAAAGAUUUUAUAUGAAUAGGAUGGGGGAGUUAUUUAUACUUGAGUAUACUCAUUGUCUUUAGCCAGUGCAACAAAACUCAUAUCCGCUGCUGGUACCUGUCCGAACCAAACCCAAUUUGAUGGGUUUUCCUCGCUUUAAUUGGGUGUGGGUUUUGCCCGAUUUUCUGAACAUGGAUACAAGAUGGAUAAUGAGAAUAUAGGUACCCACCCCGAACUCAUACUCAAACUUGUCCUGAAUAUAGAAAAUAAAUUUAUUAUCCCUUUUAUAUAGAUAGAAAUUCAAACCCUAAAUCAUUACAUUGACAAAAUUAGAGUCUCAAUCUUUCAGAUAACAUUCACUUAUCAUAGUACUCUCUUUUCUCCUUCCAUAUCUCACACUCUCUUCUCCAUCACCAUAGCAAUCGACCGCCAUCAUCUCUUUGCUAGAUAAUGCACUACAACAUUGCGUUCGGGGUUGGAAAAUACUUUUAAUUUUUAUUAAAAAAAUUAUCCACUGCAAAGGAUGGGGAAGGGUGGAUACCAGAACCCAUUAGGAACAGGAAUGAGAUUCGAUUUUUCAUCCCCUCUAAGUAUGAGCGGUGCAACAGAUAAGUAUAUGAAAAUAGGGUAUGAGAACGGGGAAGGAAAAACUCAUCCUCACCUCGUUCCAUUACCAUGCCUAUUUGUCUUACAAUUUACAUUGAAAUUGAAGACUAAAACAUUUUCUCAAAACUAAGGAAAAUAAGUCAAGUUCUAAAUAUGUUGAAAUGAUUGCAUGUGUUAUCAUUUUUCAUGUCCUAUUAACAAAACUAUUUGAAAUGAUAAUUGAUCAUGAAAUAUGCUAUGUACUUUAAUAGUUAAAUUCCAACUUAAUGAGUUUGAUAUGCGAACGCACUUAUGAAUUAUAUAAAACUUAAUAGAGGUUGAACAUGCAUCCCCUUCUCAUAUUCUUCUUGAGAAAUUUUCAUGCACAACGUGUCACCCCUAAUAGAGGGUUUUGGAAAAUCGCAAGGCUCGAUGCAACAUGCAUUAGUAAAACUAUUUUAGAAACAUUCACAUGAAAGUAAAAAGCACUAAGAGAGAAAAAUUAAAGAGUAAUAUAUUUGUAGUAUAAGAUGUACUCAUUAUUAAAUUUAAUAUAAUAAUAUUUUAGUAAAAAUACACUGACGUACUGUAUAUUAUUAUUUGUUGACAUAAUGUAUUAUAUUAAUCAUAAAAACUAAAAUAUUUGUUUUUUUUUUUUUUAUAAAAUAGUCAAUGUCAGAUGUAGACAUCCGGUCUGUGAAUGCAAAUGUUAGAUAUUUUACGGAUGUAUAUAAAUAUAGUUUUUUUUUUUUUUUUUGCGGUGGCCGAGAUUCGAACCCAGACCUUGCAUAUUUUAUGAAUUGUCUACCAUGUAAAUAUAGUUUGUGUUAAUACAAAGUAAAUCAAUAAAUACACAAAUUAGAACGAAUUGAGAAUAUCAAUUUUCUCCUUAAGAAAAUGAAUAAAUACGCAAUGAGAACAAAUUGAGAAAGUAUUCCUCGGCAGAAAAGGAAUCAAAUAAAAUCCAAAAAAAAUUCCAACUACCUCGGCACAAUCCUUAAGGCCUUCAAUGUUGGUCAUCGGGUCAAAUUGAGAAAGUCUUCCUCAUUCCACAAUUGAGAGUUGUAUGGGAGAUGGUCUGCUAGGGUUUUGCGCAUGAGCGUAGCCUUCUUCAUCCCACUGUACCAAUUGAAAAUUGAAGCAACACAUUGAAUCCAUUGACUGUGGUAUCUUCCAAUUUUCCAUUCACGCUGGAUCACGUUGCUUCUUUAUUAUCACCAAACCCAAAAUUCAAUUCAAAUCAAAUUCAUUUGGUGGCUGAUUCUACCUCUUUCUCCUUGCUUGCAAUCGAUUCAGAAUUAUUCUCCAUCGAUUUCCUUUCCCGCAUCACAUAAAUUGCAAACUUUUCCGUUAUUGCGUUCUUACUGUUUCCCAGACUUUUUGUAAUGCCGUUUGAAUGACAGGCAGAGUUGUUAUUGCCGACAGCUACACCCUCCAAAGUUGUGCCAUCUCCCAUGGCACUGUCUUCCACAGCUGCGGUCCCAGCACCACAACCACCACCGCGGUCCUUUGCACAAGCACUUGUUGCAUCGCACAGCCAAGCCACUAAUGAUAAUCUGCCGCAACCUACAACCCGUUGUGAGGCUCUCUCCAUUCGUACUGCUCAGUCAGUGUAUUAACAGGGGGUCAAUGUGUGUAAGAGAAACCUUUGUGGAAGGUUGGUUCUUAACAAAGGAUUAAACCCUAUACGUCGAAGGAAAUUGAGGACAAGCUUCGGAAACAAUGGAAGACUGCUACACCUUGGACGUUGCUAUCUUUAGGUAGGGGCUUUUAUGACUUCUUUUUUGCCACUAAUGAUUUGCAAAUUGUUUGGGCAAUGGGAACUGUGAACUUGAAGCCGGGGGUGUUACGUUUAUUUGAAUGGUCGGUGGAUUUUAAUAUGCAUAAUCAUAGGAACACUCAAGCACAAGUAUGGAUCCGAUUGAUGGCACUGCCACAACAAUAUUGAAUGAAACGUACUCUAUCGGAAAUUGCCAGUGCGGUUGGCACGCCACUAGUUCUUGACAAUGCGACAUUGAAAAGACUUUUUGGACACUAUGCAUGUAUCUUAGUCGACAUUGAUUUUUCCAAAAAGAUUUUUCAUGAAAUUAUCGUAGAACGGGAAGGUGCUUCUUAUCCUGUGGAAGUCGUUUAUGAACGGAUUCCAGAUUUUUGCUCGCAUUGUCAGACACUUGGACAUGAUGUUACUAGUUGUCGUUGGUUGUACCCAAAGAAGGAAGACAUAUCUAAGGAUAAAGUUGUGAAAGGGAAGACGCAGAUACCAGCCAAGAAACCUAAGUAGGUGCCUGUUAAAGAGAAUCCCUCUGGUAUAAGUUCAUCCAUCGCAUUUGCAACUCCUAAACCUACCGAGCCACAAAAAAUUAUGAUUGUUGUUGAUGUUUCUACUUCUGCGGCUCCAACACUAGCUCAUACACGCUCCCUCUCCAACAAGUCGGCCCUAGUUUUCUCUCUCUAGGUUAUCUCUUACAAUUUCUUCAUUGAGGGGUGGUUUUGGGUCAAUACUUAACCUGAAAUCACCCCUCUUCAUCGUUUUCUCUUUAUUUCAAUCUAAAUAAGUGAUUUUUACAUAGAUCUAGGUUUUUUUAUUUGUAAUUUCAUCAUCUAAGUGUGGUGAUUUGUUGUUUGUCGUCUUGUGUGGCGUUGUUUGAUUUCCCGUCUUCGUGCGGUGUUCAUUUGAUUCAUAUUGAAAGAUCGAUUGUUCAAUCAAAGAUUUGGGCGUCAACGUUGCAGAUCUGGAGGCAAUGAAUAUUUCAGUCACUUUAAUUUCAUCAUAUAUUUUUGUAGGCAUUAUGCCGUUAUAUGCUAUUAUCAUGGAUGUUGUGAGUUUGUUCGUAGAUUCAUCUUUUACGUUUUUAGCGGUGUUGAAUGAUGUAAUCUCUCGAUUUGAAUGAAUGAAUAUCAUUUUGUUUUUGUCAAAAAAAAAAAAAAAAAAACAUUAGCUCAUACACGCGUGUCUGAUGAGAUCCCUCAAGGCUCUUUGCCUUCGCACCUAGUUUUGGAGUUAGCUUCCCCUGAUGAUGUGCACAUUGACGUGCUUUCGGAUGAUGUGGAACAAGUAAAUUUAGAAUCGCGGGGGGAGUUGGUGGUACCCCGGAUCCACGAUGCACCUGUGAUACAUCCAUCCUCAAAUGCCCAUGAUGAUGAGCAUUCUUUAACUGUUGAUUUGGAGGCCUCCGCUUCUACUAGGGAGAUGUCACCGACUCAACAUGAUGUAGCGCACGAUGACGUGCAAACCAGUCCCCAAGAUGGUCCCCUUGUUGUUAGAUUCAUUCCUGACAACACUACCACUUUUUUCGAAAUGGAGCGCCUUGCUCAGAACACCAAUUACACGAUUGAACAGACAGGUAAUGAUGAGAAUGGCAACAACAUCUUGACUGUUUAUGAACCUCAUAGCAAUCCGAAUGUUCAUCAUGAUUUGGAACUUUGGAGGCGUGUUCAUGAAUAUGACAAAGCCAAUGCAGAAAAACCAUUCACUCUAGUCUUAUCUCGGAAACAGAAACAACAGGUUAAGAAAUAACUUCUGAUUGGUAAGCCACCGCCUUAUAAAUAAUCCGUUCUCAGGGAGGAUCCACUUUAGUUGAUCAAUGAAUUUUUAUUUUUUUUGGUCGAGCCAAUGGUCACUGUUGCAUAGGUUCCAUCUUAGUAUUGGCAUAUCAUUGGUGUUACUAAAUCUCACAUCUUUAGGGAAGGUAAUUGUUGUGCUAAUUUGUUUGCUAAUAUGGGACACUCGUUUCAGGGUACAGUUUAGUUUUCAGUGUUUCUUCAGACUAUUCAGAAUGUCUUUAGUUUGGACCGGAGCGGGUUCCCUCGAGCUAGGUUCCCGUAGUCAUUUGUUUCCUUAUUUUCCUUCAUGUUUACUGUUUUUUGUUUUUCGAGGGAUUUGGUAUAGCCCCCCUCUUGUACUCUUUUUUUCCCCUUUUUUUUUAAUAAAAUUUUUCAGAGAUUGGCGGUAUAUGAUGUGAGUUCUAGAGGGUGAUGGCAUAAGAAGAUAGGAAAGUAAAAAGAAGAAAAAAAAAUGUUGUUGGGAUCUACAUCUUGUUCAAGGGAGAACAAAAUGGGAACUGUAAAAUGAAUGAAGUUCAUGUUGUUGUUGAUGUCAGCGCAUGUUUAUGUUAUUGUUAUGAAGGAACUGAUAUGAAAAAAUCAUGUGAUUUAGGUCUUGAUGGUUUUCAAGAUUAAUGGUUUUUGUGGGUUUGGAUGUUGAAGAUUUUGAGGAUUUGGUUUAUGAUGUAAAAGAUUGAUAAUUUUUUCUUUUUUCAAUUUGUUUUUCAUUAAUUUUAUUUUAUUUUUUGUAAUUUUUAAAUAAUAUUAAUUUUUUUAUUUUGUCAAGUAGUCUAGUGGCUAGAAUUCACCUUAUAAGGUUAAUAAGUGGGGUGUCUGGGGUUCGAACCCCAGACCCUGCAUAUAAUAAUGCAUUGUCCUACCAAUUGAGCUAUGCUCACGGGACUGAUAAUUACUUUUAAAUCCAGAUGGAUAACAAAAAUCAUAGGUGGCAAUUUUUUUUAAUAAAAAUGCGCCAUGUCAAAAUCAAGGGGGGUCAUGAUUUUGCAAAGGGGGUGAUACUUGAGGGGCCAAUAGUGCUAUUUUCAAAGUUGGAGGCGAGGCAAAAUCAUAAUUUUUACAAACUUGAAGGUCAAAAGUGCAUUUUAGCCUAAUUAGUAUUAUAGGGUUGCCUUUGUUUCAAGUUAUAUUUGUAAGAUCCUAAGAAUAAAAUGAUCAAAUAUGCAAGCUCGUGUCUCUAAUAGAACUUAUCAUCAUACAACAAUCCUUGUGUACACGAUAAUCUUACUAUUAAAUUACUUAAACAUUUUCGUGCAUUUGCCAAAUUUAUCAUCAUCUUUCAAAAUUUUGUUUGAAUAGAGUAUUAUUUUCAAUUUUAGACAAAAUGGUUUUGACUUUAAACUAACAAACACAAUUAAAAACUAACCUUUUUUUAGCUUUUUUGUACCUACAUUAUACACUGUAAAAUGAUAAAAUUAUCUUUUAUUUGACUCAUUCAAAAACCUCAAAUCAUACACUAAAAGUGGACAAAGUAUUCUAUUUCAAUUUUGGCGAUGUUGAAUUUGUUUUAUUUUCAACGUAGUUUACCAAUUUCAACAUAACUAUUAAUUAUCUUCUUUUUGAUUCAUGCAAAAAGAUGAAAUCAUACACUAAUAAUCAAUCCCUAAAAGAAAUAUCUAUCUAAGUAAAAAACCAAUUUUAAAACCUUUUUUAAAAUUAUUUAAAUUAAUAAAUUUUAAUAUAUUGAUUUUUUAAACUAAUAAAAAAUAUUUUAAAAAAAAAAUUCGUCUACAUUUUCCCAGGGGUUAACCCCUGGCAGAUCUCCUGUUAGUGUUUGAUUUGAUCUCUAAAAAUUGGGUCAGGAUAGUCUGCACGCGUUAGAAAAGUUGAUAGGGGUUGUACCAGGGAAUGUACCCCACAUAAAUUUGUCAGGAACUAAAGCCCUGGCAUGGUCAUAUAUUUGCGAUGACCUGCUUUGCUGGGGAUUGUGCCCCUAGAAAAACUCCUCGCAAACAUUAGUUUGCCAAGGCUUUAUGCAUUGUGUCAGGGGUUCUGGCCUUGGCUAAUUACCAGAUUUCUUGUAGUGAGUGUGGACAAAGUCUUCUAUUUCAAUUUUGAAAAUGUUGAAGGCGGGGGGGGACACAAAAAGGCGUGAUGGGUCUGGAUUGUAAGCCAUGGCAAUGCCUCCAAAUUUACCAGAUAAGGAGAUCUUAUAAAUAAAACUCUUUGUUGUCUUAUUUCAUUUCCAUCAUCUUAGAUUACAUAAGAAGAAAAUAAUAAUUAUUGAGUGCAUGCAUAAAAACUAAAUGACAACAUGUGGAAUAUUCUAGCAUAAGGUAUAUUGUACAAUUCUCUUGCUAGAGAAAGAACUCGUUUAUCUCAUUAGGAUGUUUUAGAUCUGUACACAUUGGCCUUUACGACACCUAACAUUAGACCUAUGAAGUUUUGGACAAUCUUUAUCUGAUUUACAAGCACCUUCAAAAAAAUGACUAAAAGAAGAAUUACAUAUUGUCAUGCCAAGAAAUAUGGAAAGAAGUAGAACUAUAACAUAAACCAACUUUGGAGUUUGAACCAUAUUUUUCCUAUUUGCAUCCAAAUACUAGUAAAUGACUUGAUCUCUUUAUAGUGUAUAAUAAAAUAUGGUCUUAGAGAAAUAAUUAAAUAGUUUAAGCAUUAUAAAAUUUUAAGAUUCAUUCAGAAUUUUAUAAUUAUUAC
rnacentral:lncRNA from 1 species